GUCCAGUCGUGGCCAACUCUGGGGUUGCAGCGCUCAUCUCGCUUUAUUGGCCGAGGGAGCCGGCGUACAGCUUCCGGGUCAUGUGGCCAGCAUGACUAAGCCGCUUCUGGCGAACCAGAGCAGCGCAUGGAAACGCUGUUUACCUUCCUGCCGGAGUGUUAUCUAUUUAUAUACUUGCACUUUGACAUGCUUUCGAACUGCUAGGUGGGCAGGAGCUGGGACCGAACAACGGAAGCUCACCCCAUCACAGGGAUUCGAACCGCCAACCUUCUGAUCGGCAAGUCCUAGGCUCUGUGGUUUAACCCACAGCACCACCCACGUUAAGAACAGUUUCAGGUUAAGAACAGACAUCUGGAACGAUCACCUCAACCUUCCCCAUGGAUUGGCCUAAUCCAUUUUUUUACAGCCAUCCAAGCUGAUGGCAAUCUCUGCCUGCCUCCUGUGGCAAGGAGUUCCAUAGUUUAACUAUGCUCUGCAUAGUUCCUUCUGCCUUGAGCAUCUUGAGUUCUUCCGUGUGUUCCUGAGUCUUUGAUCAUGCUCCAGUCCAGGUUUUUAGCUUGCUCCUUGCUCUGGUAAGUCCCAUAGCUGUGACUUGCCCUUUAGCCUCGACCUCAUUCCAUGAUCCUUCCUCCCACUCUUGUCCUGUUGUCCUGACUUGCCCUUUGCUCCUGACUUCCGGCUUGAUAGGUGAUCCUGCCUCCUGGCUUGCCCUUCAGCCCUCGCUUGGCUUGCCUUGCAACCUUCUAGUUCAGGACUCCAGAGUCAUUUUGGCCUGCAGAGGGUCCCUCCCACAACAGGCCACAAGAAAACAUUAAGCAUUACCAAGAACUUUCUGAGAAUAAGAGCUGUUUGACAGAGGAACGGACUCCCUUGGAAGCUGGUGGGCUCAGUUUUUAAGCAAGGGUUGAAUGGCGUUCUUUAGUUUUAACUCCUGCAUUGAAGGGGGCUGGACUCACUGACCCUAUGAUCCUAUUGAAAUUCUGCUGUCCUUUAACAAAUCCCUUAAGGGUGCCACUAAUCUGUCGUAGCCGCCCACACCAGAGUUGUGUCAGCUACAAACGUCAGAAUUUGGGCGCCUCCAAACCUGUGCCAAAGCUUUGACAUCAUUUUGCAGUGUCCUGGAUUUGAGCGCUGUUAAAGCCUCUCUUGCACGGCAUAGUUCAUAGCUUCUCUGAGUUAUUGAAGCCCCUUCGCCACGGCAAGGCAGUGAUCCAUGAAGGGGGAAGGACAGAUCGUGAAGCUGAGGCUCCAAUACUUUGGCCACCUCGUGAGAAGAGAAGACUCCCUGGAAAAGACCCUGAUGUUGGGAAAGAUGGGGGGCACAAGGAGAAGGGGAUGACAGAGGACGAGAUGGUUGGACAGUGUUCUCGAAGCUACCAGCAUGAGUUUGACCAAACUGUGGGAGGCAGUGGAAGACAGGAGUGCCUGGCGUGCUCUGGUCCAUGGGGUCAUGAAGAGUUGGACCACGACUAAACGACUAAACAACAACAACAACAAGGCCUCUCCUCCUCCCAGAGGGGAGGAGUUGUGAGCGGGAGCAGCUUCCCGCUAGGGCAGUGAGGCGUACUCCGCUCCCUGCUUCUGAUUGCUUCUGCUGCCACAGCCAAGCCUUCCAGCCGACCAAUAGGGCCGGCUGGUGGGCAGGGCUAGCCGCAUUUAAACAGCUGCGGCAAUGCUCUGCUCCCAGUCUGUUCCUGCUUUCUUCGGAUCUUGUCAGAUCAAGCCUCCUUGGAUCAAGACCCUCUUCGGAUCAAGACCACAGCAGAGUGCCUAAUUCUCACCUGCAUGGUUAGGCAUUGGAAUAUGUGUGCUGUGUUGGGGGAUUGGGUAUGCACCAUCAUCUACCCCUCCUCUUUUGGGAAUUCCGUUAAAGGAAUCUGGCAGUCGCAGAUCCUGUCCAAUGCCUUGCUGGUGGCUAGGGCCAUGGCACAAUCCCCAGUGAUGUCAUGGGGGAGCUUCCAGUUGUAUUUGCAUCAACAAGCUCCUCCCAUUGGUUGUUAACCCUGAUAUGACUCCCAGCUGUGCGGGGUGGAGUCUGGUAUUGCUGUUUCAUCCAAUGCCUAAGCCAGUACUACUCACAUGCUGUAACCAAUAAAAGUUGUGGCCUAAUUUUGCCCAUUAAGCUAAAAUAAUGUGUCCUUGUGUCUUAUUAUACUCCUAUGUGGGUGGUGGGUCCUUGACUCACAAGUAGGAACCCCAGUGUGUUGUUUGACUUGCAAGUGCAGGGUUUAUAUUGCCGAACAACUGCAAAAGUUUGACAUGGGUACAAGGGAUCCCACAUUUGGGGGUCACUUCAAGAGCCAACAAAGAGGAAUAGCUGCUUGUCCCUGCUUUCGGAUACCAGUUCCCCGCUUUGUGUAUGUGAGAGAGACUGUUGCUGUGUUCCCAGGUUUAAGUUGCCAGCAUUAAGCACACUUCAGAAGAAACUGCUAUUUUCCUGACGCCCGCCCACUCCUUCUCCUUGUGAUGGUGCUUACAGAUUGCCAUCGUGACACCCUUCUCUAACCUCUCUCACAGUGAAAACACUCCAUGCUUCCCUUCCCUGACUAAGAAUCUUGCAAAACAGGCACCUUCUCUUGCAUGGAGGACUCUCCUGCAAACAACACCGAGUGGCUUUCCUCCCCCUGCUGUUAGCCAAAAUAGACACUCUUAAGAGGUUCCCCUGGUGCUCUUCCAACAGCUGAGCAAUAGUUUCAAGAACACCUUGCAUGUCACUGCCACGCCCUCCCCCCUCGCUGUGAACCUCUGGUCCAGGUGUCCUGUUUCCAUUCUUCUUUCCUUGCCCACAGUUCAGGAGCAGACCACCUGCUUUGCAGGCAGAAGGUCCCAGGUUCCUUCCCCAAUGACAUCUCCAGGUAGGUCUGGGAAACUGCUGGAGUGAGACUGCAAGUCAGGGUAGGCAAUACUGGACCACCAGCCUGACUCAGGAUAAGGCAGCUACAGUACUUAAGUCAGAAUUAUGAAGACUAGAAGCUUGAGAGCCAGUGUGGUGUAGUGGUUAAGAGCGGUAGAUUCGUAAUCUGGUGAACUGGGUUCGAUUCCCCGCUCCUCCACAUGCAGCUGCUGGGUGACCUUGGGCUAGUCACACUUCUCUGAAGUCUCUCAGCCCCACUCACCUCACAGAGUGUUUGUUGUGGGGAGGAAGGGAAAGGAGAAUGUUAGCUGCUUUGAGACUCCUUCGGGUAGUGAUAAAGCGGGAUAUCAAAUCCAAACUCCUCCUCCUCCUCCUCCUCUUCUUCUUCUUCUUCUUCUUCUUCUUCUUCUUCUUCUUCUUCUUCUUCUUCUUGUACAGUGGUACCUUGGGUUACAGACGCUUCAGGUUACAUACACUUCAGGUUACAGACUCCGCUAACCCAGAAAUAGUACCUCAGGUUAAGAACUUUGCUUCAGGAUGAGAACAGAAAUCGUGCUCCAGCCGCACAGCAGCAGUGGGAGGCCCCAUUAGCUAAAUUGGUGCUUCAGGUUAAGAACAGUUUCAGGUUAAGAACGAACCUCCAGAACGAAUUAAGUUCUUAACCCGAGGUACCACUAUAAUAUUUUUAAGCGUGUGACCAUAGCACCUGCUUGGCAUACAGAUGAUCCAUGUUCAAUCCCAGGAAUUUCCAGGCAGGGCAAGGGGAGCCUCCUGACUGAAACCUCGGAGAGUCUCUGGUAGUCAGUGGUCUGGUGGCAGUUUGCUUCUGUGUUUCUGUGCCUUCAGGUAGGGAUGAGAAACCUUCAACCUCCAGAGCCUGCAGAGUCAAUUUGGCCUCCCCAUUUGAUCUUCCUCAAGCUACACUGAUAUAUGAGGUCCUAUGCUCUUGCAGGGAACAGGGUGGGGGAAGAUAAGGACCAGGCCCAUUCCGCCAAAAUAUUCCCCCACCCCCUUCUUCAAUGGAAGGGCCAUAGUUCAGUUAUGGAGCAUGUCAAAGGUCCCAGUUUUAAUCCUGGUGCCUCCAGGAAGGACUUGGAGAGUCUCUGGGGAGUCUCUACCAGGAAGUGUAGUCAAGUCUAAGCUAAAUGGACCAAAGGGUCUGUCUUGGGAGCUUUCUCCUUCUCUUAAAACACUAUCAUAACUCAUGGACAUCUAAUGCAGACCCUCCAAGUUUCCCUAUUUUCCAGGGACAGUCCUGGAUUUACAGAAGACGUCCUGGUUUCUGAUUUGAUCCUGGAAUGUUCCGCUUUUCCUUAGGAUGUCCCUAUUUUCAUUGGAGAAAUGUCAGAGAGUAUGGAGCUAUUAUGUUUUUAUACAGUGGUACCUCGGGUUACAGACGGUUCAGGUUACAGACGCUUCAGGUUACACACUCCAUUAUCCCAGAAAUAGUACCUCGGGUUAAGAACUUUGCUUCAGGACGAGAACAGAAAUCGUGCUCCGGCCGCACAGCAGCAGUGGGAGGCCCCAUUAGCUAAAGUGGUGCUUCAGGUUAAGAACAGUUUCAGGUUAAGAACGGACCUCCAGAAUGAAUUAAGUUCUUAACCAGAGGUACCACUGUACAUUGAUGCAAAAUCCAGCAUCGCCUGAGCUCUGUGAGUGCAGCUUUCUCCCGACUGAAGUGCAGAGUGUUUGAGAACUGGGACAUUUGCAGGGAAACCAAAAUGCUUGUUUACAAAGCUAUUGUACUACCAACGUUACUGUAUGCUUGUGAAACAUGGAUCACUUAUAAAUGCCAUCUAAAACUCCUUGAAAGAUUCCACCAAAGGUGUCUCUGAAAAUUUUUACACAACACUUGGGAGGACAGGGGAACUAAUGCCAGUGUACUGAAAGAAGCAAAGAUCACCCAUGUUGAAGCGAUGAUUCUUCAACAUCAACUUUGUUGGACUGGUUGUGCGGAUGCCUGGUUAUCGUCUUCCAAAGCAACUGCUCUAUUCCAAACUUAAAAAUGGAAAGUGUAAUGCCGGUGGUCAACAAAAGAGGUUUAAAGACUCUCUCAAGGCAAAUCUAAAAAAAUGUAAUAUAAACACUGACAACUGGGAAACACUAGCCUGUCAGCGCUCCAACUGGAGAACAGCCUUUACCAAAGGUGCUGUGGGUUUUGAAGACACUCGAACUCAGGAUGAAAGGGAGAAACGUGCUAAGAGGAAGGCACACAUGGCAAACCCUCACUGUGAUCAACUACCACCAGGAAACCAAUGUCUCCACUGUGGAAGGAUGUGUGGAUCCGGAAUUGGCCUCCACAGUCACUUAUGGACCUACUGUGAUGACUGUGUUUAUGGAAGACAAUCUUACUCAGCUACGAGUAUUGGCAAAGAGAAGGAUUAUGUUUCUAUAUAUGCUGAAAGUUGCCCACAUUGCCUGGGGCAACCAAGACAGAUGGGCAAGGCAUAAAUAAUAAAAUAUUUACCAGUUGCCAAAAGUCACAGGAGGGCAGAAUGCUCUUGCACUUGCAUUCUGCUUGAGGGUUUCCAGUUGGGAGGUUGCCACUGUGAUGCUGGACUUGAUUGGUCUGAUCCAGCAGGCUUUUCUUGUGUUCUUAUGACUCUCUGGGAGACAGAGACCCCCCACCGUGUCCUUUCGAUGCCCCAAAUCUAGAUUUGAGGCUGAUGGACGUACCUAUAAGAGGUUGCAGCUGAAGGUUACAGACAAAAACCUAGAGCUGCUUUUGCAAGUCUGAAGGUAGGCUUGGGAGCUAAUUCCUUUUCUUUUCUUAAAGAACCACGCGGUGUGUUUCUCACAAACACUUGGAUAGAUUUCCUCCUCAGCCUCAAACAUCCAGAACACAUCCUGCUCAGUUUAAAUGCAAACUGACAGGUACCGAGGAAUCCAUUGAUUGUGUACUUUCAAAGCUCCCCAGGCUGCUGUGGUGAAGGUGGAGAUGUUAGAGGGCAGGACUCCUGGGUUCGUUUUCCCCUCUACCCGACAGGAACUUUUCUCCUCCAAACUUUCUCUUCUCCUGCCUCAGAUCUCUGUGGUUGGGUUUCUUUUUAUUGUUGAAAAAGAAGGCAGACAGGAUGCCUCACCUAAGAACCUAAGAAAAGUCUGCUGGGUCAGUCCAGUAUCCUGUUCUUAUAGUGGCCAAGCAGAGGCUUGUGGGAAACUCACAAGCAGCACCUGAGCACUAGAGUCCCCUCCCCUCCUGUAGAGAUGAUGCCAGGGACCUUCUACAUGCUAAGAAGAUGCUCUGCCACUGAGCUAUGACCCUUCCCCUUGAAAUAAAGUAAGACUCCAGUCCAUUUGGUUUUGAAUAAAGGCUGGUAGAAAAUGUUUCAUGCCAGGACUUGUAAAAGAGAAAAAGAGUGUUGGGAAAUGAUCCAGAAUGAAUGGGGGGGGGAUGUUUAAAAGUACUCCCCCCCCCAAAAAAAAACCCCAGAGUCCUUUCUGUUGGGGAUAAUUCAGACUGAAAUUCCCAAGCGUCAAAAAAGGUUAUUUAUGUAUGUCACUGCUGAGUCACAUGUUUUGUUAGCCUCAAAAUGGAAAACGAGCGAGGUCCCAACCAAAGAAGAAUGGCAACUUAAGCUGACGGAAUAUGCACAACCUGCAGACUUCAUGUAUAGAAUAAGAGAACAAGAAGAACAUACGUUUAGAGAAGAUUGGAAAGUGUUCAUUGAAUAUACGGGAAAUAAUUGUGUACGGCUGAAAACGCUGGCAGCGUUAAGAUAAAUUCAACAGUGUAAAUAAGUUUGGAUGGAUGUAAUAAUGGAACACCGAUUGGUAUAGUUUUUGUAAAAUAUGCAGGGAUUUAUGUUAUGUGAAAUGAACCAUGAAAAGAGAAGAAAGGAAGUCCUUGAUGUCUUAAGGAUGUAAAAUGAGUAUUUUAAAUUGUAAUGAAAAUUGUGUGUGUGUGUGUGUGUGUGUGUGUGUGUGUGUGUGUGUGUGUUAUGGUUUUUAUUAAAGAUUUUCUUGGUUUACAAAAGUUCUAUUUGAUGUGGGAUGUUGAUAUUGUAUAUAGUAUAAAGUUGGGAGAGAAGGGAGGUGGGGAGAGAGAGCAGGGAGGGAGGGAGAAGCUUCCAAAGCAACUACUCUAUUUCAAACUUUAAAAUUGAAAGUGUAAUGCCGGUGGUCAACAAAAGAGGUUUAAAGACUCUCUUAAGGCAAAUCUAAAAAAAUGUAGUAUAAACACUGACGAAUGGGAAAUAAUGGCCUGCGAGUGCUCCAGUUGGAGAACAGCCUUUACCAAAGGUGUCGUGGGCUUUGAAGACACUCAAACUCAGGACGAAAGGGAGAAACGUGCAAAGAGGAAGGCAUGCUUGGCAAACCCUCACCAUGAUCAACUUCUGCCCGGAAACCAAUGUCCCCACUGUGGAAGUACGUAUGGAUCCAGAAGUGGCCUCCACAGUCACUUAUGGACGCACUCUUAAGACCGUGUUCAUGGAAGACAAUCUUACUCGGCUACAAGGGAUCGCCAAAGAAGAAGGAGGAGAAGAAGAAGAAAACUUUAAUUCUUUUACGUAGCAUAUGUGCAAGGUUUUAGUGUCAGCAUCACGUGGGCAGGUUCUCUUCCUAUGCAUUUAUUCAUUUUCAUUGGCGGUGAGAGAGAUUGGGGGAGCAGGGCAUAGUUGGUUGUCUAUAGUUGACUGCAUUAAGUUUUGUUUGCAUGUGAGAAGGCGGAAGGGGUUGUUGGGUCGGUCAGCUUAGCCAUAUCGAUUCGUAUGCUGUUGGGGAGUUCUUGUCAUGUUGGGCUGUAUGUGUGAAAUAUACUCGGGAGUCCUGUAGUGAUUUCAUGCUCUUUAUUGCAGCUUGUAAAACAGUGAUUGAAUUGCCCCCCAAACCUCAGGCUUUUAUAUACAUUAUUUACACAAUGAGUCCCAUCUGUUUGGCUGAUUCUGCUUCCCUCCUGGAGCCUGAUUGGUCUUUUCCUGCAGGCCAAUCAGUUAUUGCAUUCUAUGAUCCUACCAGCCUAAUAGGCUGAUUAUCUUCCUCCUGGAGCCUGAUUGGUCUUUUCCUGCAAACCAAUCAGUUGUUGCAUUCUAAGAUCCUACUUGCCUAUUGUUCUAGGAUCCAAGCUUAGUACAUAACACCGUGUAAUAAAGGGGAGGCACAAUGGGUGAAGGUAUCCCCUUUUAUUUGUCCCUGUGCUAGUUUCAGUUUGUUGGUUAGAUGUUAUUAUGUUUAAAUAUUUGUUGGAAGCCACCCAGAGUGUCUGGGGAAACCCAUUCAGAUGGGCAGGGUAUAAAACAACAACAACAACAGACAUCCCUAUUUUCAUUGAAUAAAUUUUGGAGGCUAUGCUGUUGACUGCACUGACUGGAAGACAUUCUCCAGGUUUCCAGGAGUGAACCUGGGACCUUCUGCAUGCAAAGGGCCCCAGACCUGCGCCCCCGCUUCAUUCAAAACACCCCACCUUGCUGGCAGACAGUUGUCUAGAUGCGAAGAUCAGGCUCGAACUCUUUGCCCGCUGCCCUUUCUCGAGGAAGAGGCGAGCUCAGCCAUGCGGCAAUUCAGCAAAGAGAAAGGGACAUUGUUCUCCCGGCCUCGCUCUGCUUGCAGAGAGCCGGUGAUCCACCAUGGAUCCCUCUUGCCUGAGUGAGAGACAAAUUGCUUUGCGGUGGUGACACCGCUGGACUCAUCCAGAUGUGACUCAGCAGGUAUUAGCCGGGAUGCUCUCAAAAGCUGGCAUGCACCGACGCAUGCGUGUGCGCGGCACACAGAUCCGCUCUCUCUUGCUCCCGGCUGAGUUCAUGCUUCUCCCCUGCUCCCAGCCCAGAGGAGGGAUUAGCAGAGAACAGUCUGCCCUUGUUCUUUUGCCAAACCAGCCAGUAGAGUGAUGAAAAAAAAGAGCGCUGACUUGGCUUGCAGCCUGCCCUUUGCUCCUGGGUGUAUAUGUGUCUGUGUGUUCCCUUGGCUGUGAGGCUUUAAAGGAGGGGGGGAAGAUGCAUGCUUUGGGACAGCGCCAAUCUUGUGCAGACUGAACUGGAAGGAGGCACACCAGGCGGAGCUAGGAAACUCAGGAACGUUGCGCUGUGUUGGGAAACGAAAGCGUGUUUAUUCAGAAGGCAUGCAGAAGCCAUUAGCCUCCUGCGCAUAGUUAAACUGUGGAACUCACUGCCACAGGAGGCAGUGGUGGCCACUAACAUACCCUCCAACCUUUCUCCAGCAUAAAGGUAAAAAGGUCAAGGACUCCCUGGAUGGUUAAGUCCAGUCAGAGGUGACUAUGGGGUUGCGGCGUUCAUCUCACUUUCAGGCCGAGGGAGCCGGCGUUUGUCCACAGACAGCUUUCCGGGUCAUGUGGCCAGCAUGACUAAACCAUUUCUGGUGCAACAGGACACUGUGAUGGAAGCCAGAGCGCAUGGAAAUGCUGUUUACCUUUCCACCGCAGCAGUACCUAUUCAUCUACAGUGGUACCUCGGGUUACAUAUGCUUCAGGUUACUUACGCUUCAGGUUACAGACUCUGCUAACCCAGAAAUAGUACCUUGGGUUAAGAACUUUGCUUCAGAAUGAGAACAGAAAUUGUGCUCCGGCGGCGCAGCGGCAGGAGGAGGCCCCAUUAGCUAAAGUGGUGCUUCAGGUUAAGAACAGUUUCACGUUAAGUACGGAUUUCCAGAACGAAUUAAGUACUUAACCGAGGUACCAUUGUACUUGCAAACUGAUAGGUUGGCAGGAGCUGUGGCAGAAAAACGGGGGCUCACUCUGUCAUGGGAAUUCGAACCGCCGACCUUCAGAUCGGCAAGCCCAAGAGGCUCAGUAGUUUAGACCACAGUGCCACCCAUGUUCUCCUCCCUCCUGCAUGUGGUGAGUGGGGACCCUUUUGCAACAGUUCCUUCAAUUAAGAUCAGGCUUACUAGCCACUUUACUUCUGAAUAUACUCUGGCUGGCCUCUGUUUUUUCUCCCACCGAUAGGGAACCCACUUAAGGACUCUCUACAGGCUCUUGGAUACCCCAUAAGGGAAAGGGAGCAGCUUUUUCUUAAAACAACGAUAAUAAUAUCUAUCCACACUGAUGCAAUUCAUAUUUCCAGGCAUUUUGGGUAUGUGUGUUUGCAUGUGUGUUGAAUUGGCACUCAAUUCAGGAAACUGUUUGACAUGGAGAAAGGAGGAGGGGGAAGGAGCUGAGGGUCAAGUGGAACACUGCGAUUGCCUGCGUUUCACCAGGCAGGCAGGAUUCGCACGUGACACCUUCCACCUUUUCCCGUGCCUCUCUCCGCCUGGACGAGGAGAGGUCCUGACAGGCCUUUUCACUUUGAGCGAGGCUGGUGGGCCAUAAUAAUGCUCUGGUAAAUAAUAUACAGCAGUCACAGCGCCGGCACUUGAGAGCGCAGCACUAGAUUCUGCUGACCCCUGCAUUGUUGCUACCUGAAGGGAAACAGGCCCCAUAAAAUAUUGAAGGGAACUAAUAGAAAAUGAGACAGCAUGACUAAUGGGGUGGAGUGAGGCAAGGGGAGCAGGCGGGGACGAAAGGGGGCGGGCGGGCGGAGCUCUCUAAUGCAGCUCUUGCUCUCUCCCGCCGGCUGCGAGCGGGGGAAUCCCACAAUGCUCUGCAGCUGGCGGGGGCUUGCAGCAGGGAGUAAAGGAAUCCUGGCCCGUGAGCCAAUCUGACACCUGCAUAUCCCCCAAAGCAUCUGGGGGAGUUCAUUAAUUGAAAGCAUGCCUAUCUCUCUCGCUAAAAUAGCAACAAGGUGGCAUAUCAAAAAACAAGCUUUUGCAAAAGAAAAACCCAAUAUGCAAUAAAAACAAGGUGACUACAUCACGCAGCUGGUACCAGAGGUCCAGGGAAGCCUGAUAGAUGCUAAGCAGAAGUUGACCACAGUAGGUACCUACCGUGUCUCAGUGGGCAGUUCAUUCCGCAGCUUGGGGGCUACCACUGAGAAGACACUACGAACAUAAGAAGAGCCUUUCUCUAGAUCAGGCCAGUGGCACAUCUGGUCCAGCAUCCUGUUCUCACAGUGGCUCACCGGAUACCUAUGGGAAACCAGCAAGCAGGAUCCGAACACAAGAGCACUCUCCACUGUGAGGUAGGUUAGGCUGAGAGAAGGCAGUAACUGGUCCCCCAGUCACUGGCAGAGGAACAGGCAUGCGGAGGGAGCGCACCGCCCCCAGUGGCACGAUCCCGGUGGGGUGCCAUCAUGGCUGGCCCCCCUGCACUAGGUGCCACGCCCCCAGGAUGCGUGCCACAGCCCCAGGAUACGCACCACGCCCCUGCAGGCGGCACACCAAGCCCCCAGGGUGCGCGCCAGCCACACCCCCGCCUGUUCUCCACCACUGUCCCCAGUGAGUUUCAUAGCCAAGCAGGGAUUUAAACCCUGGUGUCUCCCAGGUCUUUGUCUGGUGCUCUAACCACUGCACCAUACUGGUUCUCUUAGACAGAAGAACUUUCUCCUGGUGGGAGCCAUUUGACAGGGGAACAGACUCCCUCAGAAGGUGGUGAACCCUCCUUAAAUCUCUUCUUAAAUGUCCGUCAGAUGAGCAUCCAUCAGGGGUUCUUGAGCUGCGAUUCCUGCAUUGCGGCACGGGGUUGAACAAGAUCACCUUUGGAGAGCUCCCUUGCAACUCUACAAGUCUAUGACUCCUGAUGUCCAGGUAAGCAAAGAGCUGUGGAAGGAACGUCUUGCUGAAAAAGCUUCCUUAUUUUCUCUCCCCAGCCUGAGGACUUUGCUUAAGUUACACAUCUGCCCAGGUGUGUGUGUGUGAGUCUCCUACACAUGUCACCAUUGAACCUCUCUUCAAAUCAUCUCCGACAGGCUGGAAAAUCCAUACCUUGAGGGCCUCAUUAUGGUUUUCUCUCCCAGGUCCUUAUUAGCUUGAAGACAUCGGGCAGAGUAACCUGGAACGCCAAGAGGUGAACGGGUGGGGGUGCAAUUUCUGCUGAGCCCCAAAGUGAGAGGGCUGGCUUCCAAUCCAUCCAUCCAUCUCUUCUAAUCAUGUCACUCAUUGUUUUUUGAACGAUCAGAGUGGACUCCUGUCUGCCGAACCUUGCCAAAGAUGCCUUCAGGGUUCAGUAUCAUCUGUGUACGGGCUGAGUCACUUGGACUUUUGUCCUUGAUUUCCUCUGUGUUUACCUACCAGUGUCGUUCUGUUGCAAAGGCCGAGUGACGGACCCCACCCCACACACAUUUUAUUCUUCCCAUCCACCCAUUCUGUUUUGAGUUAUUGGCUCCAAACUUCCAAUCAACAUUCGCUGAAACACAUUAGCAAGUGAAACACAGAGCAGUGUGGGUGUAUAUUUGUGUGUGUUGGGGCUGAGAAUCUGAAUUCUCUUCGCCCUCUGUUAUAUGAGAGGUUUUAUCUGCUUUUUAAGAAAAUGUUAUUACAGUUUGAUUCUUUUUAUAGCACCCAAAGGGUUUGUCUUCUAACUAAGACUGACUCAAAGGAGAUCCGCUGGAAUCAAUGGACCUAAGUUCAGCCCAGCCUUCAAUGUCAAUAGGUUGGAUCUGAGCAUCGCUAAUGUCAAAUGCAGUCCAAAUGAAGAUAUCCAACAAAUUCAUACUUAGACCUGUUGAAAUCAAUGGGCCUUAGCCUGCUCUUGAGCAGGACUAACAGGUAUUUAUACCUUCAGAGAAUAUUGAAACUACGCCUUCAUCCGAAUGAGGAAAUCCCAACGAAAGAACAGUGGCAAGAAAAAUUGAUGAGCUAUGCAGAGUUGGCUAAAUUGACAUACAAACUGCGGGAUAAAGACAACUGUGACUUUAAGGAAGAAUGGGAACUUUUUACAAAUGAUCUAAAAAAACAAUAAAAUGAAUUGGACUCCUUGGCAGGUUUUGAAUAAACAUACAAAAAUUUAUUGGUUGAUUACAUAGGAGGAAGGUGAAACGGGAGGCGUACGCUUCCCAGUCUCCUAAUGCUGGGUUGAAUGGCAAGAAGUUGCUGUCAGUUGCCAUUCUGAGUUCCUUGGGUCCCGGAGCUGAAGCCUGGAUACACGGUGCGAGGCAGCGGUGCGGCAGGUGGCGGUGCUGUGUGUGGCGGUCAGCUACGUGGGAUCCCACCUUCGUUGCCAGUGAAAUAUACUCGGAGUCGAGAGUGGAUUUCAUGCUCUUUAUUCAGUUCAUAGUGGUGAGGAGGACUGGAAGUUCCCCCAGAAUAUCUGCUUUAUAUACAUUAUUUAAACAAUGGGCCCCACGUGAUUGGCUAUUUCUGGGAUUCUCCUGUAGGCCAAUCAGAUUGCUGAUCCACUUCCACCUGGAGCUGGAUUGGGUGGCUCCUGUGAACCAAUCAGACUGCUGCAUUCUGGACCCUCUUGUUCUAGGACCAAUCAGACUGCUGCAUUCUGAAUCCUAUUGUUCUAGGACCAAUCAGACUGAUGCAUUUUGGAUCCUAUUCAACUCAGUACAUAACAAUAGAUAAGGCAAGGAUAUGUAUAAUUUUAUAACAUGCAGAGAAUAAUAUGUGUGAAGAAAUCAGAGAGAGGAGCUGAGGGAACUCCUUGGUGGGGGGGAGGAUGGAAGGGGGGGGUGGAAAAAAGGGGGAAAAUAACAUAUGUGAUUAUAUGGUUUGAUAAUUUUUUAUGUUGAAAUUGUUUAAUAAAAAUAUUUUUUUAAAAAAAGAAACUAUGCCUUCAUCCAGGAGGAGUAUACAUAUUUAUAUUGCUGAGCUACAGAGCUUCUCCUAAAAAUCAUAGAACAGUAGAGCUGGAAGGGACCCCAAAAGCCAUUUAGUCCAACCUCCUGCAAUGCAGCAAUCACACCUCAAGAAUCCCUGACAGGUGGCCAUCCAACCUCUGCCUAAAAUCCAUGAAUAUAGGAGAGCCCACCACCUCCCAAGGGACUCCGUUCUACUAUUGAACAGCUCUUACCUUCAGAAAGUUUUUCCUAAUGUUUAGCCGAAAUCUCCUUAAAUCUUGUAACUUGAAUCCAUUUCUUCACAACCUACCCACUGGAGCAGCAGAAAGCUAAGUUCCUAGUCCUCAUGGUUUGGAAUAAAAAGCUGUGUUACCCUGAGUCGGACUAUUCGUCCAUCUAACUCAGUACUGUCUGCACAGACUGGCAGCGGCUCUCCAGGAAUUCAGGCAGAGGGCCUUUCCCAGCCCUACCCAGAUUGAACCUGGAGUCUUCUGCAUGCCAGGCAGCUGCUCUACCCACUGAGCUGCAUCUGUUUCCCCCUUAAAAAAUUAAAAUAAAGUGAGAUACUAGUCCUCAUGCUUCUGAAUAAAGGACUGGUUUCAAUCAGAAUAAAGGAAGCUGCCUUAAAGUGAGUCAGGCCAUAGAAUCAUAGAAUUGUAAGAGACCACAAGGGUCUUAUCUCAUCAGGAAGUCCCCCAUCCCAUUUGAAACCAUACCAGACCCUGCUUAGCUUUGCAGAUGUGUUAGCAGUUUUAUUACUGCACCACUGGGAUGGUCCAUUUAGCUCAGAGAGGGGGAGGUAUGAUAUUGUCCACAUUGAACGGAAGCGACUUCUCCGGGAUUUCAGACAAUUAGCCUUUUCCAGUCCUAUCUGGAAAUGAUGUCGCGCAUCGAACACGGCAUCUUCUGCAUUCCAACCAGAUGCUCUACCAACUGAGCUGUGGCCCUCCGCCUAAAUUUAAACCCUCUGAUUGGGAGUGGAUGCUGGCAGUCUCAGCUGCUCAGCAAGUUGUGGGAUAAAGGUAAAGGUAAAGGGACCCCUGACCAUUAGGUCCAGUCAGACUCUGGGGUUGCGGCACUCAUCUUGCUUUAUUGGCCGAGGGAGCCGGCGUACAGCUUCCAGGUCAUGUGGCCAGCAUGACUAAGCCGCUUCUGGCGAACCAGAGCAGCGCACGGAAAUGCUGUUUACCCUCCCGCCGGAGCGGUACCUAUUUAUAUACUUGUACUUUGACGUGCUUUCGAACUGCUAGGUUGGCAGGAGCAGGGACCAAGCAACGGGAGCUCACUCCGUCGUGGGGAUUCGAACCGCCGAACUUCCGAUUGGCAAGUCCUAGGCUCAGUGGUUUAACCCACAGUGCCACCCGUGUCCCAGUAAUUGUGGGAUAACCAGCCUUAUAUAACCAACAAGCUUAAGUCUAUUUAAUGCAUGAAGGGGUUAAUGCCAUAGAGUAAGCUGUCCUGCCAGGCUUAGCUAGGUCACUCCUUCUCCCCUUGGGAGGAAGGUUAUGAGUCUAUUGUUCUCUCUCAGUCUACCUAAGAAGUUCAGUGUGUAAAGAGGUUUGAGCUAGUUGCUCCGAGCUCAGACCACAUGGCCCUAACAAGCCUUUUGAAUACUGUGUCCAAUUCUGGGCACCGUAAUUUAAGAAGGAUAUUGGCAAGCUGGAACAUGUGCAGGGCAGGGCAACUAAGAUGAUCAAGGGUCUGGAAACCUUAUGAGGAACGGAUGAAGGAGUUUGGUAUGUUUAGCCUGGAAAAGAGGAGACUGAGAGGAGAUGAUAGUUAUCUUGAAAUAUGUCACAUGGAAGAGAGAACAAGCUGUUCAACAGUGGAACGGUCUCAGGAGGUUGUGGACUCUCCUUCCUUGGAGGAAUUUAAACAGAGGUUGAAUGGCCACCUAUCAUCUUAGUUGAAAUUCCUACAUUGCAGGGAGUUGGACUAGAAGACUCUUGGGGUAGCUUUCAACUCUUCAAUUCUAUGAUUCUUGAGUUCCUAAACCAAUAAUUUUCACCACUGUAACUAAGCCAACUUUUACUGCCUAUUCAACCUUUUCCGAAUGCUGUAUGAAAAAGCACAUGAAUCUGACCUUUGGAGGGUUUGUAAGUAAACCAUUUUUAACGUCCCAAAUGUGUGGCCUUUUCACUGGGGGGAAAUGGAAGUUUUGGAACUCACAGGGGGAUGUUUUAAAGGUCUAAUAGCCUAUAUUUCCACGCCUUACUUUGCUGCAUGUUUUAUGAUUUUAAAUCUCUGCUGAGAUUCUCUCACCAAACAGUACUUCCUCCAAACUUGGCAUCCACGAAUUCUACUUUUAUACCUAUUUUUUCCCCCUUGCCACCAACACAAAUGACCCCGCGGUGCCCUUUCCCCUGCAUGUGAGCUUUGGUGGCAUUGCAGCUGCCACUACGUGAGAAGGAGGACAGAGCAUGAAUCGUGCCACCCUGUAGGGUUGCCCCUGCCAAUUAGUCCUGCCAUCCGCCUGCCCACUUGCAUUCUUUUAAGUGAUUCUGACAGCUCUCGAGGAAAGCAGAGAUAUGAACUCAGCAACCCAGAUUCUCUCUCCCCCUCUCCCCCUCUCCCUCUCAUCCAUUAAAGACAAAGCGGGGCACCAACUCCCUCUUCACUGCCGCCCUCCUGACACGCAGACAGCUCUUUAACUUCCGAGCUUUAUAAAUCUUUGGGAUGCGAGAUUUUAAAUCACAAUAUUUUUAUUAAAGGCCAGGCUGGAUGGGGAAAGGCCAGCUUGUCAGAGGACAGCUUAAAGUGCAUCUGUUUGCACAAAAGGCCAGGACUAGCUGUGUGGUGCAGUGGUUAGAGUGUCGGACUAGGAUCUGAGAGUCCAGGGUUCGAAUCCCCCACUUGGCUAUGAAGCUCACCUUGGACACCAAUCAUAGCCUCUCAGUCUAUCCUACCCUACAGGAUUGUUGUGAGGAUUAAAUGAGGAGGGGGAGAACCAUGUAUAGCUCCCUGGAGAAAAAUGUGAGAUAUCAAUGCAAUAAAUAAGCAAUAAAUAGCUGGAGCAUGGAUCAUUCUAUCUGAGAAUUGUCUACACUGACAAGGCAACAACUUUCCAGAAUUUCAGAAUUCACUUACCAGGAGAUGCUAAGGUUUGACUUGGGACCUUCUGCAUGCAAAACUGGGUCAUGGCCACCGCAGGUUUGCAGGGAGUAAUUUGAUUUUCUUUGCUUUUUCGUGAUAAACGACCCAAUUCACACACCUUGAACCUGACCCAAAACACAGCAGCCCUUUGAAAACCACACUUCUGAGAAAGCUGUCCUCCAACCAAACGAAUGUGUACAUCAAUGCCUAUUUUAGGCAAAAUCAAACACAAAAAUGCUUUAAUAGGGAAACGGGUAAUGUGCCUAUUAGUCAAAACCUCGCUUAAAAUGUGUUUAUUAGGAGAAAUUUGCCCUAAAAUGCAUGGCGAAUUUGGGGGAGGUUUUCUUUCAACAGUUUGCAAAUUGCUGUGUAAAUCACACUAAAAGGUUGAUGAAUUUCUGUGGUGGUUUUAUUUUAUUUUUAAAUGGCUGUGGAAAUGUGGAGAUCUGAAUUUCAGACUGGGGAAAAUAGAGAAUAAGAGAAACUAAAACGAACAGAUUCUUCCAUCCCGGUCUACCCCUUACUUAGUAUCUUCAGCUCAAGACAUAGGAAUCUGCUGUAUAUUCAGUCAGGCCGGCACUGGCUAGCAGUAGCUCUCGGGGGUUUCAGAGGCAGGAAUCUCUCUCAACCCUACAUGAAGAUGUCAGGGAUUGAACAUGGCACCUUCUGCCUGAAAAGCAACUGCUCUAACCACUAGGCAUCUCCCCUCUCCUGAAUAUGCAGAUGGGACUUUAAUUACCUUUUGGAUUUUGCACUUUUUCUCAACUUUGCAUUCUCAGCUUAAAAAAAACCCACAAAGCCCAUUACAAUGUGCCUUGAGUACGCCUAUUUUAGGAUAAAAUACAAUUAGAAAUGUACAAGCUGAGAUAAAACAUGCAUUUAAAUAUGUGAUUUUGUAAAAUGCAAGACUGGAUAUGAAUAUUCAUGCUGAAAAUGAAAUCAGAUUCUAGCCACUAGAAUCUAGCGCUCGUGUUUCUGGCAAGGGGCUGGUUCAAAGUAAGUUGUCUGAAGCUCUGUGUAUUGUUUGCACUGAUUGGCAGCAGCUCCCCAGCCUUUCAGGGAGAGAAUUGAAUCUGGGUCCUUCUGCUUGCAAGGCAGACAUGAUGCCACUGAGCUACAUGAAGAGACAUCAUGAUAUUAUGGGGUGCCGGUUUCUGGUGCCGAAGAGAGAGCAGGAAACUUUGCCAUCCCUGCAAAGUCUCUCUUUCUCUCUCUCUCUCCCUUUUCUCAAUUGGCCUUAUUGACGCCCUAGGAGAAUAGAGAGGUGUGUUAUUCAGUGGGUCGUAGGAUCUGAUUCUGCCUUAACCUAACAUCCCGUCAUUCUGCCUCCCUUGCAUUGUCACUGCAUCCUUUUGUCCUCGCUCCUCUGCUCAUUGUGCUGCUGCUGCUCCGUUCGCGAUCCCUGAGCUUCCUGUUCGAUCCCUGCAGCGGCAGAAACUAUUUGUGUCUUGGUGUUGCUAUAUAAUUAACGGCAGCCGCCGCUCCAGUGCAACGAGGGAAGCGAACGGGGUCAGAUGCGACUGUUGUCUCACCUGUUUGGAAGCUGAGAACAAUGGAAUGGUAGAGGGGGAGAGAGCGAGGAGGAAGCAGCAGCCAGGUGUGUCUUUGCGCAUGAGCGCAGACCUUGGGCACAUCUUCUGUGUUCUUGCUCUGUUUAUUUGUUUGCAAAUAAACUUGCACUCUGCUCUUCAGCCAAAAAGGGCUACCAAAGUGGCUUGCAUGCAGUCCAUUGAAACAAGACAGAGCAGAGUCUCAAAUUCUCCAUGAAUUUGUCUGAUCCUCUCUAAAUAACAUUAGAUUAUUACGCUUGCUUUUGAUCAGGGGUUGGCAAACUAAGGCCUGCAGGCCGGAUCAGGCCCAAUUGCCCUCUAGAUUCAGCCCGCAGAUGGUUCUGGAGUCGCUGCUUGGAUCAGCGCAAACGCCAUUUAAAAAAAAAAAAUUCGGGCACCAUUUUUUCCGCUAUUUCCGCCCCUCCAUCCCUCACACAGAGGGAUGCAGGUGGAGCUGUGGGUUAAACCACAGAGCCUAGGACUUGCCAAUCAGAAGGUCGGCGGUUUGAAUCCCCGCAACGGGGUGAGCUCCCAUUGCUUGGUCCCAGCUCCUGCCAACCUAGCAGUUCGAAAGCACGUCAAAGUGCAAGUAGAUAAAUAGGUACCGCUCUGGCGGGAAGGUAAAUGGUGUUUCUGUGCACUGCUCUGGUUCACCAGAAGCGGCUUAGUCAUGCUGGCCACAUGACCCGGAAGCUGUACGCCGGCUCCCUUGGCCAAUAAAGCGAGAUGAGCACCAAAACCCCAGAGUCGGUCACAACUGGAAUUUAUUCAAUCUCUCUUGAAUCCUCCAAUAUUCAAAAUCAUUGGACGUUCAUGAGUUAUGAGAGAGAGAGAGAGAGAGAGAGAGAGAGAGAGAGAGAGAGACUUUUCUCUAUCCAUUUUCUCAAUGCCAUGGAUAAUUUUAUAAACCUGGCAGAGGAGGGUGGGGUGGGUGAGUGGAACUCUCAGCAGAUGGGCUUUCCUCACUCUUCACUCUGCCCCACCUUGAUAUAAUUUUCUCUCUCUGUCCUGCCCAGUUGUCUGCCUUCGACAGAGAGCAAUGUGGCUGUAAAGCGCAGGGUGCCUCAGAGCAAAAAAGGAUAUUGUAGAGCUGGGGAAAGGUUCCAGAUAAGACAACUAACAUAAGCAGGGGGGUUGGAGUGACUCCUUGAUGAAGAAAGAUUACAAAAUUUGGACCUUUCUAGUUCAGAGCAAAGGAUGUGUGUGAAAAGUUCACCAUGACAUGGAGAAAACAGAUAGAGAAUUUUUCCCCUCCUCCUCCCAUGACAUUAGGAUCCAACGGGUCAUUUUAUUUUUAACUGAUUGCGUUUAUAGCCCACCAAGAAGCUCAAGGCUAUGUACAUGGCUCUCCCCCUCUUCAUUUAAUCCCCACAACAACCCUGUGAGGUGGGUGAGGCUGAGACGCAGUCUUGCCCAAGGUCACCCAGUGAGAUUCAUAACCGAGUCGGGAUUCGAACCCAUGGCCUCCUAGUCCAGCACUUGAAGAACUACGCCACACUGGCUCUCAUGUCAUAGAACACGACCUUCCCAAUGCUGCUGGACUCACUUCCCUGACCACUGGUCAACUGCAUCUGGAGGGCCACAGGGUCCCUCUCUCUGCUUUAUCCAGUCUUAAGAAAAACCAGAGCAGCAACUCAUGCAGAGACACAGCAGUGAGCCUCCUUUCUGGUUAGUGCUUCCUUGUUCCCAGCAGCCAGUAGUCUUAGGGAUAUAAGGCAAUGGCGGCUCUAAGAUGUUGCUGCACUCCAACUCCCAGCAUCCCUAACCACUGGUCCUGCUUGCCGCUGAGAGCUGGGAGUCACAGCAACACCUGGAGGGUCACAGACUCCCGCAGACUCUGGGAACACAUGCAGGAAGUGGUUCUGUCAACCACCCACCCUUUUGAAACUGGAGGUGCCUGGGUCGAACGUGAGGCCUUCUGCAUGCCCAGCAGCUGUCGCUCUGAUGAUCUGUGUCUCCACCUCCCAUACAUUCCUGGAACCCCUCCACUCUCUCUCCCUACUCUCUUUCCACACUGGCAAUUCCUGCGCCUCUCCAUCUCUCCGAUACAAAACUGCAUUAACUAGCAAACCUGUAGUGCUUUUUUGCUUCUUCUUUUUUAACAUUACGUCCUCCCGUUGCCAUAACGACCUAAUGCAAAUCGCAACCCCCGCCCGCUCUCCUUUCCUCGCACGCUUUCCACACAUCCAUGCCCAGCCUCCCCGAAUUCAGCGUGCAGGCAAACAGUCCCAAAGCGACUGCUUUUAUAGUCGCAGCUCAUCCUUCGGCUUUGAGGGAAAUGUCUGCUCAGCUUCCCCACUGCCACCAAAGAGGGUUUGAUGACGAGGGGCGGGAACCCGAAAUACUCGCUCUGUCUCUUUUUGCAUGAGACAGGACGGAUAAAAGAAAAAAGCCCUUCUCCAUGCAGCGCAAGAUCUGAACUGCGGAAGUUGGUCCCGCAGGAGGCAAGGAGGGCCACAAACUUGGACAGCUGCAAAAGAGGACUGGACAAAUUCACGGGGGAGCAGAGGGGGCUAUUGAUAGCUCUUAACCACAAUGGCUGCACUCUGCCCUCCGCAAUCGGAAGCAGCGAUGUUUCUCAAUACCAGUUUCUGGAAACCACAAGGGGGGGGAGAAUGUUCUUGUGCUCCGAUCUUGCUUGGCAGGGGCGUGGCGUGGGUUGCCAUUGCCCGGGGCAGGGCAAGCGUUGUGCCUGCCCUGGUGGACUGCUCUGCCCCUUCUGCAGCCAGCGUCUAACCAAGGGAGCGUCUCCUUGCAAACUAGCCCCAACCUGGGAGCAGAGAUAAGGCGGAGAAACGCAAAGCCAGGAGCGCUGCUGUGUCGCCUCAUCCUCCUGUCCUUGCAGCGAGGCACACUGGGCUCUAGCAGUGCUUUCCCAUCUUCCUCUUCCUCUUCCUCCCUCCCUCCUUGGUAGGCAGUGGCGGUCCCUCCCUCCCUUCCAGCUGUCCCUUCCCCAGCCACUGCCCCAGCUUCUGAAGGCCUGGCCUGGGGACAGUUUGCCUCCCGGGAGCUCCAUCCCCCCAUAAUGGGGACGCCUGGUUGUGCCUCCUCAUAAAUUUGUGCCCGGCGCCACAGCCCCCUGCCCACCAUGCUAUGCCACUGCUGGUUGACCACUGUGAGAAGAGGAUGCUGAACUAGGUGAAACAUUUGUCUGAUCCAGCAGGGAUCUCCUUAUCUUAUCUGUCUGUCUGUCCAUCAACCCAGCUAUCUCCAUCUAGGGGUCACCAGUGUGUGAGUGGAUCUGGAAGCCGAGUUUAAUUCCGUGGGAAACUGUGUGAACACUUCUAGUUUUUUAAAAUAUAUAUAUAAAAAUCUGUGGUUCAUAAAUCACUCAGAGACUUUUGUGCAUGGAAAGCGAGAAAUAAAUGAAGAUCGUCCCCACUGUCUGUGGCCCAGAGAGGGAUACAUUCUGAAAGCUAGAGGCUGUGAUGGAGAGUCCUCCUCUUCUUUGAUCUUUUAACGUGUGUAUUUAUUUCAGAAGUCUCUCUGCGCCACCUUCUCAGACACAUUUCAAAAGCAGUUGAAUUGAAGAAAAAACUAAUAUGCUCUAGAAAGGCACACACAUCUAAAAUAUUUAUAUGCUGCCUUUUCAGGGGCGGUGGGAGGGGGGUCGGAUUCUUCCAAGGUGGCUCUUAAAAGAUAAUGGGUGAAACAAGAAAACCACAUUUGAAGCUACGAAUAAAACAAUCAAAUUGCAAAACACAAAGAGAGGUUUGUAAGAGCCAUGCGGAAGCAGAUAAAGGUAGUGACGACUUUGGUCAUAGAGCACCUGCUUUGAAUGCAGAAGAGCCCAGGUUCAUAAGAACAGGAGAACAGCCUGCUGGGUCAGUCUCCUGUUCAGUCUCCUCACAGGUAUAUUGGGCCAAGGCCGUUUAGGGCUUUCAAGGUCAGCACCAACACUUUGAAUUGUGCUCAGAAACGUUGUUGUUGUUUAGUCGUUUAGUCGUGUCCGACUCUUCAUGACCCCAUGGACCAGAGCACGCCAGGCACUCCUGUCUUCCACGGCCUCCCACAGUUUGGUCAGACUCAUGUUGGUAGCUUCGAGAACACUGUCCAACCAUCUCGUCCUCUGUCGUCCCCUUCUCCUUGUGUCCUCCAUCUUUCCCAACAUCAGGGUCUUUUCUAGGGAGUCUUCUCUUCUCAUGAGGUGGCCAAAGUAUUGGAGCCUCAGCUUCAGGAUCUGUCCUUCCAGUGAGCACUCAGGGCUGAUUUCCUUAAGAAUGGAUACAUUUGAUCUUCUUGCAAUCCAUGGGACUCUCAAGAGUCUCCUCCAGCACCCUAAUUCAAAAGCAUCAAUUCUUCGGUGAUCAGUCUUCUUUAUGGUCCAGCUCAGAAACAUACUGGGAGCCAAUUUUCAGCACCAGUGUUAUGUCGUCUCAGCGGCUGCUCCCAGUCACCAGUCUAGCUGCCGCAUUCUGGGUUAGUUGUAGAAUCCCCUUCUAAUGAAAGCCCCAUGUAGAAUGCACUGCUGUAGUCCAAGUGGGAGAUAACUAGAGCAUGCACCACUCUGGCUGUGAUGGCCUGGGACUCGGGCUCAGACUCGGAACCAGAGGAGACUCAGUCUGCACCAGAUCAUUUGCCUCAGGCAUCAUCUGAACCAAGUCUGGGGCCUGAUCCUGAAGAGUCCCAGUCUGCACAUGUUCCCCUGCAACAAACACCACCUGGGCUGAGUCAGGGGCCUGAGCCUGCCCUGGCUCCAGAUGCGAGGAUUACCUCGUUGACUUCAGCUGGGCCAUCACUUACAGCUGCUCCACUACCAGUUGGGUCAGGGGAGGCUGAGGCGGCCUCUGGGUCUAGUAACCCACCGACGUCUCCCGAGCUGCAGAGACUAAGGUUGGAGAGAAGGAGAGACCUGAGUACUCGCAGGAGAAGAGCUCACCUUUGGGCGAAACAGGGAGGUGAGUUGCCGGGGGAUCAGGACCAGCUGCUGCCCCGACAAAGAUAAAAGGCUGUCGCACCCUGCCCCAGGUUGCAGGAGCAACAUUGCUGUAUGCUAGAUCCUGCACCUGUCCUUGCCUGGUUUCCUGCUUUGUGUCCUGCCUUGGCCCUGUUGGACUGACUCCUAGCAGAACCUUUGCAUUCUGGACUGGUCCUGGACCACUUUUCACAGGUUGCCCCUGGGCCCAGCACACUGGCAAGACAGUCUAGAGACCUUAAAUGGGUUAGUAGCCAUGGCCUUCAUGGUUAGUAGCCAUGAAUUUGUCUAAACAUAGGAGUGGUCACAGGCCAGAUCCAGGUGCUUUGGAAGAAACUGAUUUCCUGGUUCCAUUUCAAUCGGGGCUUAGGCACAGUUUUGGCACAGAAGCUGCUUUGGUCAUCCUGUAUGAUGAUCUCUGUCGAGAGAGACACAAGGGAAACAUGUCCUUGUUAAUUCUCCGUGAACUCUCAGCAGCUUUCAAUACCAUUGACCAUGGUAUCCUUCUGGAGCAGGGAUAGGCAAACUAAAGCCGAGGGGCCGGAUCCGGCCCAAUUGCCUUCUAAAUCCGGCCCGCAGACGGUCCGGGAAUCAGCGUGUUUUUACAUGAGUAGAAUGUGUCCUUUUAUUUAAAAUGCAUCUCUGAUGAUUAUUAUUAUUUUUUUAAAAAAAGGAGCAAAGUUGUACACUGCGUGAUUGUGCUAACUUUCCCGGGAGUAGCCAGGAAGGUAUCUGUAGUGUGGCUAUUUGUCUUCACACCGUGAGCAAACGUGAGUGGUGACGGUCCUUAUUUUUAGCACAUCAGCCAAUCAGACAUUUCCUCCUCCUCUUUGUACUGCGAAGAGCUGCUCUUCACUUCUGUGAUGGGGAUCUCUGACUGACACCCAAGGGUGCAAGAGCAUGGCAGGCAGCCCCCCCCCCAAGCAGCCCAGAAAGCCAGCGAUAACAUCUUACCUCUCCCUGUCUGUCUUUUUAUUUAUAGCCUCCUUUCACGAUGUCAUCAACCUAUUUAUACAGAUGCUCCUUUUCCUCUGUGUUAAAAAUACAUAUCUUUAUCUUCCCCUCUGGAUCCACACCUCCAUAUUUAUAUUUAAACCUGCCCCCCUCCCACCCACCCGGCAGAUUCAUCUAGCAAAGUUUGACUGGUGACAUUUCGACAGAUGACUCUCAGGCGAGAACACGGAAGAACUUUUUCUGCACGUGCCGGGGAUGCAAUGCUCGGAGCGGAAGACUCCCCCUUUCACCAUUCAGAGAGUUUCGGAGUUAGGGGGUGCGCUGAACAGCCUCACAGUUUGAUAGACAAACUGGGGGGGGGGAUAGUGUUUUCUGCCCUUAUGGCUGCUAUUUCCCUAUCCAACCUGUGUUCAUAACGUGCCAAUCAGGGACCACAUUUGUUUUAUUUCAUAAAACUUGUAUACCACUCGAUUGGAGGUGGCGGGGGAAGCCUUCUCAAAGUGGUUUGCAAAAGUAAUAAAACAAAUUGCUGUAUCAGUUUUUUAAAAAGCCCAUUGAAAACAACUAUUUAGAAUGUUCAAAGCAUAACUGAAGUCAACAGUAAGCUAGGAACCAGAAUGAAGUGUGCCCAGAAAUGGAAGCAAGAAGAAAUACCGACGAAAGAGGAAUGGCAGACGAAAUUAAUGGACUAUGCAGAGUUAAUAAUAAUAAUUAUUAUUAUUAUUUAUUUAUACCCCACCCAUCUGGCUGGGCUUCCCCAGCCACUCUGGGCAGCUUCCAACAAAAUAUUAAAAUACCGUAACACAUCAAACAUUAAAAGCCUCCCUAAACAGGGCUGCCCUAGACAAGAUGACAGGAAGGAUUCAAAACCUGCGGGACCAGAGAUUCACAGAAGAUUGGAACAAAUACACGAACUAUUUGAAGAGCAAUUGUAAUCAACGAAUUACACCAGUAGGACUACAAGAAGUUUUGUAAGGAGGAAUAUACGAAAUAUUGCAAAGAAGAUAAAGAUGAAAGAUAUUAGUUACGAUACUUAAAUGUAAUAGUGAAAGUAAGAAAUGUAAACUAAGUGGGAAAGAUAGGAAAAUGUUUAGAUGUGAUUGAUGGAAGUCUAAAAAACUGUAUAAGAUAUAAAAGUAUGUUUCAUUAUUGUUGAAAAUGAUACACACACACAUAUAUACACACAUAUAUAUAAAGAAACCAGAAUGAAGUGCGUGCCAACAUUCUACAUAUUUGGAUAAGCUUUCCGAAACAGAAAUUUUUUUAAGUAGGUACAGGAAAGAGUUCAUGGAGGCAUUUGCCUGAUGUCAAGUGGCAGAGAGUUCCAAAGUGUCAGUCCUGGCACACUGAAAAGUUGAUUCCUUGCAGAUCUCUCUCUCUCUCUCUCUCUCUCUCUCUCUCUCUCUCUCUGUGUGUGUGUGUGUGUGUGUUUCUCUGUCUCUCUCCACCAACCUAUUUGUGCAAACACUCCUUUUUGUUCACGUUAAAAAUGCAUAAACUCCAAGUCCCCCAUGGCAAACAAGUUGGUAAACUGUGGGCUGGAUGAGGUUACUGUUAGGGGAUUUGUAGCUGGUUGCCUGACCAAACUCAGAUAAUGCUCAUUAAUAGUUCUUCGUCAUCCUGUUAAAAAGUGACAAGUAGGGUGACGUAGGGUUCUGUCCUGGGCCAGUUGCUGUUCAACAUCUUUAUGAAUGAUCUGAGGGGUAGCUAAUGUUGCAGAAGACAAGAUGACCUUAACAGAUGGGAGAACGGACUAUCAAACUAUCAAAAUGAAUUUCAAUAGGGAUAAAUGUCAGGUUCUGCACUUAGGCAGGAAAACCAGAUGCACAAAUGUAAGAUGGGGUACAGCCUGCAUGUGAAAAGGAUCUAGGGGUCUUAGUGGACCACAAGCCGAACGUGAGCCAACAGUGUGAUGCAGCAGCAAAGAAAGAACUAAUGAUAUUCUAGGUUCUAUCAACAAAAAUAUAGCAUCCUAAUCAAGGGAUGUAAUAGUUCCACUCUAUUCUGCCUUGGUCAGACCGAACCUACACUACUGUGUCCAGUUCUGGGUGCCACAAUUUAAGAAGGAUGUUGACAAGCUGAAAUAUGUGCAGAGGAGGACAACCAAGAUGAUCAAGGGUCUGGAAAUCAAGCCAGAUGAGGAACGGUUGAAGGAGCUGGGCAUGUUUAGCCUGAAGAAGAAGAGACUGAGAGGUGAUAUGAUAGUCUUCUUCAGAUAUCUAAAGGGCUGUCACAUGGAAGAUGGAAUAAACCUGUUUUCUGCUGCUCUGGAGGGUAGGACCCAAACCAAUGGCUUCAAGUUAUAAGAAAGGAGAUUCUGUCUAAGCAUCAGGAAGAGCUUUCUGACAGUAAGAGCUGUUUGUCAGUGGAACGGACUCCUUUGGGAGGUUGUGGAUUCUCCUUCCUUGGAGGUUUUUAAGCAGAGGUUGGAUGGCCAUCUGUCAUGGAUGCUUUAGUUGAGAUUCCUGGAUUGCAGGUGGUUGGACUAGAUGACUCUCAGGGUCCAUUCCAGUUUCACAGUUCUAUCAUUCUAUAUUUUAUCUUCCACUCUGGAUCCAUACCUCCAUAUUUAUAUUCACCUCCCUCCCCCGGCUCAGGAGGAUUUAACUGGCAAAAUGUGACUGGUGGCAUUUUGACACCCAUAAUGAUGCCAGUCAGAGGACGGUGAUCAGAGGACGGUGAUGUCACAGUGCUGCAUAACCCCUCUGAUCUGGCUCUGUGAUGACAUCACUGAGGGCUCAUGAAGUCAAGUGAGACCUGUUUUCUGGUUUAGCCAGAUGGGUGACCCCAGCCAAUCAGGGUUCACAAACUGAAAAAGAUGGAAGAACUGAUUAAAACUGAGAGAUAAUUGGUUAAGAGGCCAAAGGAAGGAUGUUGCUACACAAUAAUAAUAAUAAUAAUAAUUUUAUUUACCGUAUUUUUUGCUGUAUAAGACUCAUUUUUUCCCUCCUAAAAAGUAAGGGGAAAUGUGUGUGCGUCUUAUGGAGUGAAUGCAGGCUGCGCAGCUACCCCAGAAGCCAGAACAGCAAGAGGGAUCGCUGCUUUCACUGUGCAGAGAUCACUCUUGCUGUUCUGGCUUCUGGGAUUCAGAAUAUUUUUUUUCUUGUUUUCCUCCUCCAAAAACUAGGUGCGUCUUGUGGUCUGGUGCGUCUUAUAGAGCGAAAAAUACGGUAUAUCCCGCCCUCCCCAGCCAAAGCCGGGCUGAGAGCAGCUAACAACAAUUAAGUGAUUGGAUGUGGCUGCACAGUGAUGUCACUAAGGAUAAGGAACACAUGCAGAGCAAUUUUACAAACAUUUCCCCAAAAAAGAUAAUUCAAAGGGCUAAACAAACUCAGUUUUCUUGAGCUGUAGAAUAUUGUCUUGGUCUUAGGUUGUGGGACUUAUCACCCCACCCUUUUUUUUUUUUUGCAGGACUGAAAGAUUUUUAUUUUCUUUCACUAUCUAAAGGCCUAAUGUUGCUGAUGGGGCAGAAAUUUGCUUCAAUUCACAUUUUAAUGCAAAUCUUAUUGGUUUUUAAUGCACAUGUAAUGCAAACCUACCGGCUUCACACUUCACUGAUGUGAUACAUGCACCAAAAUGCAGCCAUCCUUUGAGAUUCAAACACUUCCCAGUUUUGUGAUUGUGGCCUCUUGUUGAGAAAUGUGCACACAAAUGUAUAUAUAUAUAUUGGCAGGGUGUGUGUGCUUAUGUCAGUGAAAGCAACCAAAAGAAAUGCAGUAUAUUAGGGGGAAUGACUUGCAAACAUUAGCAUGAUGGGUAGAAUUGUUUGCAGAAAGGGGCAUAGCAGGCCAAACUAGCUGCAAACUGGGGCAUAGCAAGCAAAUGAGUUGGGGGAAAAGCUACAGCAAUGGAGAUAUGCGAUCGUCAUCCUCGUAUAUCUAAAGAGCUGCCUCGUGGAAGCUUGUUUUCUCCUGCUCCAGAGGCUAGGACUCAAACCAAUGGAUUCAAGCAUCAAGAAAGGAGAUUCCAGAUAAAUACAGGAAGAACUUUCUGACUGCAUUUCUCAGAAGUUGCUGGGGUCAUUCACAACCUAUUUAAAAUACAGAAAAAUGGGCUUGGGUGCACUUGCAUUUGCGCUUCAGUUGAGUUUCCUGCACUGCAGGGGGUUGGACUAGAUGACCCUUGGGUCCCCUUCUAUGAUUCUAUGAUUUCACCCUCUAGUUCUCAGAUGCCCCAAGUGCUACUCUUCUGACCUGGAAACGGCUGCUGAACGGAAUGGAGUAUCAUGGGAAAGGUGUGGCUGGCUGGCUAGCUGGCUUCCACCUGUAUAAUUUUAUUAUUCUUGCUUUAUUAACUGGAGUGCUGACCUUUAAAGCCCUAAACAGCCUCGGUCCAUUAUAUCUGAAGGAGCGCCUCCACCCCCAUCGUUCUACCCGGACACUGAGAUCCAGCGCCGAGGGCCUUCUGGCGGUUCCCUCACUGCGAGAAGCCAAGUUACAGGGAACCAGGCAGAGGGCCUUCUCGGUAGUGGCACCCACCCUGUGGAACGCCCACCCACCAGAUGUCAAAGAGAAAAACAACUACCAGACUUUUAGAAGACAUCUGAAGGCAGCCCUGUUUCGGGAAGCUUUUAAUGUUUGGUGCAUUACUGUAUUUUAAUAUUUUGCUGGAAGCCACCCAGAGUGGCUGGGGAAGCCCAGCCAGAUGGGCGGGGUAUAAAUAAACUGUUAUUAUUAUUAUUAUUAUUAUUAUUCCCAUUCACCUGGGGGCGGGGGGGAGGACCGUAGCCCAGUGGUAGCACACCUGUUUUGCAUGCAGAUUGCAGAAUGCCCCACCUACAGCCCCCUAGCAUCUCCAGGUAGGGUUAGCGCUAGCGCCUUUUGACAAGCUGUUGACUGCCUGCCUAUUUUGGCCCUAUUUGGGUCUGUGUCUGCCACCUUCUGCUGAGCUGAUUUCUGUCCAUAUCCAUCCAGAGCUGUCCAAAGUGCUGCUUGCAAUGUGAACUUUCAUUUGCCUUUCCAACAGCUGAAGUUUGCCUUGGUUCUUUCGUAUUACAGUGGUACCUCGGGUUACAUACGCUUCAGGUUACAGACUCCGCUAACCCAGAAAUAGUGCUUCAGGUUAAGAACUUUGCUUCAGGAUGAGAACAGAAAUCAUGCUCCAGUGGCACAGCAGCAGCAGGAGGCCCCAUUAGCUAAAGUGGUGCUUCAGGUUAAGAACAGUUUCAGGUUAAGUACGGACCUCCGGAAUGAAUUAAGUACUUAACCCGAGGUACCACUGUACUCUAGGAAUCUAAGCAAAACAAAGCAAGGACCUUGGAUAGCCAUCAAAAAUAUGGGCUGAGAACCUGCCAUAUCUGCCAUUAAUCAACAGUAAACAGAUCUCAUGCUCAGCUUUGUAUGGGUGAGUUAUGAUGCUCUCUGAAGUGGCUUCGCUUCGAAUGCCACCAGCCAGCACCCUAAUCUUUCCCUCAAUCUUAUCUUCCCACUGGGAAUAACCAUCAGUGUCGGACCAACACACUCUUGUACCUCACCCCUGUCCAACAAUCUGAUACCACACCAUGAUUUAUCCAUCUUGAUAAGCGUUGCUUAAGUGCUUCCUUUAUCCACAACACGCACACACUCUUCGUAUAUAUCGUACAAUCACAACCACCUCCCCACAUGGAGAGGAGGAGCAGCUAGACUGGUGACUGGGAGAGGCCAAUGGGAGCAUAUAUAACUAGUCCUCAAAGAACUGCAUUGGCUCCCAGUACGUUUCUGAGCACAAUACAAAGUGUUGGUGCUGACCUUUAAAGCCCUAAAUGGUUUCGGCCCUGUAUACCUUAAGCUAUGGUUUUCCCCAGUAGUGAUGUAUGGAAGUGAGAGCCGGACCAUAAAGAAGUCUGAUCGCUGAAGAAUUGAUGCUUUUGAAUUAUGGUGCUGGAGGAGACUCUUGAGAGUCCCAUGGACUGCAAGAAGAUCAGACCUCUCCAUUCUGAAGGAAAUCAGCCCUGAGUGCUCACUGGAAGGACAGAUCCUGAAGCUGAGGCUCCAAUACUUUGGCCACCUCAUGAGAAGAGAAGACUCCCUGGAAAAGACCCUGAUGUUGGGAAAGAUGGAGGGCACAAGGAGAUGGGGAUGACAGAGGACAAGAUGGUUGGACAGUGUUCUCGAAGCUACCAGCAUGAGUUUGACCAAACUGCAGGAGGCAGUGGAAGACAGGAGUGCCUGGCGUGCUCUGGUCCAUGGGGUCAUGAAGAGUCAGACACGACUAAAUGACUAAACAACAACAACAACAAUACCUGAAGGAGCAUCUCCAUCCCAUUGUCCAGCCUGAACACUGAGGUCCAGCUUCGAGGACCUUCUGGCGGUUCCCUCACAGUGAGAAGUAAGAUUACAGGGAACCAGGCAGAGGUCCUUUUCAGUAGUCAGGCCCUCCUUGUGGAACACCCUCCCAUCAGAUGUCAAGGAAAUAAACAACUUUUAGAAGACAUCUGAAGGCAGCUCUGUCCAAGGAAGUUUUUAAAGGUUGAUGUUUUACUGUCGGUUGGAACAUAUUCGGUUGGUAGCCACCCAGAGUGGCUGGGGAAACCCAGCCAGAUGGGUGGGGUAUAAAUAAUAAAAAAAUAAAAUAUAUAUUACUAUGUUUGAGGUUUUAAUUUGCUGAAAGCCACCCAGAGUGGUUGGGGCAUCCCAGUCAGAUGAGCGGCAAAUAAAUAAAUAAAUAAAUAAAUAAAUAAAUAAAUAAAUAAAUGGUGCUGGGCUGUCACCGCCCUGCCCCCACCCCCAGAGACAUGGAGGCAAAGAAAAAUAGCCAAUAGUGUUUUGGAUGGAGAAAAGACGAAGCUGCUGUUUAUUGACCCAAGCCAUCGAUCCAUUGAGUUCUAUAUUGACUGCACUGACUGGCAGUGGUUUUUUGGACUUCCCCCUCCCAACCUGGAGGUGACACUGGGGACUGAACCUGGGUUCUUCUGCAUUCACAGCAAAUGCUCAACAGCUCAUCAAUGACUCUUCCUUUAAGACACAGAAACACUGCCUGUCUGAUGGUGUUUCCUGCUUGGCAGGGGGUUGGACUCGAUGGCCCUUGUGGUCUCUUCCAACUCUAUGAUUCUAUGAUUCUAAGUUCUCCAAGUUUUCAAUAGAGGUCCUUACAUGACAGGGACCUUCCUAGAUGGAGCUUUGGUUUGAUCCAGCAGGGUUUUCCUUAGGUUCUAAGGGCUGACAGGAAAGUGCCAAGUCCCUGCAAGUCAGGAAAAGGCCUGAGGUACAGAAUGCAAUUGAGGUCUUCCUGGCUCGACAGCUUCAGCUUCAGACAUUGCUAGAAAUUGAGCCUUUCCCCUCUAGCCUCUCACUCUGGAGCCCCCUGCCCCCCACAACAAAUGGAGACUAUGACUUGGAAGUGAGCUCCUCCUCUGGGCCUGUCUGGCCCAUUGCUCUUCAACAUGCAGGACUCUCCUAGAGCUGGUUGUGAGAGGAGGAGAGCCAGCAGGACUGAGACUGUUCUGCUGCGGGAUGGCAGGUGUACCAUCUGAUUCCUCCCCGUCUGUGUCUGUCUGUGUCUGCGCUCACAUUGAGAUGUUCACCCUCCAGCCCUGGUCUGGAAGGACCUUCUUCUGACCCACCUUGAUCACUCCAAUCUCCUGCCUCCAGCAUCUCCUAACUCAUCCCUUCCCCAGCCUCUUCUUCGUUGCCCCACCUCCAGGACCCAGGGUCUAAAUCAGCGGUUCUCAACCUGUGGGUCCCCAUAUGUUGGACUACAACCCCCAUCAUCCCUGAGCUCUGGCCUUGCUAGCUAGGGAUGAUGGGAGUUGUAGUCCAACAACAUCUGGGGAACCUCAGGUUGAGAACCGCUGGUCUAAAUCCUUGCCUUCCCUGUGCUCCCUGGGAAGCUCCUGGCCAGGAGACUCCCAGCACUACUCCUCCUCAUCCAACCAGUCCCUGAGAGCGGUGGGACAAUUGUGGGCACUCUCAUGUUGUGGGACUCCAACUCCCAUUCAGCUCCAGUCUGCAUGGCCAACGGUCAGAUGUGAUGGGAGCUGGAGUGCAACAACAUCUGGAAGGCCACAGGUUCCUCAGCCCUGCAUUAAAAGAAGGCAAAGUUGUGAUGGAGGUAGACAGGGACAGUAGAGUGGUAGCUCAGGUUACAGACGCUUCAGGUUACAGACUCCGCUAACCCAGAAACAGUACCUCGGGUUAAGAACUUUGCUUCAGGGUGAGAACAGGAAUUGUGCAGCGGUGGCGGCAGCAGCGGGAGGCCCCAUUAGCUAAAGUGGUACCUCCGGUUAAGAACAGUUUCAGGUUAAGAACGGACCUCCAGAACGAAUUAAGUUCUUAACCUGAGGUACCACUGUAAAGGCAAGUGAAGGUCUAGUUCAGGGAUGAGGGACCUUUGUUGCCUUUGAGAUGUUAGUGUCACGAUUCCCAGGCUAGCUGCCUAGUGAAAUCAGAGACGUAGAUAGCGUCUGCUGGUUCUUUUAUUUAAGUCAACACAGAAAGACCAUGGAUUAUGUUCUCCUCAGUCCUGAGACAUUGCUCAGAGUGCCUGCUCCACUCCUUUGCAGCACUUCCAAACCCCUCCUUACUGCCUAUGGUGGCCAGCAAUGGAAUCUUUCUGUCUCUGUUUGGCCUUCUGCUCUAAGAUCACCUGGGCCUUGGAAAAGGAGGUUCUACCAGGCUUUCAAGCGACAGUGUCCACUGAAUGCUGUACUGUUUCUCCCACUUCUGAGUCCUGUCUCUGUUCAGGACUAAAGCAUCUGCUAACUUGUUCCCAAUCCUCCAUUAUUUCCCAGCUCUUUGCUUCUUCUUCUAAGAUGCGUCCUGUCCCCUGCCCCCACUAUGAAUCUGGGUCCAUACUAUCAUCAUCUUCCUCCUGCCCAGAUGCCUCUUGAGAUGGAGGUCUUCCACCACUCGUCCCCACCUGCCCAGUCCCUGGCAGUUAGACUGCAAGUCACAUCAGCCGUGGUCAGGGGUGAUGAGAGAUGUCUUUGAGUUCCUACAAACUGACUUGGGUGGACGUUAUGGUUUCCAGUCAAAGGAAACUGCCACACCGUUUGUCUCUUGCUGCAAAAGCAACAAAGCCAGGAGGUUGCACCUUAAAAGUUAACAGGUUUAUUGCAGCAUAAGCUACUGUGGACUUAUCCACAAGAGCUCUCAGUCCGCAAAAGCUCAUGCCAUAAUAAAUCCUCUGGGUUUCAAGUAGGGAUCUGAAUACAAGGAGACCCUUCCUCCCCCCCCCCCGCAACACUGGAGGAGGAAGGGGUGCCAUUAUCCCGCCGUUCCAAGGGUGCAAGAGAACUCAUUGCGUUUAAUUAUCUUUCUGGAAAUGGACGGUUUGCUGACUAAUCUGCCUCGGCUAUCAUUUCGAGGUAUCAUUCUGGGCGUCUGUCGAACUGAAAAGGCGAGGGGGUGACGGGGGGACCAUUAGCGAAGGCGGAGAGAGACAGGUACUCUUACGCAAGAGGCAAUGAAAGAGAAGAUCAGAGUGAAGGCAGUGAAUGGAGGAAAACACACAGAAUCCAGAACCACCUGCAUGUGUCAAUGGAGGCGUAUUUUAUUUAAUUUAUUUUUUUAAGCCUUCCUUCCUUAUCACUAAUACACAGCACAUGUUUCCAGCUAGGUAGAAGGAGGGAGAGGAUGCUGGAGGGACAAUGGGGAAGGAGUAGGAAAUGAAAGGUAGAACAGCAGGCAUGCAAGAAGGGGUGGGUCUGCUAGUUCCAGUUUUCGCUACUAUUUUUUUUUUGGAAGGGAAUAAGAGACUCAUAAAUAGGAACGCUCCCUCUUUGAAGGAUUUACAUGUUCAGGCGGUGCUUUGGAAUUAGAGUUGGUCCCCCGCAUCCUACCCCUGUCAGGGGGAGAGUGGGGAGGAGAAGGGAAAUGUUGGGAAGGGGAUAAAUGGCAACAGGGAUGUGUGAUUUAACCCACCAGGACCUGGUUUUGUAAAAAAAAAGGAAGAAGUUUCAGGGCCUUGAUAGUGGGAACCUGUACUGAAUGCGAUGGGGAGAAGGUUCAGUCACCCAGUGUUGAAAAAUAAUUCUGCAGCAGCUGAUCACCUUGGGCGAAACCCUCCAUAAGUGGCCUUGGUAUGAGAAGCUUUACAGUGGUACCUCAGGUUAAGUACUUAAUUCGUUCCGGAGGUCUGUACUUAACCUGAAACUCUUCUUAACCUGAAGCAGCACUUUAACUAAUGGGGCCUCCUGCUGCCGCCGCGCCACUGGAGCCCAAUUUCUGUUCUCAUCCUGAAGCAAAGUUCUUAACCUGAAGCACUAUUUCUGGGUUAGCGGAGUCUGUAACCUGAAGCAUAUGUAACCUGAAGCAUAUGUAACCCGAGAUACCACUGUAUUUAUGUAUUUAUUUAUUUAUUUAUUUGUAAGUUACCUCUUUCCCAAGGCGGUUUGCACAAAUUAAAAUAACACAGAUGAAAUGCAAAAAGCUAAAGGCAUAUAAAAGACAAGUGUUAAAGAAGUAACUCUUAAUAGAAUGAAAACAAUGUAUAAAAAUCAGGGACACAGGUGGGGCUGUGGGUUAAACCACAGAGCCUAGGAUUUGCUGAUCAGAAGGUCAGCGGUUCGAAUCCUCUGUGACGGGGUGAGCUCCCGUUGCUCGGUCCCUGCUCCUGCCAACCUAGCAGUUCAAAAGCACGUCAAAGUGCAAGUAGAUAAAUAGGUACUGCUCCAGUGGGAAGUUAAUUGGCGCUUCCGUGCGCUGCUCUGGUUCGCCAGAAGCGGCUUAGUCAUGCUGGCCACAUGACCCGGAAGCUGUACGCCGGCUCCCUCAGCCAAUAAAGCGAGAUGAGCGUCGCAACCUCAGAGUCGGUCACGACUGGACCUAGUGGUCAGGGGUCCCUUUACCUUUACUAUAAAAAUCAGAUUUCUUACAAUGCAGGUAGUCAAAACAACAAGCACUAUUAAUAUAUAUAUAUAUAUAUAUAUAUAUAUAGAUAUAUAUAUAUAUAUAUAUGCUAGUCCCCUAAGGGCCUGUUGGAAUAAGGAAAUCUUCACCUGCCAGUGGAAUAACAGCAUGGAGGGAGGCAGUCUGGCCUCUCCAGGGAGGGAGUUCCAAACUCUGGAAACCACCACCAAGAAGGCCCUUUGGAGAAAGCUGAGCAUGCUGUUGAAGUGAAACUGAAGAAAAGUAUGUUGAAUGGAAGUCACCUUCUAUCAUUGUCCAAGGAGAAGGCUUUCCUUCAGGUGUGAACCAGCCAUUUAGGGGACUUCAGUUUUAUCCAGACCUCAUUGUUGGUUGUGAAGUGGGGCCCCAUGACAGUUCAGGAUUCAGGGCCCCCAAAAGGUAGGUCCGCCACUGCCAACAAUGCUACUGCAGAUGAUCUCAGUAAUCUAGCUGGGAUAGAAGUGUUCAGGGGAUUCCCCAAGGUAUCGUGGACCUAAGUUGUGCAGCCAGUGUAUUAAAAAUGGGGUCACAUGUUCUCAACCAGAUGCCCCAUCAACAGUCUGGCUGCUGCAUUCUGCACCAGCCAGAGCUUCUGAACCAGGCCCAAGGGCCGCCCCAGAUAGAGCGCAUUAUAGUAAUCCAGCCCCCUUCAACUUCAUGUGAAUGCCUUGUUGCACUCAAGAGCAUCACAAUGGUAUAAUACUGAUUGGGGUGUGCUGAAAGAGGCCCUAGAGUUGCUGUGGAAACCAACCCCCCUUGACUUUACUUAUUGCCAUAAUUGCAAACAGCAAGGGAGGUGGAGAUGUCAGUGCAUUGCUAUAAGCAAUAUGUUGGAAAUCGAACCUGGUAUAAUCUUAACCCCCAUUUUUUAAAUAUGCUGACACUUGCGUGACUGAAAUCCUCUGCCCGGGUGCUUUGCUAAUGUCCCCCUUUUUUGCAUAGAAUAUUAUUAUAUAUGCAUAAUGUAGAUGGCAAAUAACCCUCGCCAGCAAUUGUGAGGAGAGUCAUAUUUCACAAUGUCACCAAUGAGUUAUAAUUUAGCUGGAGCGACGCUUGAGCCCUCAGAUUAGAUCAGUUGCUACAGAGAGAGAGAGAGAGAGAGAGAGAGAGGACAAGACCACAUGGCAGAAUGUGCCUGUGGCCUUCAUAGAGUUGUAGAGAUGGAAGAGACCCCAAGUCUCAUAUGGCCCUGAAAUGCAGGAAAGAAGCCCUUUGAGAAGGCAACCCAAAUUCUGCUUAAAAACCUCCAAGGAAGGAGACUUCACCACUCUUCAUGGUCUUCCAUUCCAUUGUCAAGCAGCUCUUUACCACCAGAAAGUUCUUCCUAAAGUUUAAUUGGAACUGCCUUUUCUUGUAAUUAGAAUCAGUUGGUUCAGAUGCCUUCAGAUCCAAGAUGGUGGCAGCUGAAGGUCCCAUGAGAGCUUCUGUUUGGAAAGGGCAGUUUUGUCCAUUCAGCAUCAGAAGACCACUUGGUUGCCUUUGGAUGGUGCCAUUUUGGCUGCAUGAAGACCAUGGGGAAAUAGGCUGCCUUAUACCGAGCCAGAUCCCUGGUCCAUCUAGCUAAGGAUUGUCUGCACUGACUGGGAGUAGCUCUCCGGGGUUAAGACUUAAGAGCUGCCUUAUCCCAAGUAAGUAAGUCAAUUCAAUAAAUAAAUAGAUCGCCAGGAACUAAUCUCAGCUGCGGAAAAAACAUGUUCCCCUCUUUAUUUUUGACUCUAUUGGGCACAAGAUUUUAACCUUAAUUAUUUACAAUUUUUGUUUAAACCACAAGAAAGAAGGGCUUUUUCGCUGGCUAUAGGUUCAAUUCUAAUCCUUCUAACCUCCUUUGGGGUAGGUUUGCGGGUAUGGCAGAAGGAGAUAGGAUCUACCUAUGCAAUGCCCACCUGGUGGAAACUCUAGCUCACAUGGCCCUUAAAUGUAAAAUGUAUGAUGAUCUCCGCCAACAAUUUCUAGACCAUCUAUGUAUUCCAACAUGGAAACCAGAGACAGAGGUUAUAUGCUUCUUAUUACAGGGGAGAGACCAGGAGCUCACCAAGACCGUAGCUAAGUCCCUCUAUUUGAUUUUUUGUCGCUGAAGUAUGCUACAGGAUCCUGCCCUUGCUGGAGACCCACAGAGAUGAAACAGAUUGCUCGCCUCUUCUUCCCUUUGGCAAAUGUCUGUACUAUUGAAAUGGCAACAAGAUCGCACUGGCCUAUUUAUUCUGAAUGUAUUCUGAAUGUUCCUAUGUGAUGCCAAUAAAGGUUACUUGACUUGAAUAAAUAAAUAAUAAUAAGAAGAAGACUAUUGGUCCAUCUUGCUCAGCAUUACCUACACAGACUGGCAGCAGUGCCCCAUGGUUUCACAGGAUCCUCUAUCUGAAUAUGCCAUUGGGGAUUGAACCCAGGACCUGCUGCAUGCACGGCACUGGACUCUGAGCUUGAGUGGGGCCUUCCCCAUUCAAACCUGAACUUCACAAAUAGUGUCCUGCUGGAUCAGUUCAAAGGACCACCUGCCCCAGCAUUCUGCCUCCAAGGGUGUUCAGUUAGGUCCCUCCAGGAAUCCUAGGAUCAGGAGAUGAAGGUGACCACCAACACUUGCUCAUUGUUCCCCAGUGGUAUCCACAGGCACACUGCCUCUGACCGAAGAGGUUCCACUUUAGCUACCACAGAUGUUAGAUCUACAGACAAGAAGAGCUACCUUCCGCCAUUCAGAAUAUAGCAGGUGUGUGUUUUGCUGCAGAACUGCACCAGUCCUUUCCCAUUGUAGUUUAAGGUUUGGGGGAGAAGUAGGAAGGGCACUUUGAACUUCACAUGUGGGUGUUUUUUUAAGGCUGGAAAUUGGGAUAAUGAGCCAAAGAUAAAUCCCCGUUAAUGCUAAUGGUGAGUUAUCUGUGGUUAAUUACCCCCGAGUGCUGGAUCUUCAAUCAUGUAAAGUGACUUUGUCAAGACCACGGGCAGUAGUAAGACUCCCCUUAACUUGCCUGAUGUCUUCACUUUGCCAGAGUUCAGCUGCCUGAUUAGAAAGAAAGUUUAAAACUAGCAGUCAGAAAUUCCACACCAAAGAAUUAGCAUAGAAUCAUACAGCCGGAAGGGACCCCAGGGCUAAACUUGUCCAGACCCUGCAAUGCAGAAAUCACUGCUAAAGAAUCCCUGACAGGUGGGCCUCCAUCCUAUGCUUAAAAACCUCCAGUGAAAGAGAGUCCAUCAACUUCCAAGGGAGUCCAUUCCACCGUUGAACAGCUCUUACCCUAGAAAGUUAUUUCUAAGGUUUAGAAUGCCAUUUGAAUCCAUUGGUUUGGGUCCUACCCUCCAGAGCAACAGACAACAAGCUUGCUCCAUCUCCCACGUGACAACCAGGGACAAACGAAGGUGUCGUGGCACCCAGGGCAGGGUGUCGCUACGUAGCUUGCAUGUGCGGCGCCUCUACGUACUACGCAUGCGCCGUAUGUAAUAAUAAUAAUGAUGAUGAUUUAUUAUUUGUACCCCGCCCAUCUGGCUGGGUUUCCCCAGCCACCCUGGGUGGCUUCCAACAAAGACCAAAAAUACACUAAGAUGUCACACAUUAAAAACUUCCCUGAUGUCUCCUGAAUGUCAGGUAGUUGUUUAUCUCUUUGGCAUCUGAUGGGAGGGCGUUCCACAGCGUGGGCGCCACUACCAAGAAGGCCCUCUGCCUGGUUCCCUGUAGCUUUGCUUCUCACAAUGAGGGAACUGCCAGAAGGCCCUCGGUGCUGGACCUUAGCAUCUGGGCGGAAUGAUGGGGGUGGAGACGCUCCUUCAGGUAUACUGGGCCGAGGCCGUUUAGGGCAUUAAAGGUCAACACCAACACUUUGAAUUGUGCUCUGAAACGUACUGGGAGCCAAUGCAGAUCUCUCAGGACCGGUAUUAUGUGGUCCCGGCAGCCACUCCCACUCACCAGUCUGGCUGCCGCAUUCUGAAUUAAUUGCAGUUUCUGGGUCACCUUCAAAGGUAGCCCCACAUAGAGCGCAUUGAAGUAGUCCAAGCAGGAGAUAACUAGAGCAUGCACCACUCUGGCGAGACAGUCCGCGGGCAGGUAGGGUCUCAGCCUGCGUACCAGGUGGAGCUGGUAGACAGCCGCCCUGGACACAGAAUUGACCUGCACCCCCAUGGACAGUUGUGAGUCCAAAAUGACUCCCAGGCUGUGCACCUGGUCCUUCAGGGGCACAGUUACCCCAUUCAGGAUCUGGAAGUCCCCCACACCAGCCUGCCCCUGUCCCCCAAGAACAGUACUUCCGUCUUGUCAGGAUUCAACCUCAAUCCAUUAGCUGCCAUCCAUCCUCCAACCACCUCCAACCUCACAUGCACUGUACAUAGCGGUUUGCCGGCGGCACCGCUCCAGCACUGUAUGGACGCUACUGGGAUCCUCUGCUUGUGGCUGCAGCCGCGAACGGAGGAUCCUCUACAGCCACUGCAAAGGAUCCUGGCACCGUUUGUACGGCGCUGUAGUGGUGCCGACGGCAAAACACAAUUACAGUGCAUGUGUGGCGUCGCUACAUACAGCAGAGGAUCCCAGCACUGGAGGCAAACCACUAUGUACAGCGCAUGUGCGGCAUCACUACGUAUGGCGCAUGCGCUGUAUGUAGUGACAAUGCACAUGCACUGUACAUAGCGGUUUGCCGCCGGUGCCGGGACCCUCUGUUCGUGGCUGCAGCCGCAAAUGGAGGAUCCUCCACAUGCGGCUGUGGCGACACGAUGGCUGUUCGCGCCACCACGGCGGGUCGCCUUCUUGUCACCCCUGCAGAUGUGGCACCGGGAGCGCACCACCCUCCCGCCCCACGUUGUGACGCCACUGGUGACAACCCUUCACAUAUUUGAAGGUGGCUCUCCUAUCACCUCUCAGUCUCCUCUUUUCCAUGUUAAACAUACCAAGAUCCUUCAACCAUUCCUCAUCCGGCUUGGUUUCCAGACCCUUGAUCAUCUUGGUCGCCCUCCUCUGCACACGUACCAACUACCCAAUAUCCUCCUUCAACAGUGGUGUCCAGAGCUGGACACAGUAUCCCAGGUGUGGUGUGACAGAGACUAGAGGUUCAUCCGUAAGGGAUUUUUGUUUAGCUGUGAUUCUUGCAUCGCAGGGGGUGGCACUGGAUAAUCCUUGGAGUCCCUUCCAGCUCUCUAAUUCUCUGAUUCCUUUCUGUAAGCUGAUUUCAUCUCAUAACACAUUCUCACCCAAAGAGCCCCUAGCAUCCAACAAUCUUCAAAACACAGAAUGUUAUUGCAGCAUUAAAACGUGCGUUUAUAGUGCCCCAUAAAAAAUAAUGCUUAUAAAAUGGAUUCGAAAGAUAUAUUUUAUCUUUGGCACAUCUUUCAAAUAUACAGCUGAAAUAAAGCCUUAUUUAGUCUUGGCUGCUUAACAGGAAGAUGGAGGUGGGGGCAGGGGGCAGAAUGAAUGAAGGAUUUUGUGUUCUACUUCUGGGCUCCCUUGAGGCAACCGACCAGUCAUGUGCACUCAGUUAGCUGGGCCUAAUUAGGGGCUGAUCCACCAAGACUAUUCUAUUUCAUUUUUCAUUUUAUUUUUUGCAUUUAUGAAUGUAUUUGAUGCAUUUAUAUCCCACCUUUCUUCCAAUAAUAAUAAAAAUAAUAAUUUAUUAUUUGUACCCCGCCCAACUGGCUGGGUUUCCCCAGCCUCUCUGGGCAGCUUCCAACAAAAUAUUAAAAUACCGUAAUAGAUCAAACAUUAAAAGCUUCCCAAAACAGGGCUGCCUUCAGAUGUCUUCUAAAAGUUUGGUAGUUGUUCUUCUCUUUGACAUCUGGUGGGAGGGCAUUCCACAGGGUGGGUGCCACUACCGAGAAGGCCCUCUGCCUGGUUCCCUGUAACUUGGCUUCUCACAGUGAGGGAACCGCCAGAAGGCCCUUGGCGCUGGACCUCAGUGUCUGGGUAGGAUGAUGGGGGUGGAGAUGCUCCUUCAGGUAUACUGGGCCGAGGCCGUUUAGGGCUUUAAAGGUCAACACCUUUAAAGAUCAACAGCUUCCAAGAUGCUCAGGGCCGUACACAUUGUUCCCCCCAACCUCAUUUAAUUCCUACAGCAGCCCUGUGAGGUAGAUUGGGCUGAGACCCAGUGACUGGCCUAAGGUCACCCAGUGAGUUUCAUGGCCAAGUGGAGAUUUGAAACCUGUUCUCCCAGGUCCUAGUCCAAUGCUCUUACCACUGCAACAGAUUGGCCAGCCCACCGCAACUCCUGCUCAUGAGAAGGAUGCCUAGCAACUAUCUAAACCAGCCUUUCUCAACCUGUGGGUCCCCAGACGUUGUUGAACUACAACUCCCAUCACCCCUAGCUAGCAAGGCCAGAGCUCAGGGAUGAUGAGAGUUGUAGUCCAACAACAUCUGGGGGCCCACAGGUUGAGAACCACAUUCUAAACACUCUCAUUGAUGUCUCUGGUAUCUUCUUUUUUCACACCAUGGGAAUAGGGACCCCGAUCACAAGUCAAAAAGAGUUGGGCGCAGCAAUGCCAAAGUCUAAAGCUGCAGCAUCUAAUCUUAUACACCGUCUUUGAAGUGUAUGGAAUUAAAUGUGCUCUUUGCCGUUCUUGGACAACCCUUCUUCAAAGCGAACUCUAUAUUUUCAUAUGGAAAAGGAGCAGGUGCCACUGCCAAGUCUAUUUCCUGAGGAGCAAGACCUAGCUAUUUAGCAACAUGAAAUAAUCCUAGAUACAGGAGAGGAUGGUAGGGUUUGCUGGAACAAGUCGGCCCGUUCACAUGCUAAAGUGUGGUUAAUUUAAAGCAGGAGCUUUCAAUCUUGUGGCUGUGUCUGCAUGCAGGCAAGUUGGAAGUGAUCUUCUCAGUAUAGCACAGGGGACUAUCAAGUACAAAAUCUUGCGGAAGAAAUACUGUGUGGCUGGUAUGGGUCAACUUUUCACAAUGGUAGUUUAUGGAUCUGUUUGUGACCUUUCUUCCAAGGGGCUCAAGGUGAUGUCCAUGUUUCUCUUUCUCCCCAUCUUCUCCUCCCAAGAACCCUGUGAGGCUUGUUAGGCUGAGACUGACUGGCCCAGUGAGCCUCAUGGCUGAGUGGGGAUUUUAACUCUAUUCUCCUAGCUCCUAGUCCAGCAUUCAAACCACUAGGACACACGGUCUCAGAGGAGCUUUGUGAAUAAAUCCAUAUGGUUUGAAUGGAAGCCCAGAGCUGGAGGGACAGUGCCCAUGUGGCAAGAUGUAGCCAACCCACCACAACUCCUACUUGUGAGAAGGAUGCUUAGCAACAAUCUAAAUUAGCUCGUCAGUGUCUCUGGCACUUCCUCCCCCCACCACCAUGUAAAUAGGAACCCUGAUCACAAGCCAGAAAGAGUUGGGGCAGCAACAUCGAACUCUAAAGUUGCUCAGGUCAAGCUGAACCAGUGCUGAAGCAACGUCUAAUGUUGCUCUGCUGAUCUGCUUGGACAGCUCACCUGCUAUCCGGCACCUUCUGAAGUUUGAUUCGCUGGACAGCUCCUGGUAAGCGGGAUACAGUGGUACCUUGGGUUAAGAACUUAAUUCAUUCUGGAGGUCUGUUCUUAACCUGAAACUGUUCUUAACCAGAGGUACCACUUUAGCUAAUGGGGCCUCCUGCUGCCGCCGCGCCACCGGAGCACGAUUUCUGUUCUCAUCCUGAAGCAAAGUUCUUAGCCUGAGGUACCACUGUGGGUUACAGGGGUGGUAGUAUUCCAAACAGCUUGGAGGGCAAUUUAUUUCUGCCCUGCCAAUCCCCUCUUUCAGUCGCCACUUAGUCUCCUGUAAAGGGAGGGAUGGAGAUGGGCAGGAGCAAAGGAGAACUGCGGUCUGUUCCCUCUCUCCAUUUCCUCAUUAAUCUUGAUUACAGAGCCCUGGUGCUGAAGUUAAUUUUCUUGUAGAUUCCUAUCAGUCAUGUUAGCUGGGAAUCUCUCUCCAGCUAAUGAGGAAAUCGUAUUCCUUGCUACUUUAUUAUGCCGCUAAUUAGUGCACAGGAUUCAGGCAAAUGGGCCAGGAGGAAGAAAGAGGGGGCGGGCGGGGAUGAGAUUUUGUGCUGGUUUAGAGGGGACAUCUCUCUCUCUCCCGCAGUUUUUGACCUGACUCUGGGCUGCAAGGGCAGAUGUUUUGUGUGACCUGCAGUACCUAUGCCAUGGCUGACCCCCAGGACUUGCUAGGGACCGGCCUCUGAAGUUUGGGGGGUGGGCUGGAAUCACAGGUUCAACUGUCUGGACCUUUUGUAGCAGGAAAGGCAAAUUCCAUGCUGAAGAUCUUUAGGAAAGGAAUUGAGAGUAAAACUGCCAAUAUACUAAUGCUGAAAAUCUAUGUUGUGACCACAUUUGGAAUCCCAUUUACUAGUUCUGGUCGCCUUUCCUUACAAAGGAUACUGUAGAGUUGGAAAAGGCUCAGAAACAGGCAGCCAAAAUGAUACAGAAAGGAUGGAGCAGUUCCCUUAAGAAGAAAGGAUGUGGCAAUUGGCACUUUUUAGAUUCAAGAAAAGACAGAUAAGAGGCAACAAGGUAGAAGUUUAUAAAAUGAUGGUGGCAUGGAGACAGGGCCGUCUUUAGCACAUAAUAAUAAUAAUAAUAAUAACAAUAAAUUUUUUGGGGGGGUGAACGCAAAGUUGUUGAGCGUUUUUUUGGGGGGGGGGGAGCUAACGAUGCAGUGGAAAUAUCUGCUUUUGUUUCCUGACUCGUCGGGAAUAUUUGAUGCAAUGGAGUAACAGAGCGACAGAGGAGGCUGGUGGGGACUUUCGCUCCAUUGUUUUUCACUGCCACCGAUACAUUUGGCGCCCCCCAGAAUUCAGCGCCCGGGAGCACUGCAACCCUUGCACCCCCGGGUAAAGAUGGCCCUGCAAGGAGGAAAGAGAUAGAGAAGAAGUUUCUCUCUCACACACAUGCAACACUAAAACUGGUGGAUACAGAAUGAAUGUUGGAAGAUUCAGGGCAGAUAAAACUAGGUUAGUUGUGUUGGCUAUUUGCAGUAUGGUAGCGCUGCAGAGAGCUUGCUGGGGAGACCAUGCAUUAAAAAGGGACUCAAAAAUAACUUAAACAAGGUUUUAAUUACAAAAACUAAAACACUAAAUACAUUAACAAACAAACAUGACCCAACCACCAACCCAUCCCCCAGGGUAAUGGGAGAGCUAGGUGCUGCUCCUUAUAUACUACACCCAAUUACCAACACAGCUUAAUCAAUACAACUCAGCAGCACCUGCUAUGUUUCACAGCUGUAAAGCUGGGUCUCGUUAUCUUGCUCUGGCCCUUGCUCUGGCCCCUUAAAGACAUACACAUCGGGUGGAACAGUGAUGAACCUUUACAUUUAAAGAAACCAUUCAACAAGUUGAACUAUGGAACUCAUUGCCACAGGAGCCAGUGAUGCCCACCAACAUGGAUGGUGUUAAAAGAGGAUUGGGCAAGUUCAUGGAAGAGAGGCCUAUUGGCAGCUACUAACCAUAAUACCUAUGUUCUGCCCCUCACAGUUGGAGGCAGCAGUGGCUCCGAAUACUAGUUGCUGGAAAUCGCAGGAGGGGAGAAAGUCCUCUUGUACUCCAGUCCUGCUUUCGGGUUUCCCACAGGCAUCUGGUUGGCCACUGUGAGAAUAGGAUGCAGGACACGAUGGGCCACUGGCUUGACCCAAAAUAAUAAUAAUAAUAAUAAUAAUAAUAAUAAUAAUAAUAAUAAAUUUAUUUAUACCCCAGCCAUCUGGCGGGAUAUAAAUAAAUACAGUAAUGCAUCAAACAUUAAAAGCUUCCCCAAACAGGGCUGCCUUCAGAUGUCUUCUAAAAGUUUGGUAGUUGUUGUUCUCUUUGACAUCUGGUGGGAGGGCAUUCCACAGGGUGGGUGCCACUACCGAGAAGGCCCUCUGCCUGGUUCCCUGCAGCUUUGCUUCUUGCAGCGAGGGAACUGGCAGAAGGCCCUCGGCGCAGACCUCAGUGUCCGGGCAGAACGAUGGGGGUGGAGAUGCUCCUUCAGGUAUACAGGACCAAGGCCGUUUAGGUCUUUAAAGGUCAGCACCAACACUUUGAAUUGUGCUUGGAAACCCUUGCUUGUAGAGGUAGAAGGGGGCUAUCAAGUCCAACCCUCUGCAGUGCGAUUCAACCCCUGGCCUUUUUUCUUUCUCGCAGGAGAAAGAUCUGUGAAUGGAGGAGGAGACUGAAAUGGAUGCAACACCCAACUCCUUUGUGAGUGCAAUCUUCAGGAUCUCAAAAUGCUUUAUCCUGCAACUUUUAACACAUAACUUGACUCACACCGUUCAGUGUAUUUCUAACUUCCCAAAGUAUUAAAUACCUUACUUUUCUUUUUAACAAUGAUUUUGCAUAUAGAUCCAGCGUAGGGAGUGGAACUGUGAGUUACUGCUUCUCAUGGUACUUACAUACAUAUUCACGCUUGUCAACCGGGAGAAUAGGAAUCGAAUAGAACCUGGUGAUCGAAACCAUCAACAUUGUGGUAAACAGAGCGAAGGUUUUAUUGGGUUUCAAAAUGAUAUGUAGGUUAGGGGUGGAUGAACUUGUCACUUACAGUUUCUCUCAAUUUCUCAUUUCCCCCCACAUCUUAGAAUCAUAGAAUUGGAGACUUGGAAGGGACCCAAAGAGUCAUAGAGUCUGACCCCCUGCGACGAAGGAAUCACAGCUAAGCUCAGUUCCCUUCCUUUCCACAUCGGUUUGCAAUUUAUUUAAUUCUUUCAAGUCCCCGUGAAAAUUCACCAGCACUUCAGCAAAAAUUUACCCUUACACCCAUGUUUCUAGGCAAUUUUUCCCAAUGCACGCCCAUUUCGCAAAGCCAUUAUCACAAAUAGAAAAACACUUUGACUGUUGUUUUCAGGCUAUAUGUAUUUUUAAUGCAUGCCUUGUCCCAGUGUAUACGUUUUCCCCUUUUGACACAUUAUUUGGCUGUAGUGCUACAUUGAAAAAUUUGGAGAAGAGCAGAUCUCAAAGGAUGGAUCUGUUUAGGCUUUCUUGUCAUUCCAGAAAGUGAAAAUUGGGUAAAGGUAAAGGGACCCCUGACCAUUAGGUCCAGUCAUGGCCAACUCUGGGAUUGCGGUGCUCAUCUUGCUUUAUUGGCCGAGGGAGCUGCCGUACAGCUUCCGGGUCAUGUGGCCAGCAUGACUAAGCCACUUCUGGCGAACCAGAGCAGCGCAUGGAAACGCCAUUUACCUUCCCGCCGGAGUGGUACCUAUUUAUCUACUUGCACUUUGAUGUGCUUUCGAACUGCUAGGUUGGCAGAAGCAGGGACCGAGCAAUGGGAGCUCACCCCGUCGCGGGGAUUUGAACCACCGACAUUCUGAUCGGCAAGUCCUCAGCUCUGUGGUUUAACCCACAGCGCCACACGGGUAGGUUUGCCUUCAAAUGAGAACUAGAUCAAAUUUUUCUGCCAUCUCUAAUGCAGGCCUCAGCAUUAUCGUAUACUGAGAAAAUAAAUUUGCCUUUUUGACUCCUGACUUCAACAAAGGUUCAUGGGAAGCUGCUACACCGUGUUGAACCAUUGAUCCAUCUCUCUCAGUAUUGUCUCCAUUGGCAGCAGGGUUUUGGGGAGCUACCUGGAGAUGCUGGUGACAAAACCUGGGAUUUUCUGCAUGCAUAGCAGGUGCUCUACCCCUGAGCUAUGGCUCUUCCAGAAAGGAUACUUGAUUUGUUAAGGCAGCUAGAUCCUCUGUUCUUCUUCCCUCCAUACCUCCCUCCUUCCUUCCCUCCCUCCCUCCUUUCUUCCAUGGCCUGCGCUGCUGACUCCCUUCCACCAGAACAUUCCGCUCGCCCCAAAUUAAAAACCAAGCAGAACAAUGAAUCCAGACACCUCAUACAAACAGCAAUCUUUCCCGUCUGACAAUUUACAUCGCUUACUGUCUCUUUUAAUGCCCUUCAACCGCCUCGAAGUCCCUUUCGGUUCCUUUCCAGCAUGCCGCCUUACCUUACAAUAGUCCAUCCAAGAAGACGUCAGAACAAUUUCACUGCUGGGAGAAGAACAGAAGCAAAACCCAAACGACCCUAAAUCCAUUUUCAAAUGGUUCAAGAGAAGAAAGCAAAUGAAAUCCCCUCUGUCUGCUUGGCAGAUGGAUUUGGAAGCCUCGAAUGGAAAAAGCAAAUAUCUGAAACGGUGUGAGACAACUACAACUUCCUCCUCUUCCUGAAGAACAAGAUGGUGAAAAGGAAGUCUUCCUUUCUACUCUCUGGCCUUCUCUUACUCUACCAAAUUACUCCUUCUGAAAGCGUAUUUCCUCUAUUUCCCCUUUGUUCUUCUGCCUCACAUCCUAGUAUUGCAUAAACAGUAUUUCAUUUAUUGAUUAUUAAUUAUAUUAAUUGCAUUUACAUUCCACCUUUUUCUUCAAGGAGCUCAAGGUGGCGCUCAUGGUUCUCCCCUCUCCUCAUGUAAACAUCACAACAAUCCUGGGAGGUAGGUUAGGCUGAAAGAGGCAGUGAAUGGCCCAAGGUCAGUGAGCCUCAUAGCUGAGUGGGGAUUUGAGCCCUAGUCUCCCAGGUCCUAGUCUAACCCUCUAACCACUAUGCCACUCUGGCUCUUCAAAGGUUUAAUUUAGGACUUCACCCAGUCUUAAUGUCCUCUUGCAGUUUUCAGUUGCAUCCGUUCCCCUCAUCACAACCCCAUAAUACAUGGAGGGUGACUCGGGCAAGGGAGCAUGGGAUGUCAAUCUCUUUGGGACCCCCUGAUAUGGAAGCCAGAGCUUCAUCCCCGUCUGCAGAGUCAGAGGAGGAGCCCUCAGCCACCCAAUCCUCUCCUUAGCUUUGCAGAUGCUUGACAAUGCAAAAUCAGGGAAUGACCCUUUAAGAAAUAUAGCAAAAUUUUCCAAAAGGGUCCAGCCUACAGCCAAACAGGACUUAUCUGCUUUUAGGAGCCUUCAGAUGGAACUAGCUCCUUGCUGGGACAAUAUCUCCUUUUAUCUAAUGAGGGGAGUCAUUGGGAGCUAUCCAAGGUGCUGAAAGGCUUUCCUGAAACCGUGACUUACAAUUCCAGCAACUGGUGUUGCUUGUGACAGCGAAGGUAGAACAUAGUCAUCAUGGCUCGUAGACACCAACAGCCUUCACCUCCAUGAAUUUUCCAACCCCCUGAUAACAAAUGAGGAGGAGGUUAGGCCAGCCUUUGUACGGCUGCCAAUCAAAUUGUACCAUAAGAACUUAAGAAGAGCCUGCUGGAACAGGUCAAUGGCCCAUCUAGUCCAGCCUCCUGUUCUCACAGGGGCCAACCAGAAGUUCUAGAAAGCUGGCAAGCAGGACCUGGGCACAACAGCAGUGCUCUCCCCGGUUGUGAAUCCAGCAACUGGUCUUCAGCAGCGUUCUGCCUCCAACAGUGAAGGUAGAACAUAGACAUUGCUAGUUGUGCCAUAAACCCAAUUUAAGUUGGCACCAGAAUGUUCAUCCAGCCUGUGUGAUGCAUCUUGUGCGCAUCCUGCCACCUGAUCUCUCCAGGAGAGCCCUUUCAGCUGCUCAUGUCCCUCUGUGUCUAAGUGAGAUGCAGAAAAAGAGAGUAUUUUCAUCCUUCCCCGGCUCUCUAUGUGUGUUUAUAAUGUAUGUCAUUGGAGCUUAAAUAAUGAUCUAAAAAAGACUUGUUUAUCAGGCAGAUUCCCCUGAAAUCAUAAAAGCAUUAAUAACGUCAUGUGUUCCCAAGCAAGCUGGCGCAUUAACAUCCUUUUAAAGGACAGCAUGACUUUCCGAGGGCGAAAACCUCCCUUUCUUGUGCGUCUUUAAUUCUGAGUCAGUUCCAAAAGCCAAAUGUUUUCUUCUUCUUUUGCUUCUUCCAUCUCCCUGUUAGUUGCCGGAGAUUUUAGCCUCUUCUCUUCCCCCCCCCCUCCCCAUCUGCCAUGAAGCCUUUUUGGCAAAUGAACUUGUGAGCGAUGGAGAAAAAAUGGAGAGGACUGGAGAGGAGGGGGGGUGGGUGGGAGAGAGAGGGAAAGAUGAGAGACUGGGAGGGGGGAAAUAAAUAGGAGCAGUUUGGAAAGUGUCCAUUUUAUUCUCAGAGGUGUAGUCAAGAUAUAAUUUCUAUUGAUCUGUAAUAGUGUGUGUGUGCAUGCGGGGGUGUCUCCAAGACAGAUAAACACCCAGCUGGGUAAGGAGUGAGAAAAAGAGAGGGUGUAAUAAUAGAGAAAUCGAGCGGAGCAGAUGAAUUGGUAUAGGGCAGGAGAGAAAAGAGGAUGUUUGAUGGAGGAGGCCAUACUGUGCCUGAAUGCUCCUACCUGCCAAAAGGAGCUCAACUAGGCGUCCUUAAUAAUAGUUCUGCUUCCAAUGUGGGCCAGAGAUAGAGACUUGUGUUUCUUGCGUGCGUGUGUUUUCAGUUUCAAAUGGGGGAGAGGCGGUAUGUUUGUUCAGCAAGCUUGAGGGGGAGUGCAAACCAUUGCUGCUAGAGCAGCUGUGAGGCCUGUUUAUCAAAGCCCCAUUGAAGCACAGAAUGUCACCUGUAGCCUAGGCUGGAGGAGUGCAAACCAUUGCUGCUAGAGCAGCUGUGAUGCCUGUUUAUCAAAGCCCCGUUGAAGCACAGAAUGUCACCUGUAGCCUAGGCUGGAGGAGUGCAAACCAUUGCUGCUAGAGCAGCUGUGAAACACGUCAAUCAAAUCAAUAGUGAAAUGCAUGGUGUCACCUGUAAGGUGGGCUAGGGGAAUACAGGACACUGCUGUUAGAGCAGCUGAGAAGCAAGUUUACCAAAGCGACCUGUAAAAUGUGUUUCACCCCCUUUAAGGUGGAAAGCCAUCCAAAGCACCCAGAUGCUUUAAAAAAAAGUUUCCCCCAUUGUAUGUUACAAGUUGACAUAUCCAGACACUUGUAUACAGCCCCAAAGCAAAACCUUCCAGCAGCUGGUAUUCAGGAGCCUACUGCCUCCAACAGUGAAGAAAAGAACAUAGCCAUGGCUAGUAGCUUUCAAUAGCCCUAUCAUCAAUGAAUUGGUCUCAUCCUUUUUUAAAGCCAUCCAAGUUGGCGGCCAUCACUGCCUCCUGUGGUCGGGAGUUCCACAGUUUAACUGUGCACUCCACAAAGGACUUCCUUUUAUCUGCCCUGAGUAUUCCCACAUUCAACUUCAUUGGAUUCCCAUAAGUUCUAGUGCUGUGAGAGAGAGGGAGAAAGAGAGAGAGAGACUGACUUUUCUGUAUCUACUCUAUCCAUAAUGGGUUAUCAUAUAAUGCAUGGCAUGGAGAUUGUCACACAUAAUUCGAUAAACUUCGAUCCUGUUGCCUCUCACUUGCCUUUUCUCUAAACUUUGUUCAGUUUCUAUGUUCAAUUCUACUUUUACCCAAUGGCAAUGAGCCUCCGGAGGCAACGCGGGCUGCCAAGCAGGUACGCGGUGUAACUUUCCUUAGUUAUAUCCAAAGUUGGUUUGGUGUGUGUGUGUUGUUUCAUUUCAUCUUGUAUAACAGACGCACUUGGGGGGGGGGAUUUAGCUCCGCGUGGAGCAGCCCGGCUGGCAAAGAUGGAGUAGGUGGAAUUUAAAUACCUGCCAAUUUGCAAAACCAGUGCCCCGGGACACUGGAGACAAUGCUUAGGCAAAGCUGGGUAGUUUUUAUCACUGUUAAUAACAUUCUGGAGCUCGGAAGGCACAAAACGGUGAUAUGGAGCAUCACAUCUUCCACCGAGAGGGAGGCUGUUCCUGUGCUGGGGCUGAGGAGGAAGCGGCAGGCUCUGGUUCCAGGUUGUUGAGUUUGGUUGCUCUGCUUUUUCUAUAUAUAUAUGAAAUUCUUUCCUCUCCCAAGAAUUCUGCCUAGGAUGCACUUCGUCCUCAUCCAAUAUUUAACUUCGUUCUGUCACAAUUCAACCCCUCUGUCAAAGAAUAAAGACUCAUCAAAAUGCUUUAGAUGUGUCCUGUCUCUCUCGCCCAUCUCUCCUCCUUGCUGUUAGGCCAGGGAUAAGAAUGAGGACCUGCCGGGUCUCUGUGUGGCCCCUGAAACUCUAUCAAAGACACAUUAAAAUUCUCUGAAGGUGUCCUGUCUCUUUUGCUUGUUUCUGCCGUGGUGCCCGCCAUUUUUCCUCUCUGCACAACACAUCAUAUGGGGGAUUCUGGGAAGGAAAAAUGGUGGGCGCCAUGACUGCAAGCAGCUCCUGAAGCCAGCCAGAGCCAACUGUGCUCUGGGCUGUUGACUGCUACUGCCGCCACUGCCGAAGGGGAACCGGGGACAUCCGGCGGUACAGAUCUCCUGCCCCCUUCCUCCUUUGUUUUGACUGAUCGGGGGAGGCUUGGGUUGCGAGCAGGUGACCGUUGCCCAGUUUUUUUAAAAAAAACUCGGCGCAUUUAUGUUUCACAGGGUGCGGAAGAAGGGCUUUGCACCUUUAUACAAUAUGCUUGUGUUCUUGGGCCCAGAGUCUUUUGCCUCACCAUCUCUACUACUGACUCCCUGUUGCUACUCAGCUUCAAAAAAUAAAAAUAAAAGUAUCCCCGGAUUCAUUGAAAAAAAUCUGGUAACCAUAUCCUAGCCCCCAUCGAUUCCCCACAAGCCCCCAGCUAUGCUGCCUCAAGGACAGUUGGUAGACCACCUGCUAUCUUGCAGGUUGCAGGAUAAUUCCCUGCAGCAUUUCCAGGUAGGGUUAAGAGAAAUCCUGGCCUGAAACCUCAGAGGGCCUUUGCUGCCCAGCAGUGUAGACAACCAUGUCUUCCUAUGUCCCCAAUACUGGGAGGGAGGGAGGGAGGGAGAAGUAUGGUGCCCUCUAGUGUAAUGGAAGGGAACAGUAUUGUGCAACAACACCCCCUGUGAUUGGCUGGCAAUGCAGAUACUUUGUCUUAGUCACAUGUGAUGUAUAAAUGCUAGACUCUGUACCUGUUGCUCCUUUUGCAGAUCAAAGAGCAGCAUCUUCCUGAGACUUCGGCCAUUGGCCGGGACAGGGUUUGUGAAAUAUAAAGUCUCUCUUGGCGGUGCUUCAGCUAGAAAAUUCCUACCUGGGUCUAUGCAUGUGUGGUCUGCUGCCUUCCCAUGAGAUCUCCAGUUCUGCGUGUGCAAAAGCCACUUGACCUCAAAUGAACCUUGAGUCAAUUACAACUAUUAUUUUCACCCCUGUGCGUGGCUCCUUACUUCUGGCGGGGUUGUGUUGACUCUUAGAAACGCACAUCCAGAAGAUACAAGGAAGCACCACACUGACCAAAGGGGUUUCGCCGUAGCGCGAUUGCAUCUGCCGUCGAAUAAACUGCUACAUGAUUACCAUACAGCCUUUGGCACUGGCCUUCGGCAUUGUCAAGGAACUGUCAAGCAAGCCCAGGUCAUCCACAGGGCAGUGAAACAUGGGAGGCACAGAACGCAAUUAGCUUUUUAUUAACAGAAAAUAACAACACAACAGAGUCCUCUGGCUCAUCUUCAUUCAGCUGAGACGUUGCUGAAACUGACCCUUCCCUGCUCUAACCACUCAUUCUGGAUCCCUCCCAAGCAACAUGCGGGACUGUCCUCGAGCAGGGUGUCAGACUGGGAGGAGAGCCAGCAGGACUUGGACUCCCCUGCUGCUGGGUCGCAAGGGCAACCUCUGACUCCUCUCUGUCCGAGUUUGCACUCACACUGUCACUCUCAGCCUCGAACCCUGUCCUGGAAGGCUAUCCUUCUCUUGCCCUCCCUUGAUUGCUCAAACCCCCUGCUUCUAGCACCCCCCAGCCUGUCCCACCACCAGGAUCCAGGAUCUAAGUCAUCUUCUAUGCCCUCCGGCGGGGGGGCUUUUGGGCACGCAGCUCCCCCUGUUGUUGUUGUUUAGUCGUUUAGUCGUGUCCGCCUCUUCGUGACCCCAUGGACCAGAGCACGCCAGGCACUCCUGUCUUCCACUGCCUCCUGCAGUUUGCUCAAACUCAUGCUGGUAGCUUCGAGAACACUGUCCAACCAUCUCGUCCUCUGUCAUCCCCUUCUCCUUGUGCCCUCCAUCUUUCCCAACAUCAGGGUCUUUUCCAGGGAGUCUUUUCUUUUCAUGAGGUGGCCAAAGUAUUGGAGCCUCAGCUUCAGGAUCUGUCCUUCCAGUGAGCACUCAGGGCUGAUCUCCUUCAGAAUCCCCUUCAUGGAUCACUGCCUUGCCGUGGCAAAGGGGCUUGAAUAACUCAGAGAAGCUAUGAACUGUGCCCUGCAGGGCACCCAAGAUGGACAGGUCAUAGUGGAGUUUUAACCAAAUGUGAUCCACCUGGAGCAGGAACUGGCAAGCCACUCCAGUAUCCCUGCCAAGAAAACUCCAUGGACAAAGACAACAGGUGGCUCCCCCUACUCUUCCUCAUCCAGCUAGUCCAUCUGCAGAGACAGUUCAUCUGGAGGUUAGCAGGGGAAAGGGUCAGAAAACCCCAUCUUGUGCAAAUGGAGCAUGGAGAGCCAAUUGAUUCUUCUCUCCGGCCACACUCUUCUCAAUAUAUGAAGAUGGUUUGUGGCUUGCUUCUGUAUCGCAAUUGCCGCUUGCUGGGUUUUGAAGCAGGGGUGGCAGUGGAGGCCAGGGGAAACUGACCACAGGGAUGGGGAACCUCUGGAAGCUGGAGGGCAGGGAGGGGCAAAAAUAGCCAUGCAAACUCUCCUUAUGACCCCCAGAACUCCGACCAGACCACACUCCUCACUGGGCAGAUGCACAGUUUUUAACCAUUCAAGGAAUUAUGGUUAAGGCUGGAUACAAAGUCCUACAGAGUAGACCCACUGAAAUUAAUGGCCUUAAGUAGGUCGUGGCAUUAAUGCAGGGGUCAGCAAACGUUUUCAGCAGGGGGCUGGUCCAGUGUCCUUCAGAACUUGUGGGGGGCCAGACUAUUUUUGGGCGCGGGGGAAUGAACCAAUUCCUAUGCCCCACAAAUAACCCAGAGUUGCAUUUUAAAUAUAAAAACACAUUCUACUCAUGUAAAAACACCAGGCAGACCCCACAAAUAACCCAGAGGUGCAUUUUAAAUAAAAGGGCACAUUCUACUCAUGUAAAAACAUGCUGAUUCCCGGACCGUCCGCGGGCCGGAUUUAGAAUGUGAUUGGGCCGGAUCUGGCCCCCAGGCCUUAGUUUGCCUACCCAUGCAUGAAUUCAAAUGGGUUCUGGAUACUUGCACCUUACUCCCUACCCCCUCCCCCCCACUACAGAAUACCUGCAGGAUUCAGGAGCAACGAGGGAUGGAAAAGAAGUGGGACUCUUGCUAAGCAUAGAAGGGAGAGUGUGGAACCCUCAAGCAGGUUCUAAACAUAAGAUCUCCCCUCCUGUGGCUAGUAGCCAUCAAUAUCCCUCUCCUCUGUGAAUUUCCUCAUUCCCUUUUAAAGCUGAUGGCCAUCGCUGUCUCCUGCGGAAAGGAGUUCCACAGCUCAUCAGCGCACAGUUUGAAGAAGGACUUUUUGAACCGCCCAACCUUCGGUUUCAUUGGAUGCCCACAAAUCCUAGUGUCACAGCAUCCGAUUGGCUGCUCUGGGAUACAGGAUUGGCAAUAUCUGGCUUAUUUCUCACCGGGAGACAGAGCUGGAAAAGCUACUGUAGCUCUGGAUUUCCAAGCUGCCUUUUCGUUUCACCGGCUUUCCCCAGACAUUAAUUUAAAGCAAUUUAAUUGGGGGAAAUCGUUUUAAUUGGAAUGUCUUCCCUGACCACAGGCAGUGGAGGAGAUAACCACAGGUGAUGGCAGCCAGGCCUCUGCUUGUGCAUUACAGCGCCCUCUAGUGCCUGUAGGCUCAUGUUUAGCUGUGUGCCUGGGGCCUGUACGGUGCACAGAUGGUGAGUUUCCCUGAUGCCCUUGGCAAAGGAGCAUCUGAAGGCCGUAAUACCUGCUUCUUACCAGCUCUCAGCAGUGGAAGUAAGAUGUUACCAGCUGGAACAGACCAAAGAUCUAUCUAUUCCAGCAUGGUGCUUCCUAGAGCGUCCAAUCAAAUGCUUCCCAAAAAGAAUUUGAAAGUGGGGCUUGAAGAUAAGAGCCCCUCCUCAUUAUAUCUCCCCCAGCAUCCAGUAUCAGGAGGUCAGCUUCUUAAUCGUACGGAGCUUCUGUUCCUGUCAUAGCUAAUAAGGAUGUCAGACGCUGAAUUUGGAAGAUUGAGGACAGAAAUAAGGAAUUACUGCUUGGUCUCAGGUGGCACAAUGGGUCAGUGUGUCUGGCUCUUAGCCAGAAGUUUGGUGGUUUGAGGCCACCCAGGGCAGGAUUCCUCCGGAUCCUUUUCAGCUCUACACUUCUAUGAUUCUAUGAUUCUACCUCUUUGCGCAGCACAGAGUUAAACUAUGGCACUCACUCCCACAGUAUAUGGAGCUUCUGUUGCUGUUACUGGGAUUUCAAAGGCAGAAAUGAUGUCCAGGGGGAAUCAACAACUUUGGGGUUCCCUGGGUUUUUACUUUUUGAACUAUGGCAACCCUAGCUAAUAAGGACACGGAAAGGUGAAUGUUGCAAGAUCCAUGGCAUACCUAUUUGCGCAGCACAGAGUUAAACUAUGGAACUCACUCCUGCAGGAGGCAGUGACGGCCACCAAGUUGGGUGGCUUGGGCAGAUUCAUGGUGGAGAGGGCUCUCAGUGACUACUAGCCACAAUGGCUAUGCUCUGCCUCCAUGGUCAGAUCCAGUCAUGCUUCUGAAUACCAAUUGCUGGAAACCACAGGAAGGGAGGAGGCUCCUGUGACCUGAUCCAGCCGGGCAUUGAUAUAGUCCAUGGGUACACAAACUAAGGCCUGGGGGCUGGAACUGGCCCAAUCGCCUUCUAAAUCUGGCCCACGGACAGUCUGGGAAUCAUCGUGUUUUUACAUGAGUAGAAUGUGGCCUUUUAUUUAAACUGCAUCUCUGGGUUAUUUAUGGCGCAUAGGAAUUCGUUCAUUUCCACCCCCCACCCCCCAAAAAUAUAGUCCCAUCCCCCCACAAGGUCUGAGGGACAGUGGACCAGCUCCCUGCUGAAAAAGUUUGCUGACCCCUGAUAUAGUCCUUUCCAAUGUUCAAAGUGUUUCAAAGGCCUUUCUCUGGCUCCCGGUUCUUACAAAUACUCUUUAACCUGGCUUUUGACACUUGGGGUGUUUAUUUUUAGGCUCUACCUUAUUUCUGUGAUUGUAUGUUGUUUUAAAAUGUUUCUCGCAUUAUGUUGUAAUUGCUUUAACCAACCCAGAGACCUUUGAGUGAAUGAGGGGUGAUAAGUGAUGAUGAUGAUGAUGAUGAUGAUGACACAACCUUGUAAGGUUAUUAUACCCAUUUUGCAGUUGGGAAGACUGAGAAAAUGAGAGAGAGAAAGAGAGAGAGAGAGAGAGAGAGAGAACAGAACAACGUGCCUAACGCUUCUUAUUAAAGCCAGCGCAGAAGGGAGACUUUGAAUCACUGACUCCUCCCCAAACAAGACUGUCAAAGGAAGGUUUAAAAGUGGAAUUUGCAAACAUCACUUUUUACGUGCAAUCACGUACCAUCUCCAUAUCGGGGCUGAGACUUCCUUCCCCAUUCAUACCUGCACAUAAAUUGACGUAUCGUCAUUAUUAUUGCUGCAGAUUAAAUCUCUGCGCUGACUUUCCAGGCGUCUCUCCUUGACUCGGAAUGUGGAAGCAGCGUGGGGGUUGGCUGCUAAAGGGUUAAGCCUCUAAAGAUAGAGGGAGAGAGAGAGAGAGAGAGAGAGAGAGAGAGCAUGAGAGAGCGCUGGGGAGGGAGGUGCAAUAGAAGAGAGGGACUGGCUUUUCUCUCCUCUCUCACUCUCUCUUGCUGCAAUAAAUCCGGCUUAAAGGACGAGAGCAGAGGAGCCUAGAAUGGAUUAAAGAAAAGUCUGUAUAAUACAGACGCCAGCACAAGGGGGAGGGGGGAGAGAGAGAGAGAGAGAGAGAGAGAGGAGGAGGAGGAGGAAGAAGAAAGAGAAUAAGAAAAGGAGCAAAAAGGAGGAAAGAAGGAUGAGUUGAAGAUCCCAAACUCCAGCUGCUAAUCUGCUUAUUCCACGGGAGGAGAAAGAGAGGCAGGGACUGAACAGGUGCAUCCUCUGGGUACCACUCUCGGCAUCCUCUGGGUACCACUCUCAGCAUCCCUUCGGUACCAUUCGCCUUCGUGGUCUUUCGGACAUACUCCUCUCUUGCCAUCGCCUGCCUUCCCUCCCCGCUCCCCGUUUUCCGUUUUUUUCUGCGGGGAGAGAGGGGUUUCUUUCUACAUUUCCUCCGUCUCCAAACCCCUCCCCAGCAGGCAUCCACGAUGUGUUCCUCCGCCGCCGGCCACGGAUGCUCCGGCACCCCGUCUUCCCUGCCCGCCUUGCCUUCCGGAGGAGCCUCGCCAUGCGGAGAGCCGAGGUGCUUCUAAACCAGAUGGAGUUUCUAUCCGGGGGGCCAAGACACCCACAAUGAACCGCCUGCUGCCUCUCUGCUUCCUAUUCCUCAAACUCUUAGAUGCGGUGCUGGGUGAGUGUGUGCGAGAGACACCUGCUUUUUUUGCGGCGGCGGCGGGUUGGGGGGGGGAGAGAAAGAGAGGAUAGAGGCAUGGCUUUCAUGUCCCCCCAUCACCAAAGGAGAUGCAAGAAUCCCAUGCGACGCCAGCACCCCCUCCCAAACCAACGCUGCUCAGGUUCUCUCCAAAGCCACGAACGGCGAGAGAAUUUUAGCUCGGGGCAUCAAACCGCUCUCCUUCCCCCGUUCAAGUCAAUAGAGGAUGCUUUGGAGCUGGGCAGAGGGAAGUCAGUGGGAGAUGAACGGGGUGUUUUCUCCCAACUCAUGCCAACUUUCCCCAUCCUGGCUUGGUUGUUUAAUGCUCCUGUUCUCUGGUCCUUCAAAGCUGCCCUUUGUUGGACCUCAACUGCUAAGAGUUGAGUGGGUCUCUCUCUUUCUCUCUUUCUCUCUCUCUCCCCCUCUCCCCCCCCCCCAGUUAGGAGGCAGUGAUGUUGUGCAUGGAUCUAUGAAAAGCCUUACCAAAUGCCAAAGCAAACACUUUCUCUUUUUUUCCUCUGGUGGUGGUCGCAAUAAUUAUUAUGAUAAUAACCCCCCCUUCCCCCGAAGCUCCCACAAUCAGCAUCCAUUGUGGAACCAGGUUGCAAGCGGACAAUAGACUUUUCAAUGGCAUCUGACGAGUUGUUGUCGUCUUCUGGAGAAAACACAACCCGGUUUGAGCAAAAAGAGGCGAAAUAAACCAAGAGAGGGGGUGAUGGAGGAGGACUAUGUUGGGGAUAAGUAACCUGGGGGGUUCACAGAGAAAAGAGUGGGAGGGGAGGAUAAACAGGGAGGUACUUGUUUUGUGGGUUUACCUUUGGACUCAAACUCUGGACCGGUUUGUCGAACAGCAGAUGCAUCCACACACACGCACACCCCUCUCUCGUGUGUGUGUUCGUUCCCCUUUGGAAAAUUCUGUGGUGUGUUUAUUAUUUUGCGAUUGAAUUUAGGCUAAAAACAACAGAAACAAACAAAAGACUUUCAUUAGCUCAGGCUCUUUUUUUCCAGGGGUUACUUGAGGGCAGAUGGGUUGAUGCUCUGUGUGUGUGUGUUUGUGUGUGUGUGUGUGAUCCGGAGAGCAAAAGCAGAAAGUUCCCCUUAUUUAUUUUUUCAAAGGAACUGAUUUAUUGAGCACCCACCCACCUGCCCAGACUUUGGGGCAUGUAUUGACAGAACCAGAAUGGACCUCAAUGCAAUAUUUUGUUUCAGUUCCAAUCCUAUCCCCCCCCCCACCAUAUAUAUAGCAAUGGGAGUUCUCAAAAAGUCACACUCUCCUAUCACCUCUGGUCAGCCACACCAAUCCUUGGAUGAUUUCAGUCUCCAAACUUAACCCUGUUGUAAUUUCUGAGCUGGGCGGUGUGUGUGUGUGUCUUUUCUCCUCUCAUUUUUUUGCAGUGGUUUUUUUUUGGGUGGGGGGAGGGUUAGGGAAAGGAAUUGGUGGUUGAUAUCUCUUUGCUGAUUCUUUACCUUUUGAUUCGGAGUGAAAAUCCAGUUCAAAUGCUUCCAGCCUAGGUUAUCGCAUACUGUCGAUACAGCACUGAGUUUAUGGGUGUCCUCCUGCCCCUUCUUCCUAUAAUAGCCCAACUCAAAUCUUCCAGGUGAGCUGAAAUUUGAAUGAGUAAUAACCGUGAAUAAUGUCAGGCAGCUGGUUGAGAAAACAAGUUGCUGGAAGGAAGAGAUGACUUCUUCUUCCCUCGACUCUUUGGGGAAGUAGCAAGAAGGAUUCGAUAUGCGGCCUUUGGUGGGAUUUAUUUGAUUAUGAGGAUCUCCCGUUGGUGGUGGAGGUGAACAAGGCAAAGUAUUGCUUCUGCCUAGACAUUCAGAACAAUAAAUGACAGUAUUGGAAACAAAGAAAAUGUAAGUGUGUUUGUGUUCAAAAUAGGAAUGAUUCUACUUUUAUUUACAGCAUCUUAUGUUUAUAAUGCGGGAGGCAAGCUAUGGGGUUACAAUGGACUCUUUUUCAGCUUGAUGUUGUUGUUUUUAAAGUGGAAUAAAUACAUAUUGGUGUUGGUGUUUGAGCUAUUUUGACCUGGCUGCUUUAUAUGUGAUCUGUACACUCUUUUCUUUUCUUUUCACGAAGCAAGGCAAUAGGAGCUGGCCAAGCAGUGUAGGCUGGGUUUUGGGAGUAGCAAUGGUGGCACCAGUGGCAGAGCUUCACCUGCAUGACACAGCUUGGCUUACUUACCCGAGCAAUCUAGAUACAUGAUCACUUCCCCAAGCCACUUCUCUGCUGUGAUAUGGCAAACUCUGGCCUAAAUUCUUGUGUUUACAGUGGGUGUAAGGGCUGGGUUCAGUGUCCUUGGCCCCUCUGUACUCCGUGGAUUCAGCUUUUCUGAGAACCAAUAGCACCUGAUAACAUCAUUUAUUGUCCUGUUAUUUAUUUAUUUAUUAUUUAUUUAUUUAUUUUGCAGUGGAAGCUGGUCCACUGGGGUGAAAGGGGCACUGCCCUCCCAACCUCAGUCCUCCCUCGGCCUGUCUUCAUUUGCCCUUUUCCUUUCUUCCAGUCUGGAAGGUGGUUCCGCUUGCUAGUUUCCUCGUGUAGCAGGGAGGAGGUGGAAGAUGGGGGCGAAAGCAGAAUGAGUUGGCUCCACCUCUCAUUGUGCCCUGGGGCCAUCCUGGUGGAGUCUCUGCCUUCUGCCCCACUGGUCCUAGUGGGCACCAGCCACUACUGGAUUUAGGGAUGAUAAGUUGCCUUAAGUUGUUCCUGCAGGAGGCAGCAAGGGUCACAAAUGUGGGUGGCUAUAAAAGAGGAUGGGACAAAUUCAUAGCUGAGAAGAGGGCUGUUGAUGGCUUCUAACCACAAUGGCUAUGCUCUGCUUCCAUGGUCAGAGGAAGCAAAUACAUGUGAAUAACAGUUUCUGGGAUCCACAGGAGGAGAGGGGUUGCUCAAAUUCUCCUUGCAGACUUCCCAUUGGGUCAUCUUGUUGAUGGCUGUGAGAACAGGAUGCUAGACCAGGUGGGCCAUUGGCCUGAUCCAGCAGGGUCUUCUGAUGUUCUUACAUUCUAAUGGGAAUAACAGGAGGGGAGGGCUCCUCUGUGCUUGAGAAGUUCUCAGGGCCCCCUGGGUGACCACUCUGUGAUGAGGGCGCUGAAAGCCUGACCCGAGGGCUUUCUGGUGGUUCCCUCACUGCGAGAAGUGAGGCUACAGGGAGACAGGCAGAGGGCCUUCUUGGCAGUGAUGCGAUCCAUGUGAAACGCCCUCCCAGCAGAUGUCAGGGAGAUAAGUAACUACUGUAUAUAACCUUUAGAAGACAUCUGAAGGCAGCCGUGUAUAGGGAAGCUUUUUAAUGUCAUUGCUUUACUAUGUUUUUAUAUACAGUGGUACCUUGGGUUAAGUACUUAUUUCAUUCCGGAGGUCCGUUCUUAACCUGAAACUGUUCUUAACCUGAAGCACCACUUUAGCUAAUCGGGCCUCCUGCUGCCGCCGUGCUGCUGGAGCACGAUUUCUGUUCUCCUCCUGAAGCAAAGUUCUUAACCCGAGGUACUAUUUCUGGGUUAGCGGAGUCUGUAAUCUGAAGUGUAUGUAACCUGAAGCGUAUGUAACCUGAGGUACCACUGUACGUUGGAAGCCCCUUAGAGUAGCUGGGGCAACCCAGUCAGAUGGGCAGGGUACAAAUAUAUUAUUAUUAUUAUUAUUAUUAUUAUUAUUAUUAUUAUCCAGCAGGGCUCAACUUAUGUGCCUAUGUUUCUACUCCGAGUCUGACUGAGUUCCCUGGGGCUUGUGCAAGGAUGUGUCUCCUUAUUCUAGAGGCAGGUCUUCAAAAUCUCUUUUCCCCUUCCUGAGGAAAGAAUAAACACGGGAGCUCAGAUUGGCUGGGAUUUCCUCAUUCCUCCAGCAGAGGGCGGCUCCACGUGCAGGCACGUGCCAUGCAGCGAUGUGAACUUUGCAAACUUCUCCUUUCAGAUUCUCACACUUGUGGCUUCACCAUGACCCCCUGCAAUUCCUCGCCUCCAACCAUCUCUCUAUGAGCUCUGUGUGUGUCUGCUUCUCUUGUGCUGACUGAUUCAUUCAGAGAGAGAGAGAGAGAGAGAGAGAGAGAGAUUCUCAAUCAAGGGACAUAAAAAGGCUUUAAAUAAUAGAAAGCCAACAGAAGCUGGAUGAUCUUUUCUUUUAAAGCUGCCUCGGUGGUGGUAAAAUAAAUUAAUGGCCUGGAAAUUACUCUGUACCUCCCUGCCAUGGAAAAGUGGUUCGUCUGGUGUCUGCAAGAUGGGCCAAAAGGCAGAGGAAUAUUACAUAGUAAUAUUACAGUGUAAUAUUGUUCUGGACACUGUACAGAAUAGUACAGUGUCCAGAUCAAGGGAAGUAACUGCCACUAUUUUCUGUCUUGAUCUGACCCCGCCUGGAGUCCUGUGCCCUGUUCCGGGCUCCACAGUUUAAGAAGGAUAUUGACAAACCAGAACGUGCACAGAGGAGGGCAACUAAGAUGAUCAAGGGUCUGGAAAGCAAGCCUUAUGAGGGAGCUGGUUGUGUUUAGCCUGGAGAAGAGAAGACUGAAUAUCUUCAAAUAUCUGAAGAGCUGUUCCAUGGGAACCAGCUUGUUUUCUGCUCCUCCAGAGGGGAGGACCCGAACCAAUUGAUUCAAAUGACAAGGAAAGACAUUCCAACUAAACAUUAGGAAGAACUUUCUGAGGGUAAGAGCUGUUUGACCGUGGAACAGACACCCUCAGAAGGUGAUGGACUCUCCUUCCUUGGAGGUUUUUAAGCAGAAGUUAGAUGGCCAUCUGUGAGGGAUUCUCGAACUGUGAUUCCUGAAUUGCAGGGGGUUGGACUAAAAGGCCUUUGGUGUCCCUUCCAAGUAGAAUUCUAUGAUUCUAUCUCUUUGUAAUGAGACAUUGUGUGGUGCGAUGAUGAUUCUGGGGUUUGGCUGUUUGUCCUCUUCCCACAUAUCAUAGACAGGUGUUCAAGGGAUGUGGUGGCAGAAAUGUCAGUAAACAUGUCCCUUAAGGUGCUGCUAGGCUGUCAAUAUUUCACAGGAGGGAUUUAAGUGAACUCUGGAACUUUAGGACAUGCACAGUUAAAGUGGAUCAAAGCAGUCUAUUGCCCUAGUACAGGCAUCCCCAAACUCAGCCCUCCAGCUGUUUUGGGACUACAACUCCCACCAUCCCUAGCUAACAGGACCAGUGGUCAGGGAUAAUGGGAAUUGUAGUCCCAAAAUAGCUGGAGGGCCGAGUUUGGGGAUGCCUGCCCUAGUGCUACUCUGGGUAGCAUCGUCAAAUUUAAUAGACACGAUUAACUUAGGUUUGUGAGUUUCAAAAAGGACCUAAUCUGAGUAGGUCUUGACAGAAUACAACCCCCAAUGCUGGUGUGUUCUAAGUUGGGACUUUCAUAUAUCACCCUCUUCCAUUUCCACUCCCCUUGGAAUGGUUGUCAAUGUCUCUUUAAGAGGGCGUGGGCAAGUGAAAGAGAUCAGCCCACCUGCUUAUGGUGAUGUGAUAUGCAGGUCAGCUGACCAAGUGGUAUAUAAAAAGGGAGGUGCUGGAUCUUAGUGGGUAGUUGAACUUCUAACAUGAGUGAGGAGGAACCCUCCCAGAAAUGAAAAAAUGAGGGAAGCAGGUGUUUAGUCAUAGCCAGUGACAGGCAAACAUUUUUUGUUAAGAAUAUCAAGCUAGCAAAAAAAAAUUGGGAGUGGUGGAUCCCUUCAACAUGUACUGGAGUCUUCUGAAAAUGGUGAGUUAUGCGUUCUUACUUCUUCUGUGUUGGUGAAUUUAACCACCCCACCCCCCGGAUGUUCAGCUUCAUAAUGGAAUGGCCCAUCAAGAAGCUCCAAUUGUGGAUUUUAUUGAUUGCUUUCCAGAUAACAGCAGUCCUUUUUAAUGGAUGUUCUGUGGGUUUAAGCUGGCUGGCUGGUUUUCCAUAUUGUUCUGGGUCUUAGUGGAAGAUGUGCUCAUUUUUUAUUUAUUUUUUACAGCCAUAUAAUCUUUAGGGGAGGCUGAGGCUAUCUGGAUUCCUUUAAAAACUACAUUUGAUUCAAUAUUUUUACCCACUACCUUCCGCUGGAGAUAGCGCUGCUUCAGAUUCCAUCACAGCUUCAUCUUUCCCUACCAGGUUCUUCCAUGGAGUCUGGGAGAUUUGUCGUUCUCUGUUGAACGGGCGAUGUAGAACAACUGCCUUUCCCCGCUUAACUCUGUCUUCACUUACAUGUGCCCAGUGAAGCUGAAUUUGGGGAGAUUCGGGACAGAUGGAAGAAAGUCCUUCUCUACACUGCGAGGAGUUAAAACCAUGGCACUCGCUCCCACAAGAAGCAGUGAUGGUCACCAACUUGGAUGACUUUAAAAGAGGAUUGGACAAAUUCAUGGAAGAGAGGGCUAUUGGAGGCGGCAAAGCUUCUGAAUACCAGUUGCUGGAAACUGCAAGAAGUUAGGGGGCUCUUGUGCUUGGUUCCUGCUUGUGGGUUCUGCUCCUCUUGUGUUCUCAUAUGUCUAUUCCCCCCAGUUACUCAUAACUGUUCCUUUUUGAACUCUGCUUGUUGUGGUAGUUUGGAGUGGAGAAGGUGGCUCUUGUUGAAUCCUUUGUUGAGGCUGAUCCCUUGGCCUAGUUGGGAUUUGAACCCUGAUCUUCCAGGCCCUGGGCCAACACCCUAACCACUGGUUUUAGGUUGGAUGCAAUUCCAUUAUGAAUAGUGCAAUUCUGUUAAUGCAUGUUUUGUUGUACAGUGGUGCCUUGGUUCUCAAACUUAAUCCAUCCCAGGAGUCCGUUCGACUCCUGAAACCAUUCAAAAACCAAGGCACUCAAGCAGAAGCCGCGUCGGAGGUUCAGCUUCCAAAAAAAGUUUGCAAACCGGAACGUUGACUUUUGGGUUUGCGGCGUUCAGGAGCCGAUUUGUUCGGCAACUAAGCCAUUCAAGAACCAAGGUUUGACUGUAUCGUGAAACGGCUUGGAGAUGCUCCAUCAGAAGUGACCCAUAAAUGAAAUUUUAAAAAGUAUAUGGCAUGGUAAAGGUAAAGGUAAAGGGACCCCUGACCGUUAGGUCCAGUCACGGACGACUCUGGGGCUGCAGCGCUCAUCUUGCUUUACUGGCCGAAGGAGCCAGCGUUUGUCUGCAGACAGCUUCCGGGUCAUGUGGCCAGCAUGACAAAGCUGCUUCUGGCGAACCAGAGCAGUGCACAGAAACACUGUUUACCUUUCCGCCACAGUGGUACCUAUUUAUCUACUUGCACUGGUGUGCUUUCAAACUGCUAGGUGGGCAGGAGCUGGGACAGAGCAAUGGCAGUGCACCCUGUUGCAGGGAUUCAAACCACCGACCUUCUGAUCAGCAAGUCCUAGGCUCUGUGCUAAAUAAAUGUGUGUGUGGAGGUUGGUUUAUGCCAUUUUUUCCAGCCCUGCCCCAAAUCACACAGGGAGGUGUGUCUUGUGCCUAGCAGCCACCAGCUUUCGAAAGCCAUCGAAGAAACAACCUCUUUGGCUUAUCAUUGUGAAAAAGGCUAGAGGUGGUUGAUCUCUCCAAAGGACGUCACUUGAGAGGGUGCUUCUCGUUUCACCCUGGCCCUUGAAAAAAAUAAAAAUAACAACCCUAUCUUGUGGGCUCAGUCGUCCAAGAAGAAAUUGCACUGGCAGAAGGAGGCGAUGCUUAGAGUUCCCUUGCAUGAACCCUUUGUGCCAUCUCUCUCCUCGUCCUCCUCCUCUUCCCCUUCAUGAAGUGCCUGUGCAGCAGCCCCCGGGGGCCUCUUGUGCAGGACGACAGAAACCCUGCACGCUCCCUUAGCUCAGUUCGCAAGCGCCUCUUGCUUUUGUUCUUCCUUUCAAAGUGAUGAUGUGGUUGUUUUCCUGAACUAGAGGUUGGGUGGGGAGAGAGAGGAAGCCAGUUUUGUGUCCGCGAUCAGUUUCUUUCCUUUACAUGCCUAGCAAUUAAGAAGCUGGGAGAAACGCGAUAAUCAGACCCUCCAAGUGUCCCUAUUUUCCAGGGACAGUUCCAGAUUUCCAGAAGCCGUCCCAGUUUCUGAUGAGAUCCCAGCACAUCCCACUUUUCCUUAAAGGUAAAGGGACCCCUAAUCAUUAGGUCCAGUCAUGACUGACUCUGGGGUUGCAGCACUCGUCUCGCUUUAUUGGCCGAAGGAGCUGGUGUACAGCUUCUGGGUCAUGUGACCAGCGAACCAGAGCAGCACACAGAAACGCUGUUUACCUUCCCGCCGGAGCGGUACCAUUUUUCUACUUGCACUUUGACGUGCUUUCAAACUGCUAGGUUGGCAGGAGCAGGGACCGAGCAAUGGGAGCUCACCCCGUCAUGGGGAUUCGAACCGCGACCUUCUGAUCAGCAAGUCCUAGGCUCUGUGGUUUAACCCACAGCACCACCCGCGUCCCUCCGCUUUUCCUUAAGAUGUCCCUAUUUUCAGCGGAGAAUUGCUGAAGGAUGCCCCUAUUUUCAUCAGAGAAAUGUUGGAGGAUACAGAGUUAUCCAUCCCCUGAGCCAUAUGAAGACAGGCCCGUAUAGUGAAUAUUUUUAAUGUUUCAUGUUUUUUGGAAGCCACCCAGAGUGGCUAGGGCAACCCAGUCAAAUAGGUAGGGUAUAAAUAAUAAAAUUAUUAUUAUGGAAGAGGAUGUCCCUCUUUCCUCAGAGAAAUGUUGUAGGGUAUGCAAUAUACUUUCCAGCAGUUUACGCCUCAACACGCCUCUUCCUCUUCUUCUCUGUCUCUGCAAAUCUGACACCAUGAUGAGUAACAUUUGGACCAAGGGGCUGGGCAGGGAAAACUGAAUACUAUGCCAGGGUUCCUGAAAAGCCUAUGGGAGGUUGAGAGCAAUGCCAGAUUUAGGGUGUUGUGAGCAGUUCCCCGGCACAGGCCACCAAGCCGAAGGGGUGCAAAAUUGAGAAGAUCCAUGACUGAGAUGAUCCAUUUGGGUGGUGCCAAAUUCUGGACUUGCACAGGGUGCCGUAUUAGGAAAGAUUACCAAAGGCAGGACCUGUGAAUAUGUUCAUUGGUGGCAGAUGGAUGGCAAAGGAUGAAGAACACCAGUGGCCCUCCAGAUGUUUCUGAAUGACCCCCACCUUGAUCCCUGGCCAUUGGUUGUGCUGGCUGCCAGGGCUGCUGGGAGUUCUCAUCUUAGCAACAUCUGGAGGGCCACAGAUGUUCCCCAUCCCUGAAUUAGACCAUUAGUGCCCUGAACUACCUUCAUCACCACUUUGACCGUCACUUGCCUUCACUGCCCCAGCUACCUCCAUCACAACUCUGUUUUCUCCAGGGCGUUUGAGGGUGGUGUACACCGUUUUCUGUUCCCCAUCCCAUCUGUUUAAUCCCUGCAACAACCCUGUGGAGUAGGUUAGACUGAGAGUGACUGCCUAAGAUCACACCCAGCCAGCUUCAUGGAUGAGUAGGGGAUAUGAAGCCAGGCCUCCUGAGGCUUCCUGUGAUGGCCUGGGAUUCGGACUCAGAGGCUGAACCUGAGGAAUCCCAGCCUGCACAGGAGUCCCUGCCUCCAAAUCCAGCUGAGCCGGGGCUGGGGCCUGAGGCUGAAGGGUCCUCACCUGUGCUGGAUCCUCAGGUGCAGGCACCAGCUGAGUCUGCUUUGGCUCCUGAGGUGAUGGAGGACCCAUUGCCUGCAGGUACUCUGGGUCCAGUAACCCUCCAGCCUCUCCUGAGCUGCAGAGGCUCAGGGCAGAGAGGCGGAGGCAACUAAGUUCCUGCAGGAGGAGUGCUCGCCUCCAGGCCAGGAGAGGCAAGUCACCUGCGGACCGGGACCUUGGGGCAGAUAAAAGCCAGUUAGCCCCAGUCUCAGGUUGUGGGAGCAACGUUGUUGCUAGCCUGUUCCUGCCUGCACCCUGUCCUGCUCGUCUGCCAGAGUUCCUGAUCUCACCCGACUCCCCACCUUGGAUCCAGCUACAGCUUUGAUGGACAGCCUCCAUACCGCACCAUCGACCUCGGACUGGACUCGGACCUCGCCUCUCGGUUAGCCCCCGGGACCAGCACACUUCCAGAGCCCGAGAGAAGCACCUGCAAAGGACAUUUCUGGACAAGAUGGUUCCUAGAAUGAUGGGACCAGGAAGGCCCUGAUUCAAAGUAAGGAGGACGAGACAGGUUAAUCUCCUCCCAUCAUCCUCUCCUCCCCAUGGCUCAUAAAUCAUCUCAACUCACAGGCAGCCUCGGAACUGCAAGGUUGCAAGGGAUCUGCCUAGACCUAUAUUUUUUGUCCACCUGCCAAAACUUCCUCUGUGCCCUUAGCUUCCUGCAGAAGUUCUUACUAUACUGAUGGCUCCUACCUUUAAGUGUGUGUGUGUGUGUGUGUGUGUGUGUGCGCGCGUGUGUGUGUGCAGCUAAUGACUGGGCACUUCCGUUAUCUCCCCGCCAUUAUUGUUCCUUCGUCCUCUUUGACAGCCUUCCUAAAAUAAACUGUCAAUCACAUGCACUCUCUCUCUCUUGCUCUCGUGUGUGUGUGUCGUGUGUGAGUGUGAGUGUGUGUGUGUCCAUUCCCCUGCGUGUGUUGCUUUUGAAAUAUCAGAGAGCCUUUGUCUGGAGCGCAGACAGCAAAAUGCGGGGAAAUGAGGAAAAACCUACUUUGCAUCUUAUCUGGCCCUUCCAGCCUGCUUCUGUGGAAGGCAACAUGGUGGAUAGUGGUUAGAGCACUGGUUCCCAAAGUGGGCGGUACUGCAGUUCUGGAGGUGUCAAUCACUGCCAGAGUUUGCAGGGGGUGUGUGUGUGCUAUCAUUGGAUCAAGUUCAUCCAUUUUGCUGAAUUAAUUGGAUCGUUUUAACUGGAAUUUGAGUAAACGUGCAAUUAAUUGUGGCUUUUUUGAAUCCCUUAGUGGGUCGUGCAAGCAGCUAUUCUGAAUAGUACUCUUAUUAUAUGAUAGGGGGCACUGGGAAUGAGUUUAUAGGUCCAAGGUGGGUCCCCCCAAAAAGUUCAGCAACUACUGGGUUAGAGAGUUGACUGUGUGACUGGCAGAAUCCGAGACCAGGGAGAAGAGUCGAUGGAAGAAGAUUGGAAAAAGUUUAAAGACUAUCUACAGAAAUAUUGCAAAAUUAAUGAAUGUUAGAAUGAUGUUGGAUAGAAACUAAGUGCUCUUUAGCUGAAAUGUUAUAAGGGAAUAUGAAAAAAUGGUUUAUUAAUGGGUAAAAAUCUAAAAUUACAAUAUUUUAUGAUUAAUGAUUAGGAUAUACAAAGAGGGGAGGGAUUUGCUGAACUAACAAUUGAACUGGAAUACAAAAAAGGGAGGUGUGAAGAGGUCCUGAAAACUAAGCAAAUGAAGGAUAAGUAAUGGAAGGAAUUGUUUUUAACCAUUUUUACUUUGUAUUUUUUCUUUUUUUUUUUCUUUUUUUUGUUUUGUAAUAUUCUGAAAAUCCUAAUAAAUAACUUAUAUAAAAAAAGAGAGAGUUGACUGUGGUUUGGGGGGGGCAUGAUUGUAAUUCUUGUUCCGUCAUUAAGUUCAGUGAGGUCACUGGGGUACAAUCACCACCUGGGAGUGAAGUCCACCUCACAGGGCAGUUAUGAGCAGGAGAGGAGGAAACUAUUCGUACAUGUAUGCAUAUAAAAUAUUUUUCAUUUGCUUUUCGGCUUGCACCAAACAUCCCAAAUGGCACACAUGUCUAUCUGUCUGUCUAGGGACUCAGCUAUACAGCUGCAAAUAUAACAUUUUAAGUGUGUUUUAAGUGCAUUAUACAAAUGUGAUACUAGAUGGCACUGGUGAGCGAAUGGCAAAUUCCAUGUAUAUUUUAAAACAUGGUGUUGUUUUUUAGGAAAAGCAUUUUCAUAGCGUUUUUAUAUACAAUAUGGGCAGAUUCAGCCUAGCUGUCCAGCUAUCCACAUACACAUAUCUAGAUCAUAGUAGGAAUUUCCUUCCUUGUAAUUGGAAUCCUUUGGUUCAGGUCCUAUCUUCCAGAGCAGCAGAAAACAAGCUUGCUCCAACUUUCAUGGUACAACCCUGAGUCUGUAAAAUAACUCAGUUGCUACAUAUGAUCUUGCAUUUCUGUGCAUUGAAACCACACCCCAAAUCAUACACUAGUGGCAAAAUUGUGGAAACCUUUUGGGAAAAGUGUAUUUCUGAGGUUUGAUGGCUCAUAACACCACUUUUUUGGGUAAUGUCAUAAAAUUAUAUAUCAACAGAAAGAUAAUUUAAUGAAGAAUGUAAUACAACCAAGUUUGUUCAAUUAUCUGUAUUCUAUCAAAAGUUAUAGCCAAAUAACCAGAAAAAAGGAAGCACGACUUGCUUUUUUUUUAAAGUAAUAUUUAUUGAAUUUUAAAGGGUUACAAAAAGAAAAAAUUAAAAAACAGCAUAUUUAAGAAAUACAAAACAUCACAUCACGAUAAUAAAAAGAAAAGAAACAAGAAAAAAAGAAGAAAAAAAAUAAAAUAAAUCUUCCCAUAACUUAUCUUUCAUUUGCUUAUUUCCUUGACCUCCUCACACCUCCCUUUUUUGUAUUCUAGUUCAAUUAACUAUUUCAGCAAAUCCUUUCCAUCUUUUCCAGUUUUUGUCCUUCCUCUAUUCUAUCUUAAUAUAAUGUAACUUUACUUUCCCUCCUUCACCAUUUAGCAAUCAAUUUUUCCUUAAUCCUUUUUAGCAUUUCUGCUAAAACCGCAUUAUUUCAUUCCAACAUCCUUCUAACAUUCCUUAAUUUUACAAUGUUUCUGUAAAUAAACUUUAAAUUUCUUCCAAUCUUCUUCCACCAACUCUUCUCCCUGGUCUCGGAUUCUGCCAGUCAUUUCCGCCAGUUCCAUGUACUCCAUCAGGAAGCACGACUUGCUUAGGUUGAUAUGCAGUAGAUUUCCUUCAUUUGAAUAUUGCCAAUUAGCAUGAGCAUGAGCCAAGCAGGUAUUAUGAGCCAUCAAACCUCGGAAAUACACUUUUCCUUCCACAAUUUUGGCCACUGGUGUAGCUGCCCUGCCAAAUCCAGAGCGAUGUAUGUCCUCUGCCUGUGUGUUGUGUUCUGAUCCAUGUGCAGAGUUCCACGAGUUGCUUCAGUCCAGGAUGCGUCAUAGAGCUGUUGUCCAUUCUUCGUGGUCAGCUGUCCCAUGCACGAGGCAGAGUGUGUUAGAUUGAGGAAGGAGAAUAAGCAUCUUAAAAGAUAGAUGAAUUCUUUGGAUCUCCUCCAGCCUUGGAAGGGUCUCUCUCAGAAGUUACUGGUCUACAAAAAUGUUUUAGGGUCUCUGCUGCCCACACUAGCCUCUACUAGUCAUUCACGGCAUGCCUCCAGCCUGAGAGGACGAGACUUCUACUCCUGAUGAUUCAAGGUAGCGACAACAGGGCCUUGAUUUGGCAGAUCGCUGUUUGCAGUCAAGAGACGGGCGAAGCUGUCAAUUUAGCUUUCCCCUCAAAAUGUUCAAUCCCAAACCCUCUAGAAAAGUGACCAGCAUUUUAGUGCGAAUUUCUCCUGAUAUGUUCAAGCCUGUAUUAAUUCUCUUUUUUUUUUCCUCUUAUGCACAUUUUUAUAGCACAGUUUCACUGAAUAUAAUGCAUUUUUGUUAUGAGAAAGGGCUAUAGUUCAGUGGCAUGGAACCUGAGUUCAAAUCCCUCCAGCAUCACCAGGUAAAAAGGUAAAAGGAUCCCUGACCAUUAGGUCCAGUCGUGACCGACUCUGGGGUUGCGGCGCUCAUCUCGCUUUAUUGGCUGAGGGAGCCGGCAUACAGCUUCAAGGUCAUGUGGCCAGCAGGACUAAGCCGCUUCUGGCGAACCAGAGCGGCGCACGGAAACACCGUUUACCUUCCUGCGGGAGCGUUACCUAUUUAUCUACUUGCACUUUGACAUGCUUUCGAACUGCUAGGUUGGCAGGAGCAGGGACCGAGGAAUGGGAGCUCACUCCGUCGCGGGGAUUCGAACCGCUAACCUUCUGAUCGGCAAGUCCUAGGCUCUGUGGUUUAACCCACGGCGCCACCCGCGUCCCAUCACCAGGUAGGGCUGGGGAAAAGACUCCCUGCCUGGAGAGCUAUUGCUGCCAGCCAGCAUAGGCAAUACUAAAGUAGAUGGAGCAAUGGCUUGACUUGGCCUAAGCCAGUUUAUUAUGUCCCUAUCUAAAUCGACCUUUCAGCACCAUAAGGACUUGGACCUUUUUUCUGUUUAGGGGAAGGAUUAUAGCUCAGUAUCACAACCCCUGCUUUGCAUGCAGAAAGCCCCAGGUUGAAUCGCCGGGUUGGGCUGGGGGGGACUCCAUGUCUGAAACUCUGGAGUUUCUGACAGUCAGUGUAGGCAAUACUGAUCUUGAUGGAUCAGGGCUCUGACUCCAUCUGAAGUUGCUUCCUAUGCACCUAGCCUAGAUGGAAAGUUGAGCCUAUGCUUCAGUGUGAGCCCACAAACAGGAUUUGAGCUUAUUGACAUCCUCCUCAUUCUUGAUUCCCAGCAGCUGGUAAUAGUGGUAAUAGUCCCUCUCUAUUCUGCCUUGGUCUGACCACACCUGGAAUACUGUGUCCAAUUCUGGGCAACACAAUUUGAGAAGGAUGUCGAGAAGCUGGAACGUGUGCAGAGCUGGGCAACCAAGAUGAUCAAGGGUCUGGCAACCAAGCCUUAUGAGAGAGAGUUGAGGCAGUUGAGUCUGUUUAACUGGGACAAGAGGAGACUGAGAGGUUCUAUGAAGGCCACCUUCAAAUAUCUGAAGGGCUAUCACAUGGAAGAUGGAACAAGCAUGUUUUCUCCUGCUCCGGAGGGUAGGAUCUGAAGGAAAGAAGAUUCCAACUAAACUUUAUGAAGAACUUUCUGGUGGAAUGGACAACCUCAGAUGGUGGUGUACCCUCCUUCAUAAGAGGUUUUUAAACAGAGGUUGAAUGGCAGUUUUGUCUGGAAAUGAAAGGUUGAAGGAGCUGGGUAUUUUUAGGCUGGAGAAAAGGAGACUCAGAGGAGAUAGGAUAGCCAUCUUCAAAUAUCUCAAGGGCUGCACAUGGAAGAAGGAACAAGCUUGUUUUCUCCUUCUCUGGAGGGUAGGAUUUGAACCAAGGGCUUCAAGUUACGAGAAAGGAGUUUCCAACUAAACAUCAGGCAGAACUUUGACAGUAGGUUGGAUGGUCAUCUAUCUUGGAUGCUUUAGUUGAGAUACCUGCAUUCCAGGGGGUUGGUCUACUCUAGAUGACCCUCAGGGUCCAGGGGCGCCAACUUGGGCCACAGGUUAUGGGUGCCCACUGCGAGUGACGUGACAUCAUGAUGUCAUGCACCUCGUGGCCUCAGAACCUGACUUCCCAUGGCACUGGAAGUCAGGUUCUGAGGUCUCGCAAGGCCUCGGACAUGAUUUCUUGUGCUUUAUGAGGCACCGGAAUUUGUGUCAGGAGGGAGGGAGGGAGGGAGGGAGGGAGGGAGAGAGGGAGAGAGGGAGAGAGGGAGAGAGGGAGAGAGAGAGAGAACCUAAUGUGCUCCAUUCUAGGGAUGCUGAUCUUAAGCAGUGCUGAUUCCAAAGGCUACUCUGCCUGUUUUAUUCCAGGGAGAGGAACAAAAUGCCAUCUGCAGGAACUUCCUCAGCCGGAAGCAAUCUUGUCUCCCAGGACCACCCCUUCCCUCUCUCAGUUUGAAGCUGAGGCAAAGGAGCUCUGGAAGGAGGGGGACCUUCAGUGUCUUCUGAUAUGAGCUCCUAAUGCUGUGUUGAACAUAUGGAAGCAGAAGUCCCUCGAAGCUUCGGAGAGAGCUCUGUACGAGCUGGUGGGAAGGGAUGUGGGCUGGUUGAAGAUGCUGCAGUAAUCAUUCUGAUAAGACGAAAGGCAGGAGAAAAGGUCUGCAGCAUCUUCCCCACCCACAAGUAAUGGGAAUGGGUUCCCUGACAGGGAUGAAAGGACAGGGGUAAAGUAAUAGAAUCAUAGAAUUAUAGAGUUGGAAGGGAUCAUGAGUGCGAUUUAGUCCUCCUCCUGAAAUGCAGGAAUAAGAGCUAACUGAUCCUUGACAGAUGGCCAUCCAACCUCUAGUGAAACCCACCAUCUUCUGAGGUUGUCCAUUCCAUGUCAUAUAGCACUUAUGCCCAGAAAGUUCUUCCUAAUGUUUAGUUGGAAUCUCCUUUCUUAUAACUUGAAGCCUACCCUCCAGAGCAGCAGAAAACAGGUUUAUUCCAUCUUCCACGUGACAGCCCUUCACAUAUCUGAAGAAGACUAUCAUAUCGCCUCUCAGUCUCUUCUUCUCCAGGCUAAACAUGCCCAGCUCCUUCAACUGUUCCUCAUAAGGCUUGGUUUCCAGACCCUUGAUCAUCUUGGUUGCCCUCCUAUGCACACGUUCCAGCUUGUCAACAUCCUUCUUAAAUUGUGGCACCCAGAACUGGACACAGUAUUCCAGGUGUGGUCUGACCGAGGCAGAAUAGAGUGGGAGGAUGUCUUCCUUUGAAUGUGGGAUGACGAGUUUAGCAUUUGCUCUCCCCACACUCCAAAUAUCACCUCUCUCUCAAGACAGCGAGAUCGCAGAGGUGCUUGAGUCAAGCUUUCUGUGGGUUUUAUUCAAGCAACCCAGUGUAAGGAUGGAUGGCCAGUCCUUGAAGACAGAAGGCUCUGUCCCCUUGAGGGUCAGUGUUGCAUUUUGGCUGUGAUGGGGAGUCCAGGGCUGUCGGAGAAAGGGCAGAGGUGAAGAUUCCAAUUAACGCUUCCUUAAAGACAGCAGAAAUUUCAAAGCAGAGCUUUUCCUUGGCAGGGAGGAGGAGGCCCCAUAAACUAAUUAACCUGUGUGGAAGGCCAAGCCAAUGAUGGCAGAUGAAAGGUUUGGGUUUUAAAAACUUUGCUUUGGAGGGAAAAGUUCUCUCCUCUCACCCCCCCCACUACACCUUUACAUUCUAUCGCUCAGUGAGGAGGGAGGAAUCAUCCCAGUUCUGUUCUGAGUCAGUUCUGUGUUCGUUCAAUAAUAUUUCCAUUUUCUCAAUUAAAACAAAGCUCUCUCUCUCUCUCUCUCUCUCUCUCUCUCUCGUGUGUGUGUGUGUGUGUGUGUGAAUGACCCCAAAGCUCAGUGGCACAACAUCUGCUUAGCAUACAGAUGCUAAGGGAAGUGGGUGGCAUUGUGGUUUAAACCACCGAGCCACUUGGGCUUGCUGAUUAGAAGGUCAGUGGUUCGAAUCCCUGUGACAGAGUGAGCUCCCAUUGCUCUGUCCCAGCUCCUGCCAACCUAGCAGUUCAAAAGCACACCAGUGCAAGCAGAUAAAUAGGUACCAAUGUGGCGGGAAGGUAAACGACAUUCCGCCACGGUGUCCCAGAAGCAGUUUAGUCCUGCUGGCCACAUGACCUGGAAAGCUGUCUGUGGGCAAACAUGGCUUCCUCGGCCUGAAAGCAAGAUGAGCGCCACAACCCUAUAGUCACCUUUGACUGGACUUAAGCACCCAGGGGUCCUUUUUCAGCAUGCAGAUGGUCCCUGAUUCCAUCCCCCAAUAGGCUUGGGAAUGAUCGCUGCCUGAAACUCUGCAGAGCCAAUGCUAGUCAGUGUAGAAAGUAGUGUAGACCAAUUGUCUGUCUCCAUGCAAGCCAGCUUCCUAUUUUCCUGUUUAAUUCAGCUCAGGGCUUUAACUCCCACACGCUGGGGAUCCUAAGACCAGUAAAAAUGAGCUACACUUGGAAGAUGCUUCCCAGUUUUGUUCCAGUGCAGGGCUACUGAAUUCUGCACCAGCAGAAGUUUCCAAACUGUCUUCAGAGGCAGCCCUAUGUGUAAUGUGUUGCAGUAAUCUAACCUAGAGGUUACCAGAGGAUAGACAACUAGAAGUUAGGCUAUCCCUGUCCAGAUAGGGGUGCAGCUGGGACACUAGCCCAAGCUGAUGGAAGACACUCUGAGCCACGGAUGUCACCUGAGCCUCAGGUGACAGCAAUGGAUCCUUAUACCCACUCCUUCAAAGGGAAUGUAAUGCCCUCGAGAGAGAGUCUUCCACCUAUCUGGUCUAGGGAACUGCCCACCAACAGUGCCUCAGUCUUAAUCUGGAUUGAACCUCAGUUUAUUGGCUCUCAUCCAGUCCAAUACUGAGGCAAGACAACAGGCCAGCACAUCCAAUGCCUUGCCUGCCGAUAUAAAGGAGAAGUAGAACUGUGUGCCAUCAGCAGAUUAGGAAUUAGGUAGGUUCCUUUAGCCCAGUGUUUCCCAAAUUUGGGUCUCCAGCUGCUUUUAGACUACAGUUCCCAUCAUCCCUGACCACUGGUCCUGCUAGCUAAGGAUGAUGGGAGUUGUAGCCAAAAAGCAGCUGGAGAUCAAAGUUUGGGAAACACUGCUUUAGCCUGUCGCUGCUGAUGCAGCAAAUCAACCAUCACACAUCAGCAAACUUUUUCAGAAGGGCCAGUCCACUGUCCCUCAGACCUUGUGGGGGGCCGGACUAUAUUUGGGGGGGAGGAGAAUGAAUUCCUAUGCCCCACAAAUAACCCAGAGAUGCAUUUUAAAUAAAAGGACACAUUCUACUCAUGUAAAAACACAGAUUCCUGGACUGUCCGUGGGCCGGAUUUAGAAGGCAGGGGGCUGGAUCCGGCCCCCAGACCUUAGUUUGCCUAAGGCAAAGACUAGAUCCCAUGAUCUAGUCUUUAUCAACCUUGAGUUCCUAGAUGUUGGUAGUACAACUCUCAUGAUUCUUGGCCAGCAUGGCCAGUGGCCAGGGAUGAUGGUACCCAAGGGUGAGAGAGGCUGAUAUAGACCAUCAUUAGAGCAUCACUUGCUUUCCUCUUAAGGGGGAACAUAACUCCCACCUAAAAAUGUCAGCUCUGCAUUUCCUAGAUAUUAAAGAAAGUAGUUGCAGUGAUACUUUUUAGCCGUGUUAAUGGAAGCACACUUGCACUCUCUCUCCCUUGCUAGAGAUAUAAAACUUCCUGGUAAGGGAAUACAAUGUUAUAAAUAUCUCCAAACCGGCUUGAGUUGGUUUUUAGUCUUCCGCACCCUUUCCAGACCCGAGAGAGAGAGAGAGAGAGAGAUGCAUCUCUGAACUUUGUGGUAUUGAUGACAGUCAAAGCGCUGUUUAAAGAGCGUAUAAGUCCUCUCUCAGUUCUAGCAGAAACCCAAACACAUUGAUUGCAAAAAGCAGAGACCUUUCAAAUUAGGACUCUGCAAUUUCUGCUGCCAAGGACAAAAUGGGGAGGGCGCAAACAUUUCUUCCUUUUUUGUUCUGGUGGUUUGUUUUAGGGGUGGGGGGGAAAUCCAUGGGGAAUUGCCAAAACAGCAAUGGGGCACUAUGUUUCUGGUCUCCCAGGAAACACUCAGCAGCUGGCGUGCCCACUGACCAAGGAAGAUGGGAGUUGUAGUUCAUCAGCGUCUGGAAGGCCACACAAAUCCCGCAUUUUUCCAUUAAAAGGAAGCGGAAUUAGAAUAGAGGGUGCUGUGGGUUAAACCACAGAGCCUAGGACUUGCCGAUCAGAAGGUCGGUGGUUCGAAUCCCCGCGAUGGGUGAGCUCCCGUUGCUCGGUCCCUGCUCCUGUCAACCUACCGGUUCGAAAGCACAUCAAAAUGCAAGUUGAUAAAUAGGUACUGCUCCGGCGGGAAGGUAAAUGGCAUUUCUGUGCACUGCUCUGGUUCGCCAGAAUCGGCUUAGUCAUGCUGGCCACAUGACCCGGAAGCUGUACGCCGGCUCCCUCAGCCAAUAAAGCGAGAUGAGUGCCGUAACUCCAGAGUCAGCCACGACUGGCCCUAACGGUCAGGGGUCCCUUUACCUUUACCUUUUAAAGGCACACAGCCAUCAUGGUCACCUUAUGAAUUUGUCUAACUGUGUGUGUGUUUUUAAGCCAUCCUAGUCCAUGUCCAUCAGUUUUCCUUGGGGAAGCGAGUGACAGGUCUGUGUUCGAAUGAGAAGGAGGAAGUCUUUGCCUUUGGAGAGCUGGAGAGCUCUUUCCAUCAUCUCCCGGCCCUGGUAUAAGAUGCUGUUGUUACUGAGGGUUAUUUUGGGGUGGGUUGUUUUUUUUACAAGCGGCUCCCAGAUUUAUUGCAAAUCGCGAUGGUGGUGGCAGGAGUUGUUAUUGCAGGAAACUGUAUUUCUCUUCGCUCGCCCUCUCUCCACUAAAGCAGGCCUGCCCUCCCUCCUUCCGUAGCGCUGAAAGCUUCCUGCAGAGGGGAAGGAGGCGGGGGGGAGAUCGAAUACGAAAUAAAAUAACCAGUCUCUUUAAACAUUUAGAGGGCUUAUUUAAACAAUGUUAACUCCCUCUGAAAAAAGAAAAAAGAGGGAGCGCAUUUAAUGGUUAUAUUUAGCGCGGCGUGGAGGAUGGAGCCGAAAUGUGGUGGGAUUUUUCAACGCUGGGAAUAUUAAUUGCUUACACCAUUGCCUUCCGUAGAAUGGAGUUUGAAGACUGCAGGGACUGGAGCUUGGUUAGAGAAAAAUUACUAUAAUAAAGUCCAGUUUGGGGGAGGCUAUAAUUGGGGUAUUAAUAUUUCACAAUUCCAUUAUGGUGUCAACAUAAGCAAUGCAGACCCUCCAAGUAUCCCUAUUUUCCUGGGACAGUCCCAGAUUUACAGACGCCGUUCCGGUUUCUGAUUUGAUCCUAUAAUGUCCCACUUUUCCUUAGGUAAAGGUAAAGGGACCCCUGACCAUUAGGUCCAGUCGUGACCGACUCUGGGGUUGCAGUACUAAUCUCGCUUUAUUGGCCGAGGGAGCCGGCGUUUGUCCGCAGACAACUUCCGGGUCAUGUGGCCAGCAUAACUAAGCUGCUUCUGGCAAACCAGAAAUGCCGUUUACCUUCCCGCCGUAGUGGUACCUAUUUAUCUACUUGCAUUUUGACAUGCUUUUGGACUGCUAGGUUGGCAGGAGCAGGGACUGAGCAAUGGGACCUCACCCCAUCAUGGGGAUUCGAACCGCCAACCUUCUGGUCGGCAAGUCCUAGGCUCUGUGGUUUAACCCACAGUGCCACCCACGUCCUCCACUUUUCCUUAGGAUGUCCCUAUUUCAUUGGAGAAAUGUUGGAGGGUAUGGAAUUACGCAACCCCUGAGCCCAGGAGAUAAGUAACUAUGCAACCUUUAGAAGACAUUUGAAGGCAGCCCUAUAUAGGGAAGUUUUUAAAUGCUUAAUCUUUUAUUAUGUUUUUACAUCUGUUGGAAGCUGCCUAUAGUGGCUGGGGCAACCCAGUCACAUGGGCGGGGUAUAAAUAAUACAAUUAUUAUCAUUAAUAUUAUGGAAUAGGAUGCCCCUGUUUUCAUUGGAGAAAUGCUUGAGUGUAUGAGCAGGCUGGAUGCAGAGUUCCGACUGAUGAAUUAUUUUAAUUUUUUAAUUUGAAAUAAAGUUUCAAGGCCUUAAGCUUGCAAAUGCAAAGAGAGGCUUGGGAGUGUCUGCUGAAAUCUAAGAGGUCCGAGGAGAGGAUGAAUAAUGAGGGUGGAGCAGGGGCAUUAGGUCCAGUCGCGGACGACUCUGGGGUUGCGGCGCUCAUCUUGCUUUCUUGGCCGAGGGAGCCGGCGUACAGUUUCCAGGUCAUGUGGCCAGCAUGACUAAGCCGCUUCUGGCGAACCAGAGCAGCGCACGGAAACACCGUUUACCUUCCCGCUGGAGUGGUACCUAUUUAUCUACUUGCACUUUGACGUGCUUUCAAACUGCUAGGUUGGCAAGAGCAGGGACCGAGCAACGGGAGCUCACCCCGUCGCGGGGAUUCGAACCGCCAACCUUCUGAUCAGCAAGUCCUAAGCUCUGCGGUUUAACCCACAGCGCCACCUGAGUCCUAUACAAGUUGUACAAGUGACAAUAAAGUAUUCCAUUUUUUCCCCUAUUAUUAUUAUUAUUAUUAUUAUUAUUAUUAUGUUGCAAGCUGCUCCUUCCCCCAAAAGCAAAGUAAGAUUCUAGUCCUCACAGCACUGAUUUCAGCAAAAACCUGCCUUUACCAAAUUAGACACUUGAUCCAUCUAGUUCAAUAUUGCCUCCACUGGCUGGCAGCAGCUGUCCAGGGUUUCAGAAAGAGAGUCUCUCUCAGCGCUAGCUGGAUACGCCAUUGGAGAUUGAACCUGUGAUGUUGUGCAUGCUUCACUUCUGACCUUCUGCUGAAGAUGUAGCAGUAUUCUAGUCCUCAUAGAGGACCUGACAUAACUAGGAAGCUGCCUUACAGUGGGUCAGAGCACUGGCUUGAACCUGGGGCCUUCUGCGUUCAGAGCAGGUGCCCUGACACUGAGCUACAUCCCUUGCUUUAAGGCCCAGGAAGUUUCUGCAUAGAGAUUUGCACCUGCCGGUCUGCCUAGCUCAGUGCUGUCUACACGGACUGGCAGCAAGGGCUCAGGCAGGGAACCUCUCCCAGCCCUACCUGGAGAUGCUGCCAGCGGGGAUUGGAGGUGCAUGCUCUUCCACCGAGCUGCAGCGCUUCCCUUACUGCCCCCUACGGAUCUGUUUAGGCACCUUCGCCUUUUCUUUCUUUUUUAAAAGGGAAACAUAAAAUCCCUGUUUUAGCAAACAAGGCUUUCCAUCUCUCCCAGCCAAACGGCCGAACCCAUUACUGAGCUGCUAUUCCCACUUCCUCACGGGAGCACUGAAUUAAAGGAAAUAUUUUACGAUGCCACGCUUCAUUAUGUUUCAUUAAAAGCAGUGUGUCAGCGCCUCUCCUGCCACAUUCAUCAGAUGGGCUGUUUGCCUUCCGCUCCCCUCCUCCCAACCCUAGGGCUGGAUUCUCCCCAAGUGUUCGUUGGUGGUAGUGUCGGCCCUGGUUCCCUCUGAAGUGAAACCGAGCCCCUGAGCAUGUGCAGAGUGCCAGCUGUGAGCCUCCACUAGUGUGUCUGCACAUGAGCAAAGAGUGGUUCGGAAUCAUCGACUCGUAGGACUGCAGAGCUAGAAGGGACCACGGGUCUCAUCCAGUCCACCCUCCUGCAAUGCAGGAAUCUUUUGCCCAACGUGGAACUCAAACCCACAACCUUGAGAUUAAUAAUAAUAAAAAUAAUUUUUUAUUUAUACCCCACCCUUCCCGGUUCAGAAAACCAGGCUCAGGGCGGCUAACAACAAAUUUAAAACACUUAAUUGAUGCAACAAAAAACAGCAUAAAAUACAGUAUAAAAAGUGAAUAACAAUAAAUUCAAAAUUCAAAAAUCAAUUUAGGGGGGAAAUCCAUCCAAUAAACAUUAGGUGAUCACCAGGGCUAGCUGGCUAAAUUAGUCCUAUUUGGGCCAGUGAGGAGACCAGGGGAGAAUUAGCUGUGAGAUCCCAGAGUGGGUAAUCUUCAUAAAAAGGGGAAGGAAGGAAGGAAGGGGAAUAAAAGAUCAGGCUAAGUUCAAAUGGAAAGCUAGGCGGAAUAGCUCUGUCUUACAGGCCCUGCAGAAGGAAGUUAAAUCCUGCAGGGCCCUGGUCUCAUGGGACAGAGCAUUCCACCAGGUCGGAGCCAUCACUGAGAAGGCCCUGGCCCUGGUGGAGGAUAAUCUGACUUUCUCAGGGCCUGGGACCUCUAAACUAUGAUUAUUCAUGGACCUUAAGGUCCUCUGCAGGGCAUACCAGGAGAGGCGGUCCCAUAAAUAUGAGGUAAAUUAAGAGUUUCAUGCUCUACCCAUUGAGAAACUGCCCCCUUUCUCCCUCCCCUGCCUCAUCUAGGACUGGAAAAAGGCAGGUGUCUUAGACUGUCAUUUGCUGGAAGAUUUGGUACAGAUAAAAGAAAGGCAAGCAUGUAGUUGAACUGUGGAACUCCCUUCCACAGUGAUGGCCACCACUUGGACAGCUUCAAAAGCAGAUUGGACAAAUUCAUGGAGGAGGGGGGCUAUCAAGGGCUACUAACCACAAUGACCACCCUCUGCCUCCAUGGUCAGAGGUAGGAAUUGGUUCUGGAAUCGUAGCUGUUGGGAAACCUCAGUUAUCCGACCCCUGAGCUGUCUGAAGGCAGCCCUGUCUAGGGAAGGUUUUUGUUUAAUGUUUUAUUAUAUUUUUAUAUAUGUUGGAAGGGACGCGGGUGGCGCUUUGGGUUAAACCACAGAGCCUAGGACUUGCCGAUCAGAAGGUCGGCGGUUCGAAUCCCUGCAACGGGAUGAGCUCCCGUUGCUCGGUCCCUGAUCCUGCCAACCUGGCAGUUCGAAAAAACGUCAAAGUGCAAGUAGAUAAAUAGGUACAGCUGUGGCGGGAAGGUAAAUGGUGUUUCCGUGUGCUGCUCUGAUUCGCCAGAAGCGGCUUAGUCAUGCUGGCCACAUGACCCAGAAGCUGUACGCCGUCUCCCUCAGCCAAUAAAGCGAGAUGAGUGCCGCAACCCCAGAGUCGGCCACGACUGGACCUAAUGGUCAGGGGUCCCUUUACCUUAUAUAUGUUGGAAGCUGCCCAGAGUGGCUGUGGCAACCCAGUCAGAUGGGCAGGUUAUAAAUGUUGUUGUUGUUGUUGAAUAGGAUGUCCCUAUUUUCAUUGGAGAAAUAUUGGAAGGCAAGUGUGUAAGCCCUGCUUUUGGGCUUCCCAUUGGAAUAUCUGCCCCCGAGACAACAGGAGGCUAAACUGGAUGGACUAAUGGCUUGAUCUUCUGACGUUCUUGAGCUCUGUGUUUCCUCGCAAUGUGGAGGGCAGUUCCACAGUCUAAGCCUGAUCUGUGUCCAGAAGUUCUUCCUUCUAUCUGCCCUGUAUCUUCCAAACUCCAGCUUCUUGGGACGCCUGUGAGUUCUAGCGUUAUGAGAGUGGGAAGGAAGAAAACCUUCACCGUUUCUGGAGAUUAUCGGUAGCAGAGCAGGGCAAAGAGUCAAGGGAUUGUCUGGAGAGAUGGGUGGGUGAGUUCCUGAUGAAUAUUUGAUAGGCCUUCAUAUCUCGGCGAAACCGGGAGACAGAAAGGUAUUAAUUAGCUGCUAUCCCUCAGUGGCUCAGAUGAGGAUUAAGGUAACGGGGCUUCUCAUCUGUUUCCAUAGCGGCUGAGAAGUAACGGUAAAUCAGCAUUAUGGAUCGGUGCUGUAAUAGGGAGAUACGUUUUAAUCUUAUUAGCAGGCCCAGCAUUACGGAGAAAGCAAAGAGAUUACUAAUCGCUGGGAGCAGAUCGGUUCAGGGAGGUUGCAGAUGGGGAAGAGAGGGUAAAGGGGCUUCAAAUUAGCAAAAGUGUGCAUUGGAGGUCAACUUCAAAGCGAUGAGAAGGGAGAGGAAUUGGGUGCAGGUGAAAUAAGUGGAAGAACGGUGACAGUAGGUUUAAAAAAUGGUGUCGUUUUAGCCUAGAAAGAAAACUGGGUAACAAGAAAGGUGUGUUUGAUUAUGCCUGGUAUGGAAAAAGUGGAUGGAGGGAAAAUAUUAUGCCCUGUCGUGGGCUUCUUUGAAUGCUAGUCCUACUCAGGGUAAAAUCAUAGUAAUAAUAAUAAUUUAUUAUUUAUACCCCACCUAUCUGGCUGGGCUUCCCCAGCCACUCUGGUAGGCUUCCAACAAAAUAUUAAAAUACUGUAAUACAUCAAACAUUAAAAGCUUCCCUAAACUGGGCUGCCUUUAGAUGUCUUCAAAAAGUCUGGUAGUUGUUGUUCUCUUUGACAUCUGCUUGGAGGGCGUUCCACAGGGAGGGUGCCACUACCGAGAAGGCCCUCUGCCUGAUUCCCUGUAGCUUUGCUUCUCGCAGUGAGGGAACCGCCAAAAGGCCCUCGGUGCUGGACCUCAGUGUCUGGGUAGGAGGAUGGGGGUGGAGAUGCUCCUUUAGGUAUCUGCUUCCCAGUGGCGUAGCGUGGGGGGUGCAGGGGGGGGCCGGCCGCACCGGGCGCAACAUCUGGGGGUUAGGGUUAGGGGCGCAAAUCCACAGGUUAGGGGGCGCAAAUUACUUGCCUUGCCCCGGGUGCUGACAACCCAUGCUAUGCCACUGCUGCUUCCUGCCAAGGCCGUUUAGGGCUUUAGCACCAACACUCUGAAUUGUGCUCGGAAACAUACUGGGAGCCAAUGUAGGUCUUUCAAGACCGGUGUUAUGUGGUCUCGGCGGCCGUCACCAGUCUAGCUGCCGAGUUCUGGAUUAGUUGUAGUUUCUGGGUCACCUUCAAAGGUAGCCCCACGUAGAGCGCAUUGCAGUAGUCCAAGUGGGAUAUAACCAGAGCAUGCACCACUCUGGUGAGACAGUCCACAGGCAUAUAGGGUCUCAGCCUAUGUACCAAAUGGAGCUGGUAAACAGCUGCCCUGGACAAAGAAUUGACCUGCGCCUCCAUGGACAGCUGUGAGUCCAAAUUGACUCCCAGGCUGUGCACCUGGUCCUUCAGGGGCAUAGUUACCCCAUUGAGGACCAGUUGUUCUGUAUUGCCUGCCUUAGCAAGAACACACAAUGUCUGCACAUUGCAACUAGAUGGAAAGAUUGAGGGUUUAUUUUGAAGGGGGGGGGAGUCAGAGAGGCCCCAAUCUGUACUAGUCCCUCCUUUACCAGAUGCUGGGGUUGUGGGGGAGAUGGUUUGUCUCUUUCCUGCGAUCGCUCUGGCUAGCAACACCAGCUGGCGCUUGUGACUGAGAAAUUUCCAAGUUUAAUAAACUACGUCUCCUUUUAUCUUUGGCAAAGGGUUGGACAGCUGACACCUUCCCCCAGCUUUAUGCAAAUGAGUGUCUGAGACAUGUUUCCAUUUUUAGAUAGAUGAAUAUUGCAUAGAUUUUUUUUUUAAAAAAGAUUGGCUUCAAGUGUGUGCCUGUGCGUGUCGGGACAGAGGCAGUGUUGCCUAGUGGUUAGAGGGUUGGACCUAGGACCUGGGAGACCAGGGCUGAAAUCUCUCACUUGGCCAUAAAACUCACUGGAUGACUUUUGGGGCCAGUCACAGCCUCUUGGCCUAACCUACCUUGCAGGGUGGCUGUGGUGAUUAAAUGAGGAAGGUUGUAAAGGUAAAGGGACCCCUGACCAUUAGGUCCAGUCGUGACCGACUCUGGGGUUGCGGCGCUCAUCUCGCUUUACUGACCAAGGGAGCCGGCGUACAGCUUCCGGGUCAUGUGGCCAGCAUGACUAAGCUGCUUCUGACAAACCAGAGCAGUGCACAGAAACACCGUUUACCUUCCUGCCAGAACGGUACCUAUUGAUCUACUUGCACUUGACGUGCUUACGAACUGCUAGGUUGGCAGGAGCAGGGACCGAGCGACGGGAGCUCACCCCGUCGCGGGGAUUCGAACCGCCAAACUUCUGAUCGGCAAGUCGUAAGCUCUGUGGUUUAACCCUGAGGAAGGUAUAGAACUAUAUAAAUGCCGGCUUGAGCUGAGAAAUCAAUGGAAUGAAUGAGUCAAGGAAUCUAUCAGCGUUAGGUCCCCAUUGUCUCAAUCAUAAGCUCACUCCCUAUCCCCCACUUUCCACAUUGGUUUGCAAAGUUUCUAUAGCGCCAGAUGUCUCAAAAGUUCUGUGCAUGUUUUUCUAAUAUGCUUAGGUACGUAAUUCGGCUGCGCACACAUGCACACUUUUGCAAGCGAUUUCCCCAAAUGCAAUGUCUUUUUGCUUGGGAAAUUGCCUUGCAAAACUCAGAGGAGGGUGAAUUUGAAAGGAAAGAUGUGUUUGCAGGUCAUGCGUGGCAGGGACGGGGAACCUUCUCUGAGCCAGAGGGCUGGCUACGGGCAACUUCCUGAGGGCCCCAUAGACAUGGUGGGUGGGUCCCAGUGCAACAGAUGCGACUGUUAACUUUGUGCUACAGGUUGCAUUCUGCACCCAUGUAGACACACUGUAUACUUCUCCAUUCCCAUCCCCACCCAGUCAAGCAGGCAGCGUUGUCACAGUUCAAGGAUACAUUUAGGGCUGGGCGAUAUAUUGAUAUAUCAUCCAAAACUGCUUUGAAGUCCAUAUUGUGAUAUCUAUUUCAUAAUUUUUGACCUGGCAAUAUAUUGCGAAUCAUGAUGUGAUUUUUGCAUAGCACACACACACACACACACAAUGCCAUGAAAAACCGUGAAGCCAUUCGAUGCCUCUCCAUAACUCCAUCCUUCUUUCAGACAUCAUGACGUAUUGGUAUAUUGUGCUGUUUAGCUGUUGAUACAUCCAGGGCCAGAUUUAGAUUUGAUGAGGCCCUACACUACUGAAGGUAAAGGGGCCCUUUAUAUGUCCAGCUGUCUUUUGUCAACAACAAAUUAUUGCUGUUUUGUUGUGCUGAAUAUAUCCUACAUGGUAAUUUAUGGACCUAAUCAGUAUCUAAAGCCAUUUGCACAUAUCAAAAUAUGUAUUUCAUCAAAGUAAUUGUUGAACUCAUAUUUUGGAAAUGUACAUCCAGUUGGUUUUUUCCUUUAAAUUUUUUUGGGGGGCCCACUUGGGGCCCUAAGUUAUAGCUUGUUUAGCUUAUACGUAAAUCUGGCUCUGGAUACAGUCAUACCUCGGGUUGAAUAUGCUUCAGGAUGAGCGCGUUUGAGUUGCGCUCCACGGCAACCCAGAAGUAAUGGAGUGCCUUACUUCCGGGUUUCGCCGCUUGUGCAUGCACAGACACUCUAAAUGACGUCAUGCGCAUGUGCAGAAGCAGUAAAAAGCGACGCAUGCGUGCGCAGACGUGCCGUCACUGGUUACGUUUGCUUCUAGAUGCAAACGGGGCUCCAGAACGGAUCCCGUUCGCAUCUAGAGGUACCACUGUAUAUCAUGAUGCUGAAAACCAGAUAUUGCCCAGUCUUAGACACUUUCCAGCUUUGCAGCAAUACUCAAAGAACAUGUGACCCGGAGAGACUUCUGGGAGCCAAAAAGAGAGCUGCAUUUGAUCCCUGUGCCAUUUUUUGCUGUUCUUCCAGGAAGUGUGAAUUAUGUAGAUUUGCACUGGAAUUUCUCCUUAAGUAGGAAGUCGCUUUCUGUGGAGUCGGCCCCUUGAUCCACACAGCUCAGUAAUGCCUACACUGACUGGCAGAGACUGUCCUGGGUUUCAGGAUUGAAAUCGGGCCUUCUGCAUGCCAGGCAGAUGCUCUACCCCUGAGCUGUGCAUUCUUUCCCUGUGUGUGCGCUGGGACAACAUUGUUGGUUUGAAAUGAUAGCUCUGAUCAGUCCUUUCUGAGUUCUUCCUCCUUGUUAAUUAACCCACGUUUAACAGGAUAGAUUUUCUCCCUUGGAGGUUAGCUUGUGCGCACUUCCGCGAGUUAGCUUUUUUUAAAAAAUUAAAAAUAAAAUAAAAAUAAAGGCCAUUUUGUCUUCUGCAGCUGCUCUGCAAAAUCGAUUCCAAGGCCCAGGCAUUAAAAUAUAACAAUAUUGAGAGGGGGAAAGGGAGGAUCAAUACUACCAAAUGAGAUGGAUCCCGUCAAAAUGCUGUGAUAAUUGGAUUUCCUAAAAAUUCAUCAGCUGGAGCAAAAGCAUUCACUUAGUCUCCCUGCACCUUUCCUGACACGGCCUUCUUUGCUUCCGUGACUCCGUGGUCGAUUCUGUGUUGUUGGGUGGGAUUCUUGCGGAAGAUGCUUUUUUAAACAGCAACAGUAACAAAAUGGGGUAGUGGGAGAAGAGAGGCAUUCUGGCAUAGUGGUUAGAGCACUGGACUAGGACCUGGGAAACAAGGGUUGAAAAUCCCCACUUGGCCGUGAAGCUCACUGGGCGACGUUGGGGCCAGUCACUGCCUUUCAGCUUAACCUCCCUCUUGUUUACUCCUGCUCUCUAAGGUAGGACUUGAACCUGUGGCUCCAGGCUCCAAGGAAGGAGAUUCUGACUAAACAUCGGGGGGAAACUGUCUGACAGAAAGAGCUGUUUGACAGUGGGAACUGUCUCCCUCGGGAGGUUGUGGAGGUUUACAAGCAGAGGUUGGAUGGCCAUCUGUCAGGGAUGCUGUAGCUGAGAUUCCUGGAUUGCCGGGGGUUGGGCUAGAUGACCCUCAGGUGUCCCCUUGACCAACUCCACAAUUCUAUGAUAAUAACUAGAUGGACUGAUGGCCUGAUUCAGCAUGGGGCAGCUUCUUGCAUAUCUUUUGAUGCAUUUGCACAGCAGUGUGUCUUCGUAGGGAUCCUAUUCUCUGUGCUACUUGUGACACCAGACUCAGUUUUCUCCUGAACACCUGAUUGGUCAUGGGGGUGGCACUGUGGGUUAAACCACAGAGCCUAGGACUUGCCGAUCAGAAGGUUGGCUGUUCGAAUCCCCAUGACGGGGUGAGCUCCCAUUGCUCGGUCCCUGCUCCUGCCAACCUAGCAGUUCGUAAGCACGUCAAGUGCAAGUAGAUCAAUAGGUACCGUUCUGGCAGGAAGGUAAACGGUGUUUCUGUGCACUGCUCUGGUUUGUCAGAAGCAGCUUAGUCAUGCUGGCCACAUGACCCGGAAGCUGUACGCCAGCUCCCUUGGUCAGUAAAGCGAGAUGAGCACCGCAACCCCAGAGUCGGUCACGACUGGACCUAAUGGUCAGGGGUCCCUUUACCUUUAAGGAUGCUCUAAACCAGGGGUCAGCAACCUUUUUCAGCCGUGGGCUGGUCCACUGUCCCUCAGACCAUGUGGUGGGCCAGACUAUUUUUUUUGGGGGGGGGGAAUGAACAAAUUCCUGUGCCCCACAAAUAACCCAGAGUUGCAUUUUAAAUAAAAGCACACAUUCUGCUCAUGUAAAAACACCAGGCAGGCCCCACAAAUAACCAAGAGAUGCAUUUUAAAUAAAAGGGCACAUUCUACUCAUGUAAAAACACGCUGAUUCCCGGACUGUCCGUGGGCUGGAUUGAGAAGGCGAUUGGGCCGCAUCCUUGCCUACCCCUGUUCUAAACUCUCCUCAGAACUUAGGAGAGGAAGAGGGGGGUGGGGAGGAGAGAGACAGAGCGAGAGAGGGUGCUUAAGGGAGAGGGAGAGAAGUGAGUCUCCUGUGAUUUUGAAGGGGAAGGUCUGAAGUCAGCCCCUAACCAUUCCCAGCGAGAGAGUCAUCCGUUCUGUGUGUGUGUGUGUGUGUGUGUGUGUGUGUGUGUGUGCAUAGCAGCAAAAACACUGAAAUGGAGAACUUCACCUCCCAGCAUGUUGAAUUGGCAAAAGCGGAGAGGAUUAAAAAAAAAAAAAAAAGCACUCUCUGUACCCUGCUAAACAGCAGCAUCUAAUUUUUGCAGAUUGCAGAGCCGGGGUGUUUAUAUAAUUAGCAGGAAUGAGUUACAUGUGUAUUGCGAAGGGAGCGCAUACCCAAACGAACAGCCUGGGCGUAGGUUAGGCAAUCAGAGAGCGGCACGCAAAUUAAGUCUCUUGAUUAAAUCUGCUAGGUGGCGUGGAGGCUUUCCAGUUGCAAAAACAGAACGCAAGCACAGGCACAAAGAAACCCUCAAAAAGAAGGAAAGGGUAGAAAUUGCCAAGUGGGCAGCUACCUGCCUCCUUUGUUGUCUGCAGGUUUGUGAUUCCUGAGUUGCAAGGGGGUGGACUAGAUGACUCGUGAGGUCUCUUUCCAGCUCUGUACUUCUAUGAUUCUGUGUGGUGGUCUAGUGAGGGAGGCCAGACUGAUUGCCAUUCGGUGGAGAUGACAUUGGUUUUGGUUUUUUUGAGAGGAGGGAUGGAACUGAGAUGCUUUGAAGCUGCACCAAGGCUGAUGUUGACUCCCACCUAACCGGUACCCUUAGAGGGCCCCCCACAAAUGAUGCUUAGCCUGGAGAAGAUCUUCCAAUAUCCAAAGGGCAGUCACAUGCAAGAUGGAGCAAGCUUGUUUUCUUGGUCAGGCCUCUCCUGCAGUGUCCAGUUCUUGGAAACCACAGUUGAAGAAGGAUAUUGAUAAGCUGGAAUAUGUGCAAAGGAGGGCAACCAAGAUGAUCAUUCAAAGGUCUCGAAACUGCAGCUGAAUAAUACCUGACAAAUGGCCAUUCAACAUGUUUAAAAACCUCCAAUGAAAAACACCACCAUCUGAGGUUGUCCGUUCCACUGUCUAACAGCUCUUACCACCAGAAAAGUUUAGUUGGAAUCUUCUUCCUUUCAGAUCCUACCCUCUGGAGCAGGAGAAAACAUGCUCAUUCCAUCUUCCAUGUGACAGCUCUUCAGAUAUUUGAAGGCCCCCAUAGAACCUCUCAGUCUCCUCUUGUCACAGUCUGGUUCACGGGUGAUCAAAGUCCCGGCUGGGAACGUCGGGUCUGGGGGCAAGAUGGUGGGGUAGGAGCAGGAACAGGAGUCCAGAAGCCAGGAGUCAGAAAGCCAAGAGUGUGAGGGUCAGAAAGCCGGGAGUCACAAAGUCAGGGGUCCGAGGAUCACGAAGCAAAGAGUCACGAAGUCAAGGGUCCAAGGAGCAAGGAGUCACAAAGUCAAGGGUCUGAAGAUCAAGAAGCAAGGAGUCAAGGAGUCAAACGCAGCAAGGCAGGGAACGUGUUGCGGUGGCAAAGAGCUGAAGGGAAAAUGCUGACCUUAUAUCCCUUCCCAGCUCUUGUCAGCAGGUGCUGUGAGUUACCAAUCGGCCUCACCUGUGUGGCCAUGCCUUGCCUCUUCAGAACAAACUUAGGAAGGCCCCAGUCCUGCAAAGUCCUAUUGGUCACAGGGCCUGGCUCCUGCACGCACACCUGACACCUCUUAUCCUAGUUAAACAUACUCAACUCCCUCAACUCUCUCUCAUAAGGCUUGGUUCCCAGACCCUUGAUCAUCUUGGUUGCCCUCUCCUGCAAACCUUCCAGCUUGUCAACAUCGUCCUUAAAUUGUGAUGCCCAGAACUGGACACAGUAUUCCAGGUGUGAUCUGGCCAAGGCAGAAUAGAGUGGUACUAUUAUUUCCCUUGAUGGGGACACUAGACUUCUGUGGAUGCAGCCUAGAAUAGCAUUCUUCUUCUUCUUUUUGCCACGGACACUUGGACCCAUUGCACCCAAUGGGACUACUACGGAUGAAAUUAGUUGGAUAUGAUCCCAUAGCUUACCAGGGAACGCCUUGCCGCUGCCCCUCCAUCCUCCUCUGAGCCAGUGGGAGUUCUGAGGCUGGAGAAGAUGCCAAAAUGUGAUGAAUGGGAUGCCUCAAUGCCUUUUAGAGCCUCACAAUUCCGAUCCGUGCCGUCUCCCACUCCUCCUUAUCAAACCAGAAUUAAGGAGCGCAUGCAGAGUUUUCCCGGAGCUUUCAUUAGAUGUUCAUCUUUCAUCCCCGCCUCCCUGCGCGAGAUAGAUAACAAAGCCACUGUGAGUCGAUUCUGUGCGCUCUAGAUACUUUUCAUACGGGGCUUGAUUGAUGAGCACAAGGAUCAACACAAAAACACUGCUCUAAAAGGAUCUCUAAAUGGCUGCCACCAGCAUCUGGUUGACCACAGUGAGAACAGAGUGCUUCACCAGAUGGGACUCCCGACCCCAACACCCAGCUUGACCUUGUUGUUGUUUAGUCGUUUAGUCGCUCUUCAUGACCCCAUGGACCAGAGCAUGCCAGGCACUCCUGUCUUCCACUGCCUCCUGCAGCUUGGUCAAACUCAUGUUCGUAGCUUCGAGAUCACUGUCCAACCAUCUCGUCCUCUGUUGUCCCCUUCUCCUUGUGCCCUCCAUCUUUCCCAACAUCAGGGUCUUUUCCAGGGAGUCUUCUCUUCUCAUGAGGUGGCCAAAGUAUUGGAGUCUCAGCUUCAGGAUCUGUCCUUCCAGUGAGCACUCAGGGCUGAUUUCCUUCAGAAUGGAGAGGUUUGAUCUUCUUGCAGUCCAUGGGACUCUCAAGAGUCUCCUCCAGCACCAUAAUUCAAAAGCAUCAAUUCUUCGGCAAUCAGCCUUCUUUAUGGUCCAGCUCUCACUUGCAUACAUCACUACUGGGAAAACCAUAGCUUGACCUUAGGACAUUCCUAUUUUCAUCGGCAAAAUAUUGGAGGGGAUGUCUCCAUUUUCAUCAGAGAAAUGUUGGAGGAUAUGGAAUAGGAUGUCCCCAAGGUUUCAUUUUUCCAGCCAGAACCCAGUUCCGGCACCUCUCAGAUAGGUGCCAUUGCCAUAAGAGAACAAGGGAGGUGUUAUUGUUCCUGCACCUCCUCUUCUAGAAACAUUAAACUGGUCAUCCUUAUUUUCAUGGGAGAAAUGUUGGAGGGUAUGGAUAUAGCUGCAGGACUCUACUUAUGCUGUUAGGUUUCAGCAACAUUAAAUAGGUGGACUCUCAAUACUCAGGGACAGUUUACAUCCAAAUUCUAGUCCCUGGGAAAUGUAAGUGGGGAGAGUUUUGCUCUUGCACUCAGGUCCUGCUAAGAGGGGAUCUGGUUGGGAUCUGAUGCUGGACAAGACAAGACUCCUUUGCGCUGAUCCAGCAGGGCUCUUCUUAUGUUGUGCGAUCAUACAUAAUGCGAUCAAAAUAAAACCACUCUUUUUGGGGGCUGGAGGUGAGGGCAGAAUAAGGUCUUCAUUCACUCAUAGAAAAGAUGUCCUGUACAGCUGCUGGCAAAGGACUACAUGCACUACAGGACUGGGAAUUAGUGUUAUAAUUAUCAGGCCACCUCUAGGAUACGGUGACAGCAGCCACAGAGAACGGAAAAAGUUCUUCUUCACAAGGUGCAUCAUUAAACUACAGGAUUCACUCCUGCCAGAUAGAAUCAUAGAACCGUAGAGUUGGAAAGGACCUGGAGGAUCAUCUAAAGUCCAAACCCCUGCAACACAAGUGAAAUAUACUCGGAGUCGAGUGUGAAUUUCAUGCUCUUUAUUCAGCUCAUAGUAGCAAAGAAUGAAACUUUCCCCAAAACGUCUAGCUAUACAGUGGUACCUCUGGUUACAUACUUAAUUCGUUCCAGAGGUCCGUUCUUAACCUGAAACUGUUCUUAACCUGAAGCACCACUUUAGCUAAUGGGGCCUCCCGCUGCUGCCGCCACACGAUUUCUGUUCUCAUCCUGAAGCAAAGUUCUUAACCUGAGGUACUAUUUCUGGGUUAGCGGAGUCUGUAAGCUGAAGCGUAUGUAACCCGGGGUACCACUGUAUAUACAUUAUUUACACAAUAGUGUGAUUGGCUAAUUCCGGGCUGCUCCUGUAGGCCAAUCAGGUUGCGGACUCACCUCCUCCAGAAGCCUGAUUGGCUGCUCCUUCAGGCCAAUCAGGUUGCUGAUUCACCACCUCCAGAAGCCUGAUUGGCCUGCUGGAGCAGCCAAUCUGGCCACUGAUUCACUUCUACCUGGACCUGGAUUGGGUGGCUCCUGCAGACCAAUCAGACUGCUGCAUUCUGGAUCCUAUUGUUCUAGGAUUCAGCUCAGUACAUAACACCAAGAAAUUCAGCUCUCCCAUAAGGGGAUCGAACCUUCAGUCUUGGUGUUAUCAGCACCACACUCUAACCAGCUGAGCUACCCAGAUGUAGUGAUGCACUCAGGGUCUGCUUGCAGGCUUGGCCAUCAUUAGAACAAAAUACUGGCUUACAGAAUUUUUGGAUUUAUGAACUUAUGGAACGUGGUGCCGUACAAGAGGUGGUGUUAUCAACCAUUGCAGAUGUCCUUAAGUAGUCCGUGGAGAACAUGUUGGCUGAAAGGAAACUUCUCCUUCACACAAUGCAUGGUUAGACCAAGCAACUUGCUCUCACAAUAGGGCAGUGAUGGAUCCCAGCCCCCUAUUUUCCAGGGACAGUCCUAGAUUUACAGAAGCCGUCCCGGUUUCUGAUUUGAUCCUAUAAUGUCCCACUUUUCCUUAGGAUGUCCCUAUUUCAUUGGAGAAAUGUUGGACGGUAUGGAAUUAUGCAACCCCCUGAGCCAAGGAGAUAAGUAACUGUGCAACCUUUAGAAGACAUCUGAAGGCAGCCCUAUAUAGGGAAGUUUUUAAAUGCUUAAUCUUUUAUUAUGUUCUUACAUCUGUUGGAAGCUUUCUAGAGUGUCAGGGGCAACCCAGUCAGAUAAAGGUAAAGGUAAAGGGACCCCUGACCAUUAGGUCCAGUCGUGGCCGACUCUGGGGUUGCGACACUCAUCUCGCUUUAUUGGCCGAGGGAGCCGGCGUACAGCUUCCGGGUCAUGUGGCCAGCAUGACUAAGCCGCUUCUGGCGAACCAGAGCAGCGCACGGAAACGCCGUUUACCUUCCCGCCAGAGUGGUACCUAUUUAUCUACUUGCACUUUGAUGUGCUUUUGAACUGCUAGGUUGGCAGGAGCAGGGACCCAGCAACGGGAGCUCACCCCGUUGCGGGGAUUCGAACCGCUGACCUUCUGAUCGGCAAGUCCUAGGCUCUGUGGUUUAACCCACAGCACCACCCGCGUCAGAUGGGGGGUAUAAAUAAUACAAUUAUUAUCAUUAUUGUUAUGGAAUAGGGUGUCCCUGUUUUCAUCAGAGAAAUGCUUGAGGGUAUGAAUAAUACUGGAUGCAGACUUCCGACAGAUGAAUUAUUUUUAUUUUAAGUAAAGUUUCUAGUCCUUAAGCUUGCCAAUGCAAAAGGAAAACGCUUUUCCUUAGGACAUCCCUGUUUCAUUGGAUAAAUGUUGGAGGGCAUGCCAAAAGAGGAUGGGACAAAUGCAUGGAAGAAUUUGGGCUCUUGGGGGCUUCCAACCCCAGUGACUCCAACGCAGCAACUGUGGUUUUGCAUUAGCCACAGCAGAGGCCUUGCUUGUUGGCCAUUGUGAGUCACAGAUUUGGAUGCUUCCAGCUGGGCUCUUCUCAUGUUCAUUUAGCUGCACGGCACGGCAGCUUGCUUUGAAGGCAGCAGAGCAUCAUUUGCAUAUAUGCAAAUGGGGAGCGCUUUACCCAUAUAUUUAAAAAUAAAUAAAUGGGUCAGUCGGGGACUGUGGCUUGACCUGUCGGCAUGGCUUGCAUUAAUGGGGGAGGAACAGCUGGACAGGCAGAUGGGGGGAGGGGGAGAGAGUCAGACCAGGCUGGAAUGCAGUGACCAUAAAGACUUUGGCCAGCUCAGCGCCUCCAAUUUAACAGCAUCCUUUCAUGGGUUGCCAAGUGCGCCUGCCACAUGUCUAUUUGCAUACAAUUCCCAGAGUCCUCUGCAGUGGCGGCGUGGCAGAGAGCAAAGGCAGUCGCCGUAAGCGGCAGGGCCCUUGCCACACAGGGAGAGAUGCUUCCUAAAUGCAGUCUGCACGGUGUCAUACGGUGCUUGUCUUAAUGUCGCCUGCCAAGCGUGAGAUUUCACACCUAUUUAUUUAAUGAGCCUCUUCCCCAGUCCAUGAAAACACAAGUCGAUUCAGAGUGUGUCCUUUGUAGAAUACAGAAUGACAGCUGGGCCACAGAGCUCACGGCCAUCUCAUGAAGUUGAAUGCUGGGAUUUUCAGGACAUAUACAGUGGUACCUCGGGUUACAGGCGCUUCAGGUUACAGACUCUACUAACCCAGAAAUAGUACCUCGGGUUAAGAACUUUGCUUCAGGAUGAGAACAGAAAUUGUGCUACGGUGGCGCAGUGGCAGCAGGAGGCCCCAUUAGCUUUUUUAAUUUUUUUUUUUUGUUUUGUUUAUUAGGAAUUUAAACAAAACAUAUUAGCUUACAACAUAUCAUCCUUAAUUCCCCCCUGACUUCCCUCAGUUCUAAUCUCUGGCUUCUCUAUAUAGUGGUACCUCAGGUUAAAUACGCUUCAGGUUACAGACUCUGCUAACCCAGAAAUAGUACCUCUGGUUAAGAAUUAUGCUUCAGGAUGAGAACAAAAAUUGUGUUCCGGUGACGCUGCGGCAGCAGGAGGCCCCAUUAGCUAAAGUGGUGCUUCAGGUUAAGAACAGUUUCAGGUUAAGUAUGGACCUCCGGAACGAAUUAAGUUCUUAACCCGAGGUACCACUGUAGAUGCUAUUCUCUGCAUGUUACAAAAUUGUAUAAAUCCUUAAUUUAUCUGACUGGUUAUUAUCAAUAAAAAAAUUGUGAGUGUUUAUUCAAAGCCUGCCAAGGAGUCCAGUUGGCUUUGUUGCUUCUUUAAAUACUUUGUAAAAGGUUCCCAUUCAUCUUCAAAGUCACAGUUAUCCUUGUCCCGUAGUUUAUGUGUCAAUUUUGCCAGUUCUGCAUAGUCCAUCAAUUUCUCUUGCCAUAGUUCUUUAGUCGGGGUUUCCUCACACACUAGCACAAUAGCACAUCCUUGUGCUAUUAAGAUUCUUGAAGAUGGAAGGCACCAUUAGCUAAAGUGGUGCUUCACGUUAAGAACAGACCUCCAGAACAAACUAAGUUCUUAACCCGAGGUACCACUGUACAAGAAAGUCCUUUUUUCACACAGACCAUAGUUAAACUGUGGAACUCACUCCCACAAGAGUCAGAGAUGGCUAACAACUAGGGUGGCUUUGAAAGAGGAUUGGGCACAUUCAUGACUACCAAAGCCUACCAGCCAUACUAGCUAGGCUCUGCCUCCGCAGUCAGAGGCAGUGAUGCCUCUGAAUAACACUUGCUGGAAACCACAGGCGGGGAGACUGCUCUUGUGCUCAGAUCCUACUUGCUGAUUUCCUGCAGGCAUCUGUUGGGCCACUGUCGGAUCAGGCCCCCUUAUAUUCUCACGUUGUUCUCAUGAGCUGGCUCUAGGAUACUGCUUGGGAAGCUUCUUCACACCCCACAGAAUUAAACUCUGGAACUCCCUGCCACAAGAGGCAGUGAUGUUCGCCAAUCUACACCUAAAAAGGUAAAGGUAAAGGAUCCCUGAAAGUCAAGUCCAGUUGCAGACGACUCUGGGGUUGCGGCGCUCAUCUCACUUUACAGGCUGAGGGAGACAGCUUUUCCGGGUCAUGUGGCCAGCAGGACUAAGCCACUUCUGGUGCAACGGAACACUAUCUUCCCUCUUUUAAACCAUAAUGACAAUACAAUAAUCUCUCAUUCCUUCUCUUACUCAGAAUUCAAAUCCUGCUUGUGAAUUCCCCAUACUAUGAAGGUAAAGGUAAAGAAACCCCUGACCAUUAGGUCCAGUCGCUGACGACUCUGGGGUUGUGGCACUCAUCUUGCUUUACUGGCUGUGGGAGCCGGCGUACAGCUUCCGGGUCAUGUGGCCAGCAUGACUUUGGCAAACCAGAGCAGUGCAUAGAAACACAGUUUAUCUUCCCGCCACCGUGGUGCCUAUUUAUCUACUUGCACUGGUGUGCUUUUGAACUGCUAGGUUGGCAGGAGCAGGGACCGAGCAACAGGAGCUCAC